GGAAAGACAAAAUGAGGGAUCACUUGAUCUGCUCUGUUUUCAGAAAUGAUCUCCUGUAAAUCCUUACAGUCUCGUAUAUCUAGGUGUUGGAGCUGCUUAAGGCUUCCGAUCAUAGACGCUGAAAAUAUGUAUUUCAGUUUGUGACACCACCACACAACUAAUCGUGUUAAACUUUGAAAGUGAGGAAACAUGGCCGCCGGAAUUUGAUUGUAGUGCCAAAUCUUGUCGACAUUAAUAUUAGAUAUCUCCAAAGCCUCCAAGUUAGGCAACGCAACCUAAAAAAAUAAGAAUUUCUCGUUAGAUCCAAUAUCCAUAUGGGAAGCACUUGUUGAAAUUUUCUUCUUUGAUUACAAAUUAAUGCAAAGUCAGAAUCAAUUUCCAACUGACAGCUGAGAAUGCAUUCUAAUUCAUACUACUUGUUAAGAGCUCAAUUAGUGAGCGCGUGAGAUUCUUUUUAUCCUUUUUUCCAUUUUCUUUCAAAUCUUUAAAUGAUUUAAUUAUUUUCCACGUAUGACAUCAAAACAGAACGCAUGAUAGAAUAAAGUCUGUUAUAUAUAUAUAUAUAAAGAAAAUGUUAGCCUACGCACCUUCUCGUUGAAAAGCAGAGUUGAAAUGUCCAAAGUGAUUUCGCUGGAGCAAUACAUAGUCGUCGAUUCCUCUUGUGACACUUGUCUGUUCGGUGAUGCAGAAGGAGUCUCCACCUCACGGCGGCAAAAACUUGUAACCUCUGGAAGAUUCCCCAGACUCAAAGAUCUUAAUUGAGCAAACUCUAUCUUCUCAAUUGCAUUAUCAACUUCUUCCCCAAUUGCAAAAAUCUCUUUCAUCUUGCUGCAAUUAAUAACUGCAAUUCUCUCAAGUCUUGGAAGGCAUUCUGCAGUAGAGAGCCAAAAGAUAUUACUCAACUUAUCACAAUUAUAUGCUUCUACGGUUUUGAGUUCGUUGAAAGACUCUACUUUGAGCCGAUCAACACAUAUCCUCUCCAUGUUGAUCAAAUUGUGAAGGAUAAGUGACUCCAAAAGAGGAAAGGCAUCACAAGCGACCAUCUCCCUUGAAUCGACGAUGCAAAAGAAGUCUGGAUUAUUUUGAACCCAGAGAAUCUUCAAUUGUGAAAAGCCCUCCGUGUCCAAAUUGAAAAGAACAUUCUCGAUGCCUUGCAGCUUGUCCAACCAUAAGCAUUCAACGUUAUUGAUGCCCUGCAAUUUCAUGGAGCAAAUGUCCAUAAAAUCAAGCUUGAGCUUCAAUGCUCUUGAAAUCUUACGAUCUCUGUCGAUCAAAAAGUGCUGCCGACUUUUAAACCAAUUUUGUCCAGCAAUCAUGGGAUGUGUGAAUAACCCAUUUCCAAUAUGUAUUUUGAACCUUUCGAGCUUUCUGGCCAAAAAGCCUUCUGGUAACAUACUCUCAUUUUUUACAUCAAUUUCUAGAGUGGUUAGCCGAGGUAAAUGCAUCAAUUCAUCAAGGCUAGCAUUACUUCUUUUGCUGUUGGCUCUUUCAACCUCCCAUUCAAUGGAGCAAUUACCCAUAUACAAUUCUUCUAAUCGGAUUAAGCUUGAUAUGACAUUUGGGGCAAUAACUUUCAGACGGAAACAGUCUGUUAAAUCUAACAGCCUUAGCUUAGUCAGUUGACCCAGUGCUUUAGGCAACUCUACAAUAUCAGAUUGCAAAAAGCUGAGGAUUUCUAGAUUUUCCAACUUUCCAAUAAUGGCUAUGUCUAUGCCUCCCAAAAUGCCUUGAUUAAGACAGAGUGCCUGAAGAUUUACUAGAAGACCAAUUGAAGAUGGCAAUGACAAUAACCGCAUUCCAGUAAAAUCCAAAACCCGAAGCUUUUUCGUCCUUUUGAAGAAGUUCUCAGGAAUAUUAGGCACAGCAAAAGAGUUCUUGGGAGACAUGAGUAGAAGUUCAAGUUGUAGAGAUUCGGACCCAUCAGGAAUGUCAUUAAUAAUACUAUCUUUAAAAGAAAUUGCAAAAUAUUUUUUUAAUUCAUCUGCAUUUGGCCAUUUCCAAUCAUCCUCAUUUCUCACCACAAAUCCAAUUUUGUCACGACAUGCAAUUGAAAUGGCAACAUCGCGAACAACGUCGUGCAUAGAAAAGUAUUUACUGCCACCAUCCUCAAGCAACAAACAAGAGUCUCUUAGUUGAUGGACCCAUGCAUGUAAUUUGUUAUGUGCAUCUUCUAGCUUAUGGACACUUUUAAAUACACCCAAGCCCAUGCUAUAUUUGAACAAGUCCAUAAUUGGUGCUGGCGUAAUAAGACUACACAGUAAAAAAGUUUUCUUGAGUUGCUCACCUCUUAAGUACUUGUAACUCAGCUCAAUUGUUGAGUAUGCCUCUGCUGGUACUCCUUCGUCGAAGCUUGCCUCUGAAGGCGUUUGGAGUUCUUGCAAGGCAUUCUUCCACACAGGCAGCUCUUUUUUUCUCAGUGCCUUUGCUACUGUGGUUAGGGCAAUAGGCAAACCUCCGCAUGCCUUGGCUACACUUGUUGCUGUAGAUUCUAAUUCACGAUUUUCCACAUAAUCACCUGCCAUUAUCUUGAACAAUCUCCAGGCUUCUUGUUCAUUUAAAAUGCCAAUCGAGAAGUUUUUUUCAGAUUCCAUCCUUAACAGCACAUCGAGAUCUCUUGUUGUGAAUAAUAAUUUGCAUCCUCUGUGCUCAACUCCAAAAGGAAUUCCAAUAGUCCCCAAAUCAAGAGGUUUCCAGAUGUUAUCCAGAAUCACAAGGAUCUUCUUCUCAUUCUUCAAUCUUUCAUAUAGUCUACUAGCUCUUCUAGACUCAGCUUCCUCGGACAACUGUAGGCCUAACGUUUCCGCAAUUUCCUCUUGGAUCUUUUUUAUGUCUGGACUUUGGGUAACCUCCGAAAAAGCCACCUUAUCGUAAAGCUUGUCUUCAAUGGCUCGCCUUGCAAACUCCUUCACCAGUGUCGUCUUUCCAAUGCCGCCCAUGCCGUAGACCCCAAUGAUGCUGACAUCAACAUCGAUCAAUGCAUUUUGUAUGGCCUUCAAAGUAGAAAGUCUUGAUUCGAAGGCCUCGCAGCCUUUGUGAGACUUGAGCCAUAUAUCCUCCGGAAUGGUACGGUAGGAAAUUCUAUCAUCAAAUUUCCCAGCUUCUUCUUUGAGUUCAACAAUGGCCUUCACCUUUGUUUCUGCUUCCUUGCUAAGCUGAUAGCUGGACUUCAAAUUAGGACACAAGCCCAUGAGACAUCGUUUAUUUGUUGUCUCCUCAUCGUCAAUGAAUUUGGCUGACUGCUCAAUGGUGUUGUUCGCACGAACCAGCCACUUCUCAACCUUCUCUUCAAUCUUUUCCCCUUUUCUUUCAGCCUCAGAAACCCUGUGCUGAAUGCUUCUCCUUUCAUCCUUGAGCUUGUCUAUUUCUGCCUUGAGAUUCUCAACGUUGGCUUUAUAGUUACGCAAAUAACCAAAUCGGCGUUCUGUAGGAGGAGCCAAGCAUUUCACAAAUUCUAAAACAACAGUAACAAUGCUUUCCACCAUCCUGGAUCCCUUUUUUUUUUUUUUUUUCAAAGUUCUGACAAGAAAAUAAACAACGAGCGAAACAUAGAGAGAGUGAAAAAAAAAAAAAAAGCGAAACAACGAAGAUGGACAGUUUAUCCGGUUGUGGAGGCGGAGAAAUGAAAGAAAGAGUAAAAGCUGUUAUGGAUCUGGUGAGAAGAUGGAAACAAGGAAAAGGUUUCUAGUUCGAGAACUGAUUGAAUUAAUAUAAGGAAUGAUUUAGAUAAUAGAGGCGUAGGGAACCAAUCAGAAUAACUGAAGUAUUGACCAGAAGAAAGACGGAAAAAAUAUUGACUGGUAAUAGAGAUGGAAAAAAUGAAGAUAUCUUGACACGGUAGAAGUACAAAGGGUAGAUAUGGAACCAAACAGAGACAACAGCAGACCACAACAAGAUUGGGAAUGGACAGAAACUAAUUAACAAAGACUGGAGAUUACAACAAAACAGAUGCCAAGAGAAAACUUGAUCCAGUGAAAUUCAAGAGAGCUGACAACAAAAACUGAUACUACUUGAUUGGGAAUUGAAGGCAAAGAGGAGGAGCUGAUGAAUACGGGGAUCAAGAGGGAAAAACUGCUUGCUCGUAAAACUACUUUCAAGCGAAUCUGAUAAAAUUAUUUCAGUACUCGUGGGCGACUCCUUUUUAAACUGCAGAAGGAGAAAAAAGAAAUGUUCUGAAUUUCAAUGUAUUAAUUUUUAUCCUAAUUUAUGUUGAGACUCGUAAUCUCGUCUCAAUGAUUAAUUAGUAGAUAAUCUUUUUAACAAGUAUGUGAUGAAUAGAUAUAUUUCUUGACUAUUAGUAGGUUAGAUAUAUUUUAGCAUAGGAAUGAAAGUACAAGUUGUGUCAUAUUAGAAUACAAAUUUGACCUAAAAAUAUUGUUCUAUGACCUUUUAAUUAUUUGUCAGCUAAUAAUUAAGUCAUAUAAAAAAAAUAAUAAUCUGAAUUAGUCUUUAAGUAUUAUAAAUAUUUCUUGAUUUUUAAUUAUAAUAUCAUUAUUUAAAAAUAAUUGCUUGACUUACAUAGUAAGUCAAUAAAAUAUCUAACAAUAGUGGUCAUAAAACAUGUGAUCCUCAAUCAAUGAAAUAUCUAACAAUAUCAUCACCUAAAGUUUGAGAUAUGUUAUCCUUAUUCCACUGCGUCAAUUACACUCCAGUCAAAUGCUGCCAUCAUUAUUGAACAGUCGACAUCCACCAGUUCUAAUUGCCAAAACUUAGAACUAAACAGUAGCUCGGUCAGAAAAUCAAACGCCAGUACCGGUCAAAUGACCGAUAAAAAUAUAAAGAAAUAAAAAUUUUAAAGUUUUACUUUAUUGCUUUUUUAAUCUUAUUACUAUUUCGGGUAAUUUUUACUUUCCUCCCCUCAGCUUUGGACUUUUUGCACUUAGAUGGUCAAGAUACAUUUAUUAGUAAAGACCUCCCUACCGUCAGUUAAUUUGUAGUUGACUGUUAGUUGAAUUCAAAAAGACUGAAAUACCCCCAAUUGGAUUUUCAAGACUGAACAUGCUAUACAUUUGGCGCGAAAACUAUAACAACCAUAAUAUUACCAUUAUACCCCUUCAAAUUGGGUUAUUUACAAUUGCAUUCAACAAAUAAAAUGAUAAUUCUAUUUGGGUAAUUUUCACUGUUGCAAUUUGACCGUUGGAUCCGAAUGGUCACAUUGCCACAGAUUUGCCUAUUUAAAGGCUUAAAUACAGAGCUUUGUUCACAAGCAUCUCUACCUCUUCUUAACACUUUGCAAACUCAACUACAUUUCUCUCAAUCUUUCAAUCUCAACAACAUGGAUUCAGAGGGCUCAAGUGCAGUAACUAACAAGAAGAAUAGAUAUAAUAAAGGCAGUAUGAAAUGGAGGAGUCAAGUUAAUGGAAAUCUGAUCAAGUUUAGGAACUUGAAAUGCGAUUGCAGAGUACGUGCUGCUGUUCGAAUUUCAGAGACUGAAGAUAAUCCAAACAAGCUAUUCUACAACUGUCCUUAUGAUGCCUGUGACUUUUUCCAGUGGUGUUGUCCAGAACCAAGUGAUUUCGACAAUGGUGCAUUCUUUGAAGGUCAUAGAAGUUUUACAGUAGCACAACAACAAGUGCAGGUAGAACUUGAAGAAAUACUAAGUGCCCUGAAUGAAGUGAAGAUUAUACUGAAAAAAACUUAUCAAACUCAAAAUGUUUGUGACCAAGACUUAAGUGAUGUGCAUAAACUCACUUCAAAGAAAACCGAACAAGGUGGGGUGAUAUGUGGGCUGCUGAAGGCUGUGCUCUGUUUGAAUGCCUUUUUUUUUUACUGAGUGUUCUUGUGGUUAUUUUCCUGAAGUGAUUAACCUAAAUUACUAGCAUGAAUUUUGUAAUAAGUUGUACUCUAACUACUGGAAUGAGUAAUGAUAAGAUGAAAAUUUAAUGAACUUGUAAUGCUCUAUUUUUAGAAUGCUUAUCUUUGCUAACUAAGUGUAUAUAAUGUGAAGUAUCCUGUUUGAUUUGAGCAUAUGGCCUAGUCUUCAAUACUGCAUUUCCUAUGUAAUAACUUAACAUAAGCAUUCUGUACAUAUAGCUAAAAAUUAAAGGGAUUACAAUACUUUAGUUAUAAUAAUAUCUAUUAACAGUAGCAAAAUUAACUUGUGAGUUAAACUUUAACAGCAACAAGCAAACCAAUCCAGAACGAGUGAGAAGAGAAUCUAUUAAUUGCAUUCCAGCAUUAAAAUUCUUAAGCAGUAUCAUACAUAGUUACAUUCAAGCAGCUGUCACAAAGCAUGAAGCAGUUGAAUAUAAAUAGCUUCUGGUAAACUCAUGUAUAAUUUCCAGGUAUUAACCAAGCAAGCUUAUCAUAUUACUUGUCUUUGGCAUCACAAUAAUAUCAUGUACAAAAAACAAACUAACAAAAGGCUCAAACCUAUAGUCAGUCUGAGUAAAAGAUGAUACACCAGCUCCAUUCUUCUGCCCAUGACAAGAUGUUGUAUCAUCUGAUCCCUUCAAAAAAUUAGUUAGUGGGAAUAGUCUUGAUCUGCUUCUCAUGCUGGAUGCUAUCACUUUAAUGGUUUCAUUCUUGAGUAACAUGUCCUGGCAUGAAUAAAACAAACACUUACAUAUGAAAAUUAAAAAAAAUAGAUGUUGAUUACUAAAAUUAUUUAAAGAAUCGUGAAUAAAACUCACCAUUGUCAUGGACAGUAGGCUGAGAUAGUGCACUGCAAGCAACCCUUUGAGUUAUAGGCUGAUUAGAAUUAGAAGUGCCUUCACCAUUCACAACCUAUGCCACACCCAUUACAUCAUAAGCAAUUAAAUUAAUUAAAUUUAACUACUAAAUGAAAGAGAGAUGAUAAUUAACCUGUUUGCUAGAUACUUUAGUUCUUUUGCAGGUUCUCUUGUUAUGACCCCAAUGCUCACACUUAGAACAUUUGACACUUGAACUCCUCUUGAAUGUAGCUGGUUCAUCAGCUUCUUUCCUCCUCUUGAUCUGUGGCCGGCCAACAGACUUGAUAAUUAUAGGUGGCUGCAAAUUAUCAUGUAGAACCAGUGGCCACAUCUUCUCAUCAGGUAAAGGAAAGUAUUGAUACUUGUAGGUGUUGAUAAAAGCUGGACAUUUCAGAUAAUUAUGGAUAUAAUCUUCAAUGUUGAGCCUUUUUGCAUCAAUGGAACAAACACUAUGCUUACAAGGUAAGCCGGAUAUCUGCCAUUCCCUACAAUUACAAGUUUUUUUACCUAAAUCUACUACGAAUACUUUACAGAGAUCUUCCAUCACUUCGAAGGUGUUUUCAUGACCAAAUAUUACUGUUAAACCUCUCGUUGCAGCUCUUGCUUCCACAAUCUUUCUCCUAACAAGAGGUGGUAGAUGUCCAUUCCAUUUCUUUGCAUCCUCAUUCCUUUUAUGAAUAAGUUUCAUGAUCUUUCUCCUUAUCUCUUCGAGCAUCCUAACAAUAGGCAUGCCUCUAAAACUGUUAAUCCAGUUAUUGAACGAUUCAGUCAUGUUAUUGGUCACAUGAUUGCACUUGGUGUGGUUAGGAAAAGUGUGUUUAGCCCAAUAUACAGUUGGAAUGUUCAUGAGCCACCGGUGAGCUGCAUCGCUGAUUUUCUUCAAUUCCUCAAUGCUUUCACUGAAUUCUGAGUAGUUUGGACUUCUACAUGCCUUCCAAAAGACCUUUUUCAACAAAGUGCCAAGAAACUUUUGCUUGAAAUUGGCAUAAAUAUGCCUACAACAGUAUCUUUUGAUUGCAUUAGGAAACACUCUAUCAAUUGCAUUGAUCACUCCUUUUUGUCGAUCACUCAUGAAACAUAGGCCUUCUCCACCAUUACAACCAAUCUGGUCAUAUAGCUUUUCCAUGAAAAACUCCCAAGAGUAAGUGUUUUCACUCUCUACUACACAUAAGGCUAGUGGAUAUAUACCAUAAUUAGCAUCAAUCCCAACUACAGUCAAUAAAACUCCUUUAUAUGGCCCUUUUAGAUGGCAGCCAUCAACCCCUACAAACUGUCUACAGCCUUCAAAAAAACCUCUCCUACUUGCAUCAAGCAUCAUGAAAAAUCUUUUAAAUACUGGGUGAGCUGUAUCUCCAUUCAAUUCCCUCUCAAUAGCUACUGUGGAUCCAGGGUUAUACUUUAUCAAAGCUUGUUGGUAUCUACUCAGUUUGCUGUAACUUUUCUUGUGAUCUUGGCCAAGUAAUUCAAGUGCUUUUUGUUUUGCUCUGUAUAACCUAUGCACACUGCGCUCAAUGCCAUACUUUUUCAAAAGCUCAGCUGCUAUUAACUUGACACUGACUUCGGGAGUUGACUUGAAGAUAUGAAGAUAAGUGGCUGCAAUCCAGGUUGAAGUAGCUUCUCCGUUAUCAUCAUCAAUCCCACCACAUGUAUGAACAUCACAUAGGGUCUUAAUUUGAAAUGAGUUGUUGUUCCAGUUUGGACUAGCAUGAAUUCUCCAUGUACAUCCUGACUUAGCACAUCUAGCUGUCACUCUGGCUUUUUCAUUUUUAAGUCUAUACAAUCUGAAGCCAUUUCUGAUGGCAUAUACCCUCAACACCUUCCUAAACUCAUAAACAUCUACAAACAACUGACCAGGCCGUAGAACAAGGUUAUCUCCAUCUUGUGUGAACUCAAAUCCACCUGAAUUGGUGUCAUAUCUCACACAAGCAGCAAUUUCCUCAUCAGACGAAUCAAAUUCAUCACCAGUCUCAUCACCUGACUGAUAAUCAUCAAGAACAUAGUCACUUUCUUCACCAUCUGAUCUUGCAUUCUCUUCAUCACUUUCUUCACCAUCUGAUUUAGAAGUAUAAAUUGUGUCAGUUGAACCUUUGCCAUUUUUCCCAGAAUUCUCAGAGCUAAAGUGUACUGUCAUAUCAUCUUCGAGUAAAUAACCACUCCGAAUACUGAAUUGCGUCAUAUUAUUCUCGUUGUUAAUUUCUUCAACAUCAUCUAGUUCAUUCCAAUUAAUUUCAGGAUCGGCAUUGAGGUUGACAGAAAACUGAUUUUCAGGAGUUAUCUCAGUCACCUUGCCAUCAACUACUGCUUCAACAUCAUAAUGCACAACACUGUAAUGCAAUAAAACAACAUAAAUAAAUGCUAUUAAUGUUAAAGAAAAAGUUAAAAUUUAGUAAAUAGAAAAUGCAAAGUGUAGUUGACUAGUAGUAGCACACAAAUGCAGCAUAUCAUCUAUUUGAAGCUUAUUAAAACCCACUUUAAAAAUUACAUCAUGAAUAUUACCAUAUGCUUGCAAAUGCAUAAUCAACCGUAACAUAAGCUAAAACCAUAUGCUUGCAAAAUACCCAAAAUGGUGUUGGAAAAUUUAUUCUCGAUUUUAUGUUUCACAGUUCCAUAAACAUUAUCAAAGAUGUGUCAAUGAACAAAUAAUGAAGCAUAAACUUGACAUUUACAAACAACUCACCAUAAUAUCAAUACGCUCUAAAUGGAGCAAAAAAAAAAAAAGCUUGAUUCAAAACUAACCUAUAAUUAAUUUCAACAUACCGAUUCAAAUCUUUCGAGCAUCGGUGAAAUUCAGAGCGGGACAUGAUGCAGAUUUAGUGUUUCUUCUUCACUUCACCCAAAUAAUAGAUACUGCUUUGCUAGAAAUUAAAAAAAAAUUUGCCUUCUCAACAGAGCUUUCGUCGUCUGAGCUUCAUGAAACUCAGCUUCAUGAAAGAGAAACGUGCAGUUUCAGAGAAAAGAGAAAAAGUUUUAAGCUUUGAUUCUUUUACAGUUUUUUAUUUAUAUCAAUUAUCACAAGGCACGAUUUUUUUCACAAUGAUUUGACAAUUCACUGGGCUCAUGUCAACUAAAAUGUGUAAAAGUUAGCUUGUCAAAUUAAAUUACUAAAUUGCCCAUAACUAACCAUAUGAGAUUUACCGUUUGCAUUCCGUAAGGGGGUUUUUACUAAUAAAUGAAUCUUGGCCAUCUAAGUGCAAAAGACCCAAAGCUCAAGGGAGGAAAGUAAAAAUUACCCUUACUAUUUCUCGUUGCACUUAUAAAGAAACCAAAGCUUUAAGAGAAAUCGGCCAAAUCAUGAAGAUUGAAGAGUAAAUCUAUGGUUUUAUAUUUAUAUUUUUAUUUUUAGAUAAUAGAUAUUAUUUUGAUGAAUUUUUAAUAUUAGAAUAAUGUUAGGAAUUUCGAUAGUAGAAUUCUAACUUGAGACCCAAUUGUUAUGUGUCAUUUUUUUAUUAGAUAAUAAAUUUCAUAAUUAGUAAAAUUAAUAUUUCAAUCAUCUAAUAAAUGACUAUCAUAUCAGUUGAGACUUAAUUAUUGGGAUCCUUAACAUUGCUCUUAGUAUUAAAUUGGACAUCUUAGCUAAAUCAGAUUAAAAAUCAAAUUAGAUUUUUGGCUUUUAUCCAACAUUUGUUUUUUGGUCUCUUUGUAGUGAACGAAAUAAAAAUACAACAGGUUCAACGACUGGGCAAUUGAUAGUCAAGUAGAAGCAAAUCAAGGCUAAAUGGGAAAGAAAAAUGAUAUGUGUACAAAACAAGGAGAAAAUCCGUGUAACUGAAGAGAAUCAAAGUGCUUUUGAGAUUAGAAAUUGAAGCAAGAAAAGGGUCGCUUGAUCCAUUGAAAAUGCUAAGAGCCAAUGGCAAAAGAGAACAAUGUUAAAUAAGAAAACAGCUAGCGCUAGCAGCGACCACAAUAGACAGAAAAGUUGAGAUGGAUUUACAAUAUUUCUGCCUUUCUUCAUGCUUUAACAAAUAUUGCUCUAUAAAAAAAAAUAUUGAGCGUUUUUAUUAUUGGAGUCACAAAAGACCUACACAAUAUAGCAAGUGCUAGGAAUAAAUAAGAAUAUAUAACUCUCUCUCUAAUUCUCACUCUAGCUUUUAAUUGUCAUUCAAAACCCAAAAUUCAUCCUUAAAGUGUAAGCAAAUCAAAGAUGACAGCGUCUGGUUGUCAUACGUGCCUUUUAGUUUUCGGAUGACAUGGCGUACACUUCUUCUGUAAACCGAACAUGACAUGUCGUACUCUUUGUUUUGAGAUCAUAUUUCAAACUCUUCAUGCUAUGAAUGUAAGAUAAACUACAAUCAUCAAAAUAUUUAGUGUUUAUUUGGUAAUGUAACGUCAUAGUUGUUGUGAAUUGAAAUUAUUUCUGUGAGAUAAAAGGAUUUGGGUCAUUGUUUGUUAUUCUCUGGCAAUAUUGUCUGGCCGUGACUAUUUGUUAAAUAUUAAAAAAAUAAAAUUAUAUUUAUUAAGUAUAAAAAAUAAAUAAACAAACAAAAAUAAAAGGAAAAGUUUAUACAUUACAUAAAAUAAUAAGAACAUUAUCAAUAUUUCACACUCUAUAAUUGAGUGAUGUGUUGUCCAACUGCCAUACAUUGGUCUCAAAUGGAGACUUAAAUAUUAAAGUCCAAAGUUAUUGUGAUGAUGACUUAUAAUCGCCAAACUUGACAUACGGGUAAUCAUGCAUUAUAAGGUGCUGAUUUCUUCCGAUCGGAACCUUAUUUUUCAUUUACAAAUAAAUAAAUGACGUGACUUAACGGGUGGUGGGGUCCUUUGUGCCAUUUGCGUAUUUCACUGAAUAGUUGAUUCAACUUGAUUGUAGCAGGAAGAUUCCUGGAAGUUGCCAUUUGCCAAUGCUACUAACAUUUUUAAACUUAGAAAACCCUUCAAUCAAUCAUUUAGUGGUAGGCUCUGGUAGCUUGCUUUGAUUAUGACAUAUGAUUAUUUGAUAAUAAAGUUAGAGGAUGUAUUAAUAUAAAAUUUGUUUAUUGGUGUUGAAGUUAAUUAUCUCAUUAAUAAUAGUAUAAAAAGUUAAUCACUAAGAAACACAUAGCAAUAUUCUGGGAUAUAAUUUUAUAUCAUAACUUUGUAAGUGUAUAAUUACUCAUUAAAUUAACAAAAUUAUUUUAAAAUAUUUAGUUAAAAAAAUAAAUUAUAUUCUUUUUAUUUCAAAUAAUCUAUAAGUUAACACAAAACAUAAUCAAGCUGAGAAUUAAAAUAAUGCUACUGUAUGAGAGGAUUUUUAUUUUUUCCCGAAGUUUCACUAGGAAAUUAUUGAUAUAUAGCUUUAUUCGGAUCAUCUCAGAUCAAACGACAAAUAAUUGAAAGACUAAACUAAAUAGACCAGCCAACAACUUUGUACAGCAGAGUUCAAAAAUUAAGGUCAUGGUAUUGAGGUGUUCUAUCUUCAAAAGUACGGUAUAGUGAUAAAAUAAAAACUAUUAGUCUUUGGUAAGAUAUGACUUUUAAAUAAUAAUUUUCACAAAAAUACAAAGAAUAUUUAUAAAGUACUUCUAUAGUGAGGAGACCCUCGCUUUGUUAAAGUGAAAAUAUCAAUAAUAUACAAGAAACAUAUAUUUUAACACAUUAAGAAUUGUAUCUUUUUAAUCUAUUGGUGUAUUGAAAUAUGUGUUAUUUAGUUUGUUAGUGAUAUCAUCACUUUGUUAAAAUAAGGAUGUCAGAACCAUUAUAUAUAAGAAAGCAAAUAUAUUUUGUACGGUAUAAUAGUGUAAUAACAUCACCCGAGUAUAUCAUAUAGAGUAAUAGUUUUUGGAACUUUAAUAAAGUUCAAGAUUAUAGAAUGAAUGAUUUAUAUAUAUUUUAAAUUUUUUAUCAUAAAGUGGAGGACAAAAGUAACAUAUUUUUCAAAUUAUAAUAAGUAUUUAUCAAAUAAUUUAACAUCGUAAUUUCUCCUAACUAGUGUAGUAAAUACGACCUAGGAGGUACAUUCAAAGCAUUUCAUAAGUUAAUUGUUAAUAAUAAAUGAUACAUGCAGCUCCAAUCAUCAUUGUACGGUGAGUAAUUUCCAGUUAUAAAUAGAUAUUACUCCCUUCCCAGCAAUUUUUGAUGGCUUAAUUUAGUGGGAUCAAAAUCAACAUUGAAUGUCAAAAUAUUAAUGGCCAUGAUGCUUAUUCCAAUGUGAGUAGAUCACAGUGGGUACUGCACAUGAUGCUUGUUUCUCCUUUUGCAUCUAUUUUUGUUGUUAACAUUAAUUUCAAUACCAGCUCGUUAUGUAUGCAACAUUUCAAAAUUAAUCCAAAAGAACAAAAAUUAGUUCAGCUGACUAAAUUUGAAAGCAUGUAUUUGCUGUCGAUUAAAAAUCGUUUUGUAGGGAAAAUUUUUGGAUUGCAAUUCUCAUACAAUACGUAAAAUUAUCAUAAUCUAUAAAUUGUAUUUUUGAUUUUCUGUGGUAGUAAGUUAGACUCCUUAGUGACGAUUUAAAUUGAAAAAAUAAAAUCAUAAAUAAGAAUUAUUUGACAAGAAUUAAAAUAAUUGAUAAAUAUUUGAGAGGAGCAAUUUUGGAAGAUUCGAUUUCUAAUCGGAGGGGAAUUUGAAUUUUACAGCCUUCGGUGAGGAAUCCAAAAUGCACAAUUUGAUGAAAAUUAAAUUUCAAUAGAAAUUGAAUUCCCUUUAUUAGUGAAAACCAAACAACAGAAAAGUGAAAGGAAUUUGAAUUCAUUUCCUUCCUCUCUUCUCCCUCCAACUAAAUACCAUCGAAAUCCAAAGGUAUGGGAUUGGGAUUCCAUACUGAUCAGAAUGGGAUUUGUUCAUAUUAUUAGGACCAAUUUUAAAAGCAGUCGGAGUUUCGGAGUUUAAGAUUGAAAUUAAUCCCAAUUGUUGAUUUGGGACUCGAUAAGAAUUUAUCUUGGAACUCCAAUUCUCCCAAUUAUUUUAGUUGACAAUAUGUUUAACAUUAUUUUUUAAACAUUAUUAAUUGCAUAUUAUUUAAUUAUCAGUAUAUAAUAUUCUUUAAUUUUCUAAUUUUAUAGGAUUAGACACAAAAUUGAUUAUGCCUUUUGAAAUUUAAGUGUUAUGUCAAUUGAAUAGAAAACUUGGAGUAAAACUUUUGGAUGCUUUUGUUGAUUAUCAAUUUAUGCAUGAAUUUUUGUACGUUUAUUUUGGUUUCUUAUUAUUACUUUUAAACAUUUUUAUUGGUUUGAUUUAGGGUUAGUUUGGUAAUCCUGUAUCUUUAAAAUUAAUUACAGUUAGCUAUGCUGUAGAAAUUGAUAAAUCGUGAAAAGAAUCAACCGAACAUUUAGGUGGCGUUUGUUUUUUUGUCUGAAAUCUGAAUAGACCUGAAUUAGUCUGAAUUCUGAAUAGGUCUGAAUGUCUGAAUCUGAAUAAUAUGUUUGUUUUUUCGUCUGAAUCUCGGAAAAUAAGUAUUAAGUUGUUUGUUUUUUUCAACUUAAAAAGCUGAAAAUAUGUACUUUUACAUUUGUAUCCUUAUUAAAUUUGAAUGUCAAAUAAAUAAUAUAUUAAAUACCAUAAUAUUUUAACAUUUAUAAGUAAAACUAUAUUCAAGUGAAUACAUAAUUAUUUUGGAAUUUUAAUAUAUAAAAUACCAUAAAUUUCAAAUUUUAUUGUAUAUAAUAUAAGAAAGAAAAAAUAGGGAUAUUUUUAUGUGAGGUAAAUAUCUAUGGGUGAGUUUUGGGAUAGACAUGAAAAAUAAAUUAUAAAACAGGGAUAUUUUUUACAUUAGCAAGCAAUUGACUUAAUUCAUAUUUCUCCAUUAAGUAAAAAGCCAAAAAAAUUAGCUUAUUUUAUUAAGUCAAAAUUAUCUAAAAAGUCUCAUUAAGUUAUAAAAACAAACACGUCUAAUUAACUUAAUUAAUUAAGUUAAGUCACUUUAAGUCAUUAAGUUAAAAAACAAACACCACCUUAGUAAAUUUUAUUUUAAAAAGUACAUUUAGUUUUAAAAUCAGUCGUAUGUGUUUCAUAAAUCUUAUUGUUAAAUCAGUGCAAGAAUGUAAAUGACUGAAUCAGACAUAAUGCUAAAUAAAAUUUAUUUAGACAUUUACAAACACGUAUAUAAAAUAUUUUUAUUACGUACAUAUAAUUAUUGAUAACUAAAAUAAAUAUUUUAUAUUAUUAAAUUUUAUUCUCUAUUUUGUUAUGUCCAUAUAAUUGGUAAUAAUAAUAAUUUCUUUAAAGUUUUGUAGGGAAAAUUUUUAGAUUGCAAUUCUCAUACAAUACAUGGAAUUAUCAUAAUCUAUAAAUUGUAUUUUUGCUUUUCUGUGGUAGUAAGUCAGGCUCCUUAGUGACAAUUUAAAUUGAAAAAAUAAAAUCAUAAAUAAGAAUUAUUUGAUAAGAAUUAAAAUAAUUGAUAAAUAUUUGAGAGGAGCAAUUUUGGAAGAUUCGAUUUCUAAUAGGAGGGGAAUUUGAAUUUUACAGCCUUCGGUGGGGAAUCCAAAAUGCACAAUUUGAUGAAAAUUAAAUUUAAAUAGAAAUUAAAUUCCCAUAUAUUAGUGAAAACCAAACAACAGAAAAGUGAAAGGAGUUUGAAUUUCAGGGUCCAACUACAAUACCUGUGGGGUUUGGUACCCUAUUUUUUGUCUUUUUCAAACCUACCGUUGGAUUUAAUGUAAGAAUUGCGUAAUGGCUGAGAUGUGAUUAUUGGGUUAUUAACAUCAAAGACCCUUAUUGUUCAUGCAAAAUAAACAAAAUCAAAAGUUUUGAAAUUUGACAUAUAAGUCCAUAAUAUUCUCUCUUUUUUUUUUAACUCCAUUGAAAUAGGUUUCCAAUUAAAUGACUUAUUCUUACAUUUAUUAAUAUCUAUUUAAAUUAAUUAAUUAAUUAAUUAAUUAAUUAACUACUUUGUUAUAUAGUUAAACAAUGCAUGUAUAUUAUUUACUAACCAUAAUUAGUGAUAAGUAUAAAUAUGAUCUUUUUUUUUUAAUUUAACAUAAUGGCAACCAAUUAUCUCUCACCUAUGUGAACAAGGUUCAAAACCCAUAAUUUUGUUUUUCAACACAAGAGAUUUUAUUAUCUCAAGUAGAUGAAAUAUACAAAAUACAAAAAUAAACUUAAUUUCAUAUUCUAUGUAGUUAAUUUUUUUUGUAACAUAAUAUUUAUUAAACAUACUAUCAACUAUUUAAUUAUAUAGUAAAAAUAUGUUAAUUUACUAAUAAUAAUAAAAUGUUAGUUUAUUAACUUGUAAAAUCUUUUUGUUAACAAUGAGUUUUUGUCCUUAAAUAAAUAAUAAUAAUUUAAUUGCACGCUUAAAUAAAUUGGUAUUUGUUACUCCACCCCAACUAUUUAAAUAGUCAUUAACUUAUCGGAGAGAAGGGUAAAAAAAUUCUAAACAAUUACUCUAUUUGAAAAUAAUUUAAAUAUUUCUUUAAAAAAAACUAAAAAUAAGUAUUUUCUAUUCUUUCUUCUUUCUUGCUAACAUCACAGAUGGAUAACAAUAGAGAUGGCAAUUCAACACAUAUCUAUCAAUUAAAAUAGAAGUCAAUUAAUAUAAUUAAGUGAAUAAUUAAUUGUGUCAUGAAUGAAUUAUCAUAUUAGGAGUUUUAAAACCAAACCCAAUAGAAUUAUUAAUCAAGUUAACAGCUAGAAAGAGCAAACAAAUCCAUUCAAGUUGGAUGUCUAAGUAUCUGAUCUGAAUAGAUUGGAUAGUAUCCAUAUAAAAUACUCUGAAUUUGAUUUAUUCAAUAUCCAUCCAUGAACUUGAAUAUUAGUAAUAUUUAAGUGUAUGAGACUAAAAUUAAGUAUUAUAUUUAAUAUUUAAGUUUUGUAAAUCAAAUGAAAAAUCAAAAUAAUAUUGCUAAAAAUUAUUGCACCACCAAUGACAACAAUGACGGUAUCAUCACUAAGAAAUAGACGUGAGUGAACAGAAAAACAAAAAACUAUCAACGUAUUCAAAAUUCUCUGAUCAAUGUAAUGGUGGCAAUGUUGCCGGAUAAAUAGAUAUGUCGGCGAUAGAUGAGCCUUCCAAUGCAAACAACUAUAACAAGACCCUAUGAUUAGAUGACAUUUUAACGCAGGGCGGAAGCGAUACUAGAUUUCGUUCUAUUAUACGUCUUGAAAACUCAAGAAAGAGACUCUCAUCAAAGAGAAGAUAUUUUAAUUGAGAAAAAACUGAAUAUUAUUAAUGAGAAGCUUGUGUCUGUUAUCAUAAAUUAAGAAUAAAAAGCCUAUAUAUAUAAUAGUAGCUAAAUUAAUCCUUAUCUUUCUCAAAUAAGAGAAAUAAUCUAAAAUCCUAAUUAGAUUAGAAUUACAAAUAUGACUCAAGUAAGCUUAAUAAAAUAAGAUAAAUCCUAAUAAAAUACCAAAUUUUAAAUUGACCCAAAUAUUAUAAUUCCUAGUAAAUUCUAAUUUAUUUAUUUUUUUAUAAGUUUGUUUGGUUUUUGGGUGUUUUUUAAAGAACAGAAAAUUAUAGGUAAUAGUAUAAGUAUAGAAAAGUAAAGGGGCAAAAUUAUAAAUAGGCAAAAGUUGGUGUUGCCAGCGACGAUGGUCGAAAAUUUGGCCUAGGAUAGGUGGAUCUAGAAGAUUUGAUGGUGUUGAGUGUGAUGCUGGUGGUGAUUUGUCUCAAAUAGUUGUGAUUUGACUGAAAAGUUGAGUUAAAGUAGUGGGUGGAGGUUGGUUUCAGUUUCUGGCGAUCCGGCCGAGGGUUGGCAGCGUGAGUGGGUUGAAAAGAAAGAGCUGAUGAUCGUGGACGAAUGGGUGGUGGUGGAGGCUGUGAAUCGUAACGGAUUGCAGUGAAUAGAGAGGUGGAUUUUCGUGGUGGUUCAGCGGUUGUUUUGGCUAGUUUCCCGUGGCUACGGUGACGGGAUGGUGGUGUUAUGGGUUGGGUUAUGAUUGGCGACGUGAGGGCUUUUGGAUGGGAGAGAGGAUCGACCAAAAAGAAGAGAAACCAGUGGCGGCGGCAGCCGUGUGGCACGGAUGUGAUGGUAGCUUCGGGUUUUGUUGGGUUUUUUUUUUUAACUUGAUGGAACUAAUGUACGAAGUUGGUGGUCGAGAAUGCUCUGCCUAGUGCAGAAAAAAGCUCUAAUAUGAUUUAUGUCUUGAAAACUUUAAAAAGAUGCUCUCACCAAGGAGAAGAUAUCUCAAUUAUGAAAAAAUUAAAAAUUAUUAAUAAGAAGUUUGUGUCUGUUAUCAUAAAUUAAGAAUAACAAGUUUAUAUAUAUAAUAGUAGCUAAUCUUUCUCAAAUAAGAGAAAUAAUCUGAAAUCCUAAUUAGGUUAGAAUUACAAAUAUGACUCAAGUAAGCUUAAUAAAUAAGAUAAAUUUUAAUAAAAUAUUAAAUUUUAAAUUGACCCAAAUAUUAUAAUUUCUAGUAAAUUCUAAUUCAUUUUAUCUAAUAUGCUUCCUACAUCACGUUUUAAGGUUCAUUGCCUUUAACAACCAAAUUGAGGGUCUCUAAAUUUAAAAAAAAAAAGAAAAGAAAAGAAAAGGUGGUAGUGUAAUGUAACUCCUUGUGUUUUUGUGGUAUAGUUAUUGUUGCAGUUAUUUUAGAAGGAGCAUGCAACUUUACAUAUCACCAUUUGCUAGCAUUGAGACUAUCUUUAUGUAAAUCAUCCAAUUUCAAAUAUAAUGGAACCCUUCAUGUCCCCUUUCGAUUAAAAAUAUCAUUGCACGCGAAGAAACAGUAGUCACUAGUGAUUGUUUUAAUACAAAAUAUCUUUUUAUAAUUAAUUAAAAAAUAAGAAUAAAAAAUUUAUUUUAUUAUUCUGUUUCUAUAUGGAAAAUAAUUUUAAUUACCUUUUAAUUAAAAUGGGUGAGAAAAAUGAUGUCAUUGAUGGUGCAAAAUGGAUGAGAAAAAUGAUACUGUGUUGGUGUAGGACUAAUGCGUAAAAUUUUAAAAAUUUUCAACAUUUUCAUUUUUAUAACAAAUACCAGGACACUAUUAUAAUUGACCUUUAAAAAGACAAAAGAGAGGGGUACCAAAGGCAUGUUGCAAUGUAGCUUUGCCCUUGAAUUCAUUAAUUUUCUAAUUUUAUAGGAUUAGACACAAAAUUGAUUAUGCCUUUUGAAAUUUAAGGGUUAUGUCAAUUGAACAGAAAACUUGGAGUUAAACUUUUGGUUGUUUUUGUUGAUUAUCAAUUUAUGCAUGAAUGUUUGUACAUUUACUUUGGUUUAUUAUUAUUACUUUUAAACAUUUUUAUUGGUUUGAUUUAGGGUCAGUUUGGUAAUUUUAUUUUUAAAAUAAUUACAGUUAGUUAUGCUGUAGAAAUUGAUCAAUUGUGAAGAGAAUCAGCUGAACAUUUAGUAAAAUUUAUUUUUAAAAGUACUUUUAGUUUUAAAAGCAGACGUAUGUGUUUCGUAAAUUUUAUUAUUAAACUGGUGAAAAAAUAUAAAUGACUGAAUUGAACAUAAUGCUAAAUAAAAUUUAUUUACACAUUUACAAACAUGUAUAUAAAAUAUUUUUAUUAUGUAUAUAUAAUUAUUGAUAACUAAAAUAAAUAUUUUAUAUUAUUAAAUUUUAUUCUCUAUUUUGUUAUCUCAAUAUAAUUGGUAAUAAUAAUAAUAAUCUAUUUUAAGUUAAUGAUUUUAUUUCUUAAUUCAUAAAGAUAAUUUUGGAUUUUUAUUAUAUAAUGAGGAUAUAUAUAGAAUUGGAUUAAGUAUAAAAGUAAUUCUCAAAAUCAAAUUUUGAAAAACUAUUCAUUCACUACUUUUCAAAAUCUACUGUAUGAUGAGAUGAUUUUACCGAAAGUAAUUACUAAAAAAAUUUAUAAAACACUAAAACUUAGCUUUUAUGGUAUGUUUACUUCAUGGAAUGAGGAAUGUGAAUGAAAGAAUGAGAAUGAAACCCAUGUUUACUUGGCAAAAUAUAAUUUGGGAAUGAGAAUAAAAUGUGUGGAUCUCACACAAUUUGAGAAUAAGGAAUGGGAAUCCCAAGCCCAUGAGGGGUUGGGAAUAAAAAUGAGGGAAUGAGAAUGAAAUAUAUAUUUACUUUUGUAUCCCUCUAAUUUUUUCAUAUUUCCUAAAUUACCCUCAUUCAAAUCACAAUUAAUUUUAUUAUUUAAAAUUUCAUUAAUAAUAAUAAUAAUAUUAUUAUUAAAUUUUAUUAACUUUAUUAUUUUAGUUAUUAUUAAUUAUUUUUAUUAAUAUUAUUAUUAUUAACAAUAAAAAUAAUGAUAAAAAUAAUAAUUAAUAAAAAAUAAUUAAUUUAUCAUUAUUAACAAUAUUAUCAUUAUCAUUAUUAACAAUAUUAUCAUUAUUUUUGUUAUUAUUAUUAUUAUUAUUAAAAAUAAUAAUAACAAUAAGUAAUAAUAACUAAAAUAAUAAAGUUAAUAAAAUUUAAUAAUAAUAAUAAUAAUAAUAAUAAUAAUAAUGUAAUUUUCAUUAUCUAGAUACAUUAUCUAGAUACAUGUAUAAAUAUUAUUAUUAAAAUGAUAUUAAUUAAAAUAAUAAUAAUAAUAAAAUUUAAUAAUGAUAAUAUUAAUAAAAAUUAAUAGUAACUAAAGUAAUAAAGUUAAUAAAAUUUAAUAAUAAUAAUAAUAAUAAUAAUAAUAAUAAAUGUUAAUAAUGAUAAUAUUAAUGAAAAUAAUAUUAACAGUAAUUAAUAAUAACUAAAAUAAUAAAGUUAAUAAAAUAUAAUAAUAUUAAUAAUAAUAAUAAAUGUUAAUAAUGAUAAUAUUAAUAAAAAUAAUAUUAACAAUAAUUAAUAAUAACUAAAAUAAUAGAGUUAAUAAAAUUUAAUAAUAUUUUAUUAACUCUAUUAUUUUAGUUAUUAUUAAUUAUUGUUAAUAUUAUUUUUAAUAGUAAUAAUAGUAAUAAUAACAACAAUAAUGAUAAAUUAAUUAUUUUUAUUAAUUAUUAAUACUAUGGGUAUUAUGGUAAAUUGAUUCUCAUUCUCAUUUAUUUUGCCAAGUAAACACAUCAAUUGCAUUCCAGCACAUUCCCAUUCCCAUUUAUUUUUGCCAAGUAAACAUUGAAAUCUCAUUCCCAUUCCUCAUUUCCUUUCCAGUCCAUUCCCAUUCCACCUCAUUCUUAUUCCAAGAAGUAAACGCACCAUUAAUAUUUAAAAUCACUUUUGAGAUUCCCAAAAACAAUCCUAACAUGCCUUUAUUUGGGUGGUGUUAGAACUUUUAGUUUUUAAAUUUAUAAAACAUUAAAAAUUAGCUUUUAGUUUUUAAAAUCACUUUUGAGCUUCCCAAAAACAAUCCUAACAUGCCUUUAUUUGGGUGGUGUUAGAACUUUUAGUUUUUAAAUUUAUAAAACAUUAAAAAUUAGCUUUUAGUUUUUAAAAUCACUUUUGAGCUUCCCAAAAACAAUCCUAACAUGCCUUUAUUUGGGUGGUGUUAGAACUUGUAACUUUUGGAUCUUUUAGUUUUUAUUGGUUGGAUACAAUAUUGUGACUUGAGCGUCGGAGGGUUUUCACCGGAAAAAAUUCUAGCGCCCCCUGACUGUUCUUUGUGCUUGCAUGCUCGCGGGUUAUCUGCUCAUGGAUCAUCUGCUCAUAGAACAUCUGCUCACGGUGCUCACUGAUCAGCAGCUCGUGGAUUAUCUGCUCAUGGUGCUCACUAAUCAGCAGCUCAUAGAUUAUCGGCUCAUGAAUUAUCUGCUCAUGGUUAGAGGAUUUUCUUGAAGAUUAAUAAGCCGCUUCUUCACCAAACAAAUUUAUUGUUGAUGCGGGGAUGUGGUUUUGAGUCAACAACCAACUCAACCAGAUUUCUGCAUCAACAUAAAAUAUUAAUCAGCUUAAUUAAUUUAUAAAAUUUAAAUCUAAUUAAUAAGUGACACAUAAAUGCCAAGUGCAAUAUAUGCAAAUCAUGUUUGUCGAUCAUUACAAAACUGGCUCUUGAAAACAAGCAAGAAAGCUUAAUUAAGAACUUAAAACAAAAAGAAUUAGAUUGAGGACAGUCAAGCCUUAUUUUUUCAAGGAUGGAGCUUAUAAAUCUUCAAGUACCAACAUAUGCUUGGCCCAAUUGUUGUUAUUAAAAUUUCAAAAUAUAAGUAUGACAUAGCAAAAAUUUGAUGGUACAUGUGUCGGAAUAUACUAGCUAGUUCAUGGAUGCAUUUGAUUAUUGUUUCCAUAAAUUUGAACCAAGAAGGAUGACACAAUAAAAUUUGAUUUUAUUAUAUGGUUGAUUUCAUAUCUCAUGCACUCAUUUCUUAAGAUAAUCAGAUUUUCUCUGACAUCUUUUGCAAAUGUGGAAAUAUCAAUUAUGAUCAAUCAAAACGAUCUCAAAACCUUUCAACGAGACAUAUUCAUAAUACAAUAUUGUGAAAAUUACACCAAAAAUUUGAUUUAUUAUAUAUUAUUAUCCAACGAGCACACAAAAAUGAAUUCAUACAAAUCUAAAAUACUUAGCAAUUUUCAAAUAGAAUUUACCAUGUACUACAAGAAAAUAUGGUAUAUGUGACCCCUAAUGCGAAUGCAAAAGCAGCCAUUACGUAUAUCACUAACUUCUUUGUAGCCCCGAGUUGCUUUUGUUACCCUUUAUGUGACAGCCACACUGCUGUCACAUAUGUUACUAACCACGUGACGGUAAAGAGCCGUUCGGUAUACUACUAUUUUAGAAUUUUAAAUUUAUUUCCAGUUAGAAAACUAUUCGCUGGACUCCAUCGUAAACCUAACUGGUUGCCGGCGAACGGCGUAAAACACCGGGCAUCUUCUUCUUCAUCGUAUUCUCCCUUCAUCUUUUGAGUUAAGCUUGUGAUUAUGAGUUUCUUCUCUUACUUAGCUUGUAAUUAUAGAUUUUGAUUCUUUUUAAUUCGUAUUGUAGUCGUUAUUGUCAAUUUUUGUCUCGCCAGCAAUUGUUUUUAUUCCUACAAGUUGAAGCCCCUGUGUUCUUGUUCCAUUGGUGUGUUUGCUCACUCAAAUUAAUUUUGUUCUACAAAGUUCAAAUGGAUUCAUUUGAAUUACUAUUGAAUUUAGCUUUAAUUCCAACAUCCAUUCUAAUGUUUUGCUAUUAGAUUUACUUUAAUUUUAUGUUUAAAGCUUCUACAAUGAAUAGCGGAGCUUGGGUUUUAGUUUCAUUUUCUAGAUAACUUGUUUAUCUUGUAUGCUCACCAAGUGCAUGUUAUAUUGUCUGAUAAGUUAUAUAUAUUGCUGAUUCUAUAUUAAUAAUGUUACGUUCUAUUUUCAGAAAUUAUAAUAUAAACUGAAUUAACUUGUAGAAUAAGAGCUUGGAGUAGUGUUAUGUUCUUGAAUAAAUGAAAGUCCAUAUUGUGUAAGAGCAUGUAGAUGUAAAGCGUCAUUGCCAUUUCUAUAAAGGUUCUGUUCAGAUGCUCCUCUUGAACUCUGAAAGGUGCCUCAUUCAAGUCCUAGCUAUAACUACUAGCUUUGAUUAAUUAAUUUCCUGUACUAGCAGAAACAGAUUUAUUUAUUUAAAUAAUUGUCUAUGUACUAAUUAUAAUGAAAGUAUAUGAAGAAAUUUUUUAACAUGAAUGACUUCUAAAUGACUUAAAAACCUAAAGGAUAUGAGAAAUAAUGCUCAUUUCACUUGAACGAGCCUAUUAAUACUUGUAUGUCUAUGAUUGUUAAUAUUGGCUUAAGCAUUUCAGUUAAAUGGUUUACAUAACAGGGAAAAAAAUUUAAAUGAAAACUUUAGAGUUCUAACAGAAAUAUAAUUGACUAUGCAGAUAUAGUUAUUUUAUGGUAUACAAAUCAUGUUGCCUUAAUCUCAAUGUCCUAUGACCUAUUUUAUUUUAUAUAGUCAUUCAUUUUUGCCAUGGCUUUUUGUUUUUAUGAGUAUGGAAAUAGUGGGAUUUGGUGUAUCUUAGCAUCUUUGGAAAAUUCUCUUUAAAUGUGGCAAACAAAAAUAUACAUAUAAUCAAGUUUCUUAAUCAACUAUCAUAACUGGCUAGCUAGUUCUUGCCUGCCUUGCUGCCAUUACCCAGGCCAUUACAUUGCAUAGCAUAAGGAAUAGUGAUUAGGUGCUUAUUAGUGAUUCGUUGAGCUUAUUAUUGACAAACCAACAUAUUCGCCUUUACCCACAACUUAGUUUGAUUAGUUAUUGUUGUGUAAUAGACCAAGUUCGUAACCCAACUGAAGCAAUUAAUCAGAUUUACAAAACAAGCAAGAACCCAGAAAACGAACCAGGGGAUACAGUCAAGUAACCAAGAACAAGAAAGAAAACUUAAUCAAGAGAUACAAAACAGAGGUUAACGUGGUUCAGUACCAUGAGUACUUACAUCCACGAUCAGGAACAGUAGAGCUAAAGCUUUAUUAGGAGAUAUCAAGAUUACAAUGGAAUCCACUCAGAGCAAGAAACUAAACUCACACAGAGAAUCUUUCUCAACUCACAAACUAUCUCACUUGACUAACUGAUCAGCUCUCUCUCUCACUGAAGCUAUAAAGCUAGCAGUUUACAGCUGGUUAUAACGACUAACUAAAACCACCUGGGGACCCACCCAUGCUGACUCAGCUUUCCAGCUCAGCUAAUAUAUAUAACCGAAUGUAACUAACUUGAUUCCACAAAUCUCCACCUUAGUUAACUCGGUUAUGGCUUUACUCAUCACUGCUCCAUCACCAGUUAACUUGUCUCACAAGUUAAUAACCCCAAUCAAGUCCAAGGAGUUCCUGAACUUAACUGUUGGCAAAGGUUUUGUUAGCAUGUCUGCUGGAUUUACUUCAGUAGGAAUUUUAAUGACAUUGAUUACACCAUUUCGAAUUUCUUCCCUGAUAAAGUGCAUCCUCACAUCCACAUGUUUUGUUCUUUCAUGGUACUUGGGGUUUUUGCUCAACUGUAUAGCACUUGAGCUAUCACAAUUGACAGUGACUGAUUCUUGUUCCAAACCCAGUUUUGUAACUAACCCCUUCAACCAUAAUGCUUCUUUCACAGCCUCUGUUAAAGCAAUAUACUCUACCUCUGUUGUUGAGAGAGCAAUUACUGAUUGUAAUGUUGACUUCCAGCUCACAGCUCCACCACAGAGAGUAAACACAAGACUAGUGACUGACCUUCUCCUAUCUAAAUCUCCUGCAAAGUCAGAAUCAACAGAUCCCACAACUUGGCUAGAUGCAUUACUAACUUGUCCAAACAUUACUCCAUACUCUUCAGUACUUUUAAGAUACCUUAGUAGCCAUUUAACAGCUUCCCAAUGUUCCUUGCUGGAUUCCCCAUGAACCUGCUGACAAGACCAAUUCCAUAGGCAACAUCUGGUCUGGUACAGACCAUAGCAUACAUAAUGCUACCAACUGCACUGGAGUAGGAAUUCUCCUCAUGAGAUCAAUGUCUGCUUCUUCUCCUGGUUCCUGCUGUUUAGAAAGUUUGAAGUGUGCUGCUACUGGGGUAGUGACAGGCUUUGAGUUCACCAUCCCAAAUCUACUGACAACCUUUUUCAAAUAUCCAGAUUGUGUGAGAAAUAGAGUCUUGGCAUGUCUAUCCCUUUUGAUUUGCAUUCCCAGUAUCUUAGCAGCAGGACCCAAAUCCUUUAUUUCAAACACUGCCAUUAGCUCAGUCUUGAGCUUCUCAACUUCUGCUCUAUGUUUACAUGCUAUAAGCAUGUCAUCAACAUAGAGGAGUAGACUGAUUUGAUCACCUAAGUUCAGCUUCCUGAAGUAAACACAAUUGUCAUAUUCACUUCUGCUGAAGUUGUGAUUCAGCAUGAACUCAUCAAACUUUAAGUACCAUUGCCGAGGAGAUUGCUUCAAUCCAUACAAGCUUUUCUUGAGUAAGCAAACCAUGUCUUCAGUUCCUUCCUCAAUAAAGCCUUCUGGCUGAGCCAUCAGGAUUUCUUCUUCUAAGUUUCCAUGUAAAAAAGCAGUCUUCACAUCCAUCUGGUCCAAUUCUAAAUCAAAGUAGGCUGUGAUGGCUAAUAGAACCCUUAUAGAGGAAUGUUUCACAACAGGUGAGAAGACUUCAUUGAAGUCUAUCCCUUCCUUUUGUGUGAACCCCUUUGCCACAAGCCUGGCUUUAUACCUCACUGAUUUACUUCCAGCAACUCCCUCCUUGAGUUUAAAGAUCCAUUUGCAGCCCACCAAUCUUCUUCCAGCAGGCCUCUGAACUAGCACCCAAGUGUUAUUGUCUUUCAGUGAUGCCAUUUCUUCUUUCAUAGCACUCAGCCAUUUUAGCUUAUCUCUGCUAUUUAUAGCCUGCUUGUAGCUUUUAGGUUCUUCUCCAGUCAUCUCAUUAGCAACCAUUAGUGCAUAGGAUAUUAAGUCAGCAAUCCCAUAUCUUUUGGGCAGUUUAACUACCCUCCUUUCUCUAUCCCUCGCAAGCUGAUAGUUAUCAAGUUCUGAUGUUGUAGUACUUUCUUGAUGGUGCUCAGUCAUCUCUUUACUUACUUCCAAAUUGUCUCUGGACUCCACCUUCAACUUAGAUCUCUUUUGAGGUUCAGAUAUUUCAACUUCUGUUCCAACCUUCUGCUGCAACAUAGCUUCCUCAUUAAACACUACAUCUCUACUAAUCAAGGUUCUGGAUGGCUUGCCAUCAAUGCACCAGAUUUUGUACCCCUUUAUGCCUUCAGGAUACCCAAUGAAGUAUCCUUUCACAGCCCUUGGUUCUAGCUUGCCCUGACUUAUAUGAGCAUAAGCUGGGCAGCCAAACACCCUGAGAUUACCAAGAUUUGGUGGCUUCCCUGACCAUGCUUCUUGUGGUGUUUUGAAAUCUAAAGCUGAUGAGGGGCUCCUAUUUAUUAGAUAUGCAGCUGUAUUAACUGCCUCAGCCCAAAAAUGCUUUGACAGAUUUGCAUUAAACAACAUGCAUCUGACCUUUUCAAUUAAGGUUCUAUUCAUCCUUUCAGCCAAGCCAUUUUGCUGGGGAGUGUGUCUCACUGUCCUAUGUCUUGCAAUGCCCUUUGAUUUACAAAAAUUUUCAAAGUCACUGCUGCAGAAUUCCAGGCCAUUAUCAGUCCUCAGCCUUUUAAGCUUCUUUUCUGUUUGGGUUUCCAUAAGUGCAGUCCACUCUUUAAACCUUUCAAAUGCUUCACUCUUAUGCUUCAGCACAUAGACCCACACUCUUCUAGAGUAAUCAUCUAUGAAUGUGAUGAAGUACCUAGCUCCACCAUGAGAGGGAACUUGGGAUGGUCCCCAAAGGUCUGAGUGAACAUAGUCUAAGGUCUGUUUUGUUUCCUGUCUACCAGAGUUGAACUUUUGCCUUGUGGCUUUACCGAACACACAUUUUUCACAAAAUUGUAGUGAGGUGAUUUGAUCAUUUCCUAGCAGCCCUUGCUUACUUAAUUCUCUCAACCCCCUUUCACUCAUGUGUGCUAGCCUCAUGUGCCAAAGUUUGGUUUUAUCACUGCUUACACUAGCUGUGAUUGCUGGCAUAGUUGUUGAGCCAGCAAGUACAUAUAAACCAUUCCUCCUUAUGCCUUUCAUUAUAAUCAGGCCUUUAUCUUCAAUUUGAAGAUUUCCAUUUUCUGCUUUUAUACUACAGCCCCUCUGAUCCAUAACUCCUAAAGAUAUUAGAUUUCUUUUUAAUUCUGGAACAUAUCUGACCUGAUUUGGAUCCCUUUCAAUGCCAUCAAACAUCCUAAUGCUAAUGGUGCCAAUUCCAGCUACCUUACAGGCAAGAUUGUUCCCAAGCAAGACUUUUCCACCAUCAAUGCUUUCAAAAGUCUUAAAGAAAUCUACAUUUGGACACAUAUGGGAAGGAGCACCUGAGUCAAGAAUCCACUCACCUGAGAUUGCUUUUUCUGCAGCAAUGAGGACAUCUGCAUCAUCUGACAUCCCUUCAUCUUCAGAGGCUACAGCAGCUUUUCCAUUAGAUUCCUUUUGCAAUUUCUCAAGCUUCUUCUUCUCAAAACAAUCCUUGAUGUAAUGACCUUCCUUUUGACAAAAGUAACAUUUUCUCUUCUUUUUCUUCUUGUCUGGUUUAUCUUUCUGGUUACUGUUCUUCUUGUCUUUGUAGAAUUUCUUAUCUGGUUUUGCUUUUGCAACUAAGCUUUCUGCAGGGUUUUGAUCCUUCCCAUCUAUUCUUCUCUUCAAGUCCUUUGAUUCCAGGGCAUUCUUUACAUCCUUUAAUGUAAGUGUUUGUCUUCCAUAAAGCAAUGUAUCAACAAAAUGUUCGUAAGAGUCUGGGAGUGAGCUUAAUAGGAUUAGGGCCCUAUCUUCAUCUUCAAGAACUAUAUUCACAUUUUCAAGGUCUAGGAUCAGCUUAUUAAAUUCAUCCACAUGAUCCUUCAAGGCUGUUCCAUCCUUCAUUGAAAAUGUGUAUAGCUUUCUUUUCAUAUACAGUCUAUUGGCUAGGGAUUUCUUUAAAAAUAAUUCUUCCAGUUUCUCCCAUAGACCAGAAGCAGUCUUUUCUUUAGACACCUCUCUUAGCACUUCAUCCGAGAGAUGUAGGAUGAUAGUGCUAUGAGCUUUGUUGUUGAUAGUCUUCAUGUCUCUGCCAGAGCUGGAUGAUCAUUCUUCCUUCCCUUUCUUGGCCUUUGAAUCUUCAUCUUCUUCAAGAGCAGCAUCCAAUCCUUGUUGAAUCAAGAUUGCCCUCAUUUUGAGACUCCACAAAUAGAAGUCAUUGUCCCCAUUAAACUUCUUCAGAUCGAAUCUUGUAGAUGCCAUUGGAGGAUUUCAAAGAGCUUGAUAGAUGACCAAGCUCUGAUACCAGUUUGUUGUGUAAUAGACCAAGUUCGUAACCCAACUGAAGCAAUUAAUCAGAUUUACAAAACAAGCAAGAACCCAGAAAACGAACCAGGGGAUACAGUCAAGUAACCAAGAACAAGAAAGAAAACUUAAACAAGAGAUACAAACAGAGGUUAACGUGGUUCAGUACCAUGAGUACUUACAUCCACGAUCAGGAACAGUAGAGCUAAAGCUUUAUUAGGAGAUAUCAAGAUUACAAUGGAAUCCACUCAGAGCAAGAAACUAAACUCACACAGAGAAUCUUUCUCAACUCACAAACUAUCUCACUUGACUAACUGAUCAGCUCUCUCUCUCACUGAAGCUAUAAAGCUAGCAGUUUACAGCUGGUUAUAACGACUAACUAAAACCACCUGGGGACCCACCCAUGCUGACUCAGCUUUCCAGCUCAGCUAAUAUAUAUAACCGAAUGUAACUAACUUGAUUCCACAGUUAUUAGACCAUAAAGAGCGUUAAUCUGUUCAUUGGCUUUGUUAUUUUUAUUUGGUUUUUCUUCCAACAAUACUGUUGAUUUCUUAUAAAAAUACUCAUUGGUUUUUAGUUAUUAGACCAUAAAGAGCAUUAGUCUGUUCAUUGGCUUUGUUAUUUUUAUUUGGUUUUUCUUCCGACAAUACGGUUGAUUUCUUAUAAAAAUAUUCAUUGGUUUUUAAACACCUAAUCAUUGGCUAUAAUGAAGCUAAUUGAAACUGAGGCUUAUCAAUUUCUUCCUGCAAGAUACAAUUGAGCAUAAACUAUAUCCUCAGUAAAUUUUUCUAAUAUCCUUGAUUUGUUAGGAUAUGGGCCUGAAAUCCUCUAGAUUUUUUUAACACUGUCAAUGUUCUUUUUACUCUGAAAAGGGAAAAAAAAGGUUAUAUCUUUCAUACCCUAAUAGUAAGUUGGCCUUGACUUAACAUGCCUUCCCGAGGAUUUGCAAGAUUCACAAGCAGCUCACACCCCCCCUAACCAAAAAAAAAAAAAAAGAAAAAUAAAUAGGAAGAUUUUUGCGAGAUUCACAACCAGGUUAUAUUUAAUUUAUUAAUUGUGUGCACGUACUAGUUAUAUGUUGAAAGAAUAGGAAAAAGUAUUUUAACAUGAAUGACUUAAAACUUAUUGCUUAGUAAACAUAAUCUGCAUCAGUGCUAGAAAAUGUAUUUAUUGUUUGUAUUUUUUAUGGAUUUGCUUAAGAAAUGAUGCGCGUAACAAUGCUACAUUGUAUUAGGAACAAAUUGAAGAGAUUUAUGAUAUUUCUGUGUUAUUCAAAUUUCAGAUUGAAUUUUAAACUUUCAAUACAUGUGUUGUAAUUAAGAAUGAGAAACCUUAAUUCUUUUACCCAAGAAAUCACCACACACUGAUCUUGUUAAGGAAAGAAUGAAGGAUCGAUAUAGAAAUCAGAUUAAGAAUAAGGGUAUUUUAAUCAGAGACAGGAAUUAAGAAAGAAUCAAGCAAAACGAAAUGCAAAGGGGAUUAUAGAGGUUUGGCUUUGCAGCCUACAUCCUCUUGAGAAACAGAAGCCAUAGCUUUUCUUUAUGCUUUAACAGAUUACAAGUAUUAGAGUAAUUGCUACAAGGAACGAUUCCUCCCAAGUAUAGCCCUCAAGGCUAUAUAUACAACUCAGAAAAGAUCCAGAUAUGUGAGUUGUACAACAGCUCUCAUUCUGGGUUUGUUUCAACAGACCCAGCAAACUCCCGCCAAUCCUAACUGUAUGUAACAGCUCUUCAAAUUGAAACGGCAUCAGCAGCUGUCGUUUAACUUAAGCUUGAUCGUGCAAGUUGUUGUGCAAAUUUUAAUGAACUCGCAAGCGCACGAAUCUAUUGUAGUGUAGAUCAAUGGUGACAAGUGUCGAUCCCACGAGGAGGUGGAUUUUAAUUGUGUAUAGAAUUAAUUUUGCAAAAAUGGGUGGUUGGAAUUGUGGUGGAAGUGAUUUAAAUUAUCCUAAAAUUGGAAUUGAAAUUGCGAUAAUAAAUUCUAAAAUUGGAAUUGCAAUGGCGAGAAUAAGUUGAAGCGAAAUCUAUUGAAAUGACGUACUUGGGUAUCUGGAUCCGUAUCAACAUGCAUCAUGGGCUAAAUAUUCCUUAUUAAUACCAAUUAAAUCAUGAGGGGGGAAUCCACACCUCAUGAACCACGCUCUAAUCAAUAUGGUGCUAAGGGCUUAUCGUGCCAAAUAAUAAUAACCUUAUACUAGAGAGCCGGUGUAACCAAGGCGGUAUCUAGACAAGAUCAGUAUUAUUUGUCGACGAUAAGUCAAAUCAUCCACAAAAACUAGAGGGGAAAAGAAAAUAAAUUUACCAAAUAAAGCCCAUGACACAUGUUGAGACUUCACCUUCAACCCAAGCUUGAAAGAAAAUUAGCCACUCAUAAUUGAACUAAGGGCAAAAUGGGAAUUUAUUAAAAUACAAAGAAAAUACAAGAUGGAGAAGGAAUUACAGAAAAUGGAUCCCAAAAAUGGAUUCAGAGAUAUCAAAUUAGGGGGGGGGGGGAGGCCCCCUUUUUAUAGAUACAUGGAGUAAAUCAUGGCCAUCGGAUUAAAAACAGUUUGGACGUUCAGGAUUGCGCCACGUCAUCAGUCAACAGUCCACGGUUUGACCACGCGGAUGAACAGUAACACGGUUUGGUUGACAAUAAUCCUGUGUGAUGCAUGCACCGUACGCGAGAUUUUUCGUCCACUGAUAUGCUGCCACGUCACCAUCAACAGUACAUAAGAAUUUUAGUCCAACAGGAUCGUGACACCUCAUCAGUCAAUGCCACAUCAUUGGUCAAUGCCACAUCAUCGGUCAAUGCCACGUCAUCGAUCCGUCUAUGUGAACAGUGUCGUGAACAGUAACGUAGACAGUACCGUAUACGUGAAUAGUACCGUACAUGUGAAUAGUGCCAUUUUUCCUUUUAUGCUCCUCCUAAGGUUUUCGACCGUCCUGAGUUCAAAAGUGAUGUCUGUUUUGCCGUCUGAUCUCUCCUUUAUUGUGAAAUGACUAUAAUGCCCCUAAAAUACAUAAAAUACUUAAUUAAAAUAACACACACGUAAUUACAUCACAAGAAGGUUAAAUACAUAAAAGUAAGGGUUGUUAGUAAGACUUGAAAUGUAAAAUGAUGGUUUUCUCCUUUAUAAAUAUGCAUUUUCUAACACUCAACACACCCCCCAACCAGCUUAUUGCUAGUCCCUAGCAAAUAAAGCGAAAACAAAAUUCAAAUUCAAAAUGAUUUUUUUUUUUUUUUUUUUUAGAAACACUCGUGUUUAUUCAAUCAGAUUAAUGAUAGCAAUCAAAUAAAAGUAUAAGCAUUAUCUCCAGUCUAAAGCAACAUCACACCCACAUCAACCAUCCACAUGAAUUAGCCCAGUAGACUUUGUUAUAGCUACUUUCAAGAAUGACAUGUCAAACCCCAAAAUCUCACUGGAAGUAGUGACACUCUCACAAAGAAAUUAAAACCCAAUAAACAUAGUCACUCCAAUGAAUGGUAAUUGAGAGAGAAAAUAAUAAAGAAAUGAUAUCACAUGCUCUCACCAAGAUGAAAUAAAUAUGCCCUCAGCUUAGAAAUAAUACGAUCUCAAGUCAAAUAAAAUGUUAGUCAACCCACUUUAUUUAUCUUUUUUUUUUUUAUUAUGCAUCACUACAUCUUUUUAGCCCAUAUAACUAGCUUCUACUUCAAACUAUAGUUCCCUAAAAUCAAGAAGGACUUUUAUUAGGACGUAACGUAGGCUAGGGAUAUGGCUAACAAAGAAAGGAAAUAAGGAAAACAAAGUGUAUGUUUGAGAAAAAUGCAGAAUUUUUUUUUUUUUUUUAAGGGCAAAAAAGGGGUAACUAUGGAUAUUUAAUAAAAGGGAUGGCUAGAAAGGCUCAAACGGAUCAAAGAUGGCCUUUCCAUCGUCUUUAAGGGCUCUAAAUAAUUAUCCAUAUCUACUAGUUAGAUGGGCCUCCCAAUGUAGCAACACACAUUUUUUUCUUUUUUUCUUUUUUUUUUAAUUUUACCAUAUUUUUUUUUAAAGGGUUAACUUAAAAGAAACCUAGAGAUCGUGUAUAAAAUAAUAAACUGCUAAGCUGUAUAGAGAAUGGGCAAAAGGGUUACUCUCCAAGAAAAUGAUAGGCUCAACUACUCACUUGGCACUUAUUUAUGACAUGUUCAUUCCUUCAAGCAACUCAUAUUUGUCUCCGACAUCAACAUGUAAAGUAGCAAACAUAGCGUAACAUCACUUAAGACCAAAGAUAAUACAAAUACUAAAAUUUGAAAUUAAUCAUGUCAUCCAAUGUUAAAACAAAUAACACAAUUUUUUUUUUUUAAACAACAUUCUACCCCCCAACCUAUUCUAAACAUGAAAGGAAAAUAUGCAUGCAGAAAUGUGAAAAUGAUGUAGAAAAAUUAAUUAGAAAAAGAAUUUUUUUUUUUUUUAAACUAAGAAGAUGCGUUUCUAGAGGCACUACACUCCAUAUUCAGCCAUCUUCGACUCAAAAAUUUGAAACUACAUAUUUAUAAAGGAGAAAGAGGAAGAAAACAGGUUUUUUUUUUUUUUUUUUUUUUUUUUUUUUUUUUUUAAAACGAUGAAGAUGCGUUUCUAGAGGCACUACACUCCAUAUUCAGCCAUCUUCAACAUAAAAUGUUAGCAACCGUUAGUUUCUACAACAAAAAAUCAGUAAAAACUUAACCAAGAUUCCACAAUUGUCGACUAUUCCCUCCCCCCAACCAGAACGAAACAUUGUCCUCAAUGUUUUAAAGGAAAGAAGUAGAGUUUAGAAGACAUCACCUGGGUGGUGCAACACAGAAGAAAAUAUUUACAGGCGGAGAGUUAAAUCUAAUUUGUACUUCUUACUGCGGCUACUGUUACCAUCAUUAUUUGGUCGCUCCAACACAAAGGUCCAGGGGUCUGGCUCCGGUUUAUAAGCUUGUAACAUAUCAAGUAGCUCAUUAGCAGUGUGAGCACAAAUAAAGAGUUUUUUCACAUUAGAAGGAAUGAAAUAGUUUUUUAUUGCAUGGUUAAGAAAUGCGAUAAAGCCAUCAUAAAAGUUAUUGACAUUUAACAAACAGAUGGGUUUCUGGUGGAUGUGCAGAUGGGCCCAAGAUGCUAGUGUCAUAAGUGCCUCUAGUGUUGCAAGAUCUCCUGGAAGGAAAAUAAAAGCAUCAGCAUGAUUAAGCAUUUCAGUUAUUCUUUCUUGCAUACCUGAGACGACUAACUCUUCUCCAGUUGAUGAGUCAGACGAACUGCCCAAUGGUUUUAGGACUCUUGAGAUGAUGCCUAACACUUGACUUCCUCUGAUAAAAGCUGCUUCUGAGACCAUUUUUGAUAACCCUCGGUUACCUCCUCCAUACACCAAAUGUAAUUUUCUCGCUGCUAUGCUUCGACCAAGAUCUAUGGCUGCCUCCACGAACUCUUUAUGUUUGCCAUAGGUAAAUCCAGAAAGCACACAAAUGUUCUUGAAUUGUCUAUUAGGAGUAGCUGCCAUUGUGAUACUUCUCAAAAAUAAUUUGUGAGUGCUUGACAAAAGAUAAAUCACAUUUAAGAAUCUUGGUGACAGUGGAUCACAGCUGUGAAUAAGGUAACAUGUCAGUGUCAAAUAACGCGUAAAGCACGAGGCUCGCGAGUCAAAAAGGAAACAGUAAAAAGGAAAAAGCAAACAGUAACAAAAUUAUUAAAGACAAUAAUGCAAACAAUAAAACAACAGUGAAAUGAAAUAAAAUAACAGUAAAGUAAAAGGAUAUUUACACGUAGUUGCGACUGUGGCUCACAUCUUCCUCUGGUUUUACGUCCAGAAACGGCUUGAACGCCCUCUAUGGGUCGAGGAUAGGCUUCCUAUCCAGUUUUCUUAUAAACUGGCAAACAGGGUCGUUUAUAGUCAGAUUCCCAAGACUAUAUCGUGUAUGCUCUUUCUGGAAUAAUGGCCAUAACUGGAGAAUCGCUCCUUGCACAUAUCCACUGGGAUGCGUUUCAAGAGACAAAAGGAUAUCAUCCAAUGACUCCUUAUUCAAGCCAUCCCUAAUGAAUUGAAUCUUAUCUUCUCUGUUAUCAGACACCAUUCCUAAAGAACAUGGGUUUCUAUCGCAACUCAUUCUGGCACACUUGUGACAAGCAACAGAAAUUCUUCGAGCUCGUCGUUUUCUUGCGUAAUUUCCUUUACCACAACCAGGCAUGUAUGCAAUAAAUUUAGGAGGUAACUCACCUGCCAAUCGUACUUUAGCCUCGAUUAACCAACGGAUGUCUGCAGGUAUGUUAUUCCUCAUGAGCAAUCGCAUGCGUUCAGACCGGGCUUUAUAGAUUGUAAGGAGGGCAUUCUGAGGAAGUGAAGGGAAUCGCUUGUGAAGCUUUGCUAGAAUCUCGUUUCUAUCCAUACCUUCGCCUCAGAAUAUCAGUUAUUAUGGGAAACUGAAGUAACCGACUUGAUUGUCAUGGAGUACCGUUAUCCGCCACUUCACCGGGGUAACAAACUAAAGCACACAAACAGAAAAACAAAUCAAAACACACAAAGAAAAUUAAAAUCGUCCUCUUAUUGAAUUUACCUUAAGCUCCAACUGGAUGUCGUAAACACUUCUCUCAAUGUCUCUGAGUUGGCGUUCUAAACCCUCAACAUAGGCUACUAACUCUGGUGGUUGUAGAGCCCAAAUGCGUUGUGUUUUACAAAAUAGAAUCUGCCUUUUGAGAUGAGUUUUGACACGUUGAAGUGGUUUAAGAAUGUUCAGGAGGAACGGUCUAAGUAUGAGACUCAUGAUUAAAAAUGAUAAGAGAAAACUUAAUGGUAAAAUAAACACACUUAUGCAAAAACAAUUUCAAUUAGCAAAAGAAUAAUAAUAAAAAGAAAUAAAGAAAAAUCAAAUCAACGAAAAGAAAAAAAAAUCAAUUCAAAUUUGGUGGGUCACUCAAAUUUAUUUCGAUGUUUUCUCCAUGUGGUUGGUACUCUAGAUAUGGCUUUAAUCUUUGACCAUUAACUUUAAACGUGACACCGUUCUUUGGGUCCUUAAUUUCAAUUGCCCCAUGUGGAAAAACAGUAUGUACAAUAAAUGGGCCAGACCAACGAGAGCGUAACUUACCUGGGAAUAGGUGCAAGCGAGAAUUGAAUAAAAGCACUUUCUGACCUGGAGUGAACGAUUUUCUCAUAAUUUGCUUAUCAUGGAAGACUUUCAUUUGUUGCUUGUAAAUCUUGGCAUUUUCGUAUGCAUCAUUGCGAAUUUCUUCAAGUUCUGCCAGCUGUAAUCUUCUUUCUGAGCUGGCUUGCUGCAUGCCAAAGUUGAAUUUCUUGAUGGCCCAAUAUGCACGAUGCUCGAGUUCCACAGGUAGGUGGCAAGCUUUUCCAUACACUAGCCUGUAGGGUGACAUCCCAAUCGGGGUCUUGAAAGCCGUUCUAUAUGCCCAUAAUGCAUCAUCAAGUCGUAAUGACCAAUCUUUCCUGUCUGGCCUCACCGUCUUUUCUAAUAUGUGCUUUAUUUCUCGAUUGGAGAUCUCAACUUGGCCACUGGUUUGCGGAUGAUACGGGGUCGCCACUUUGUGUGUGAUUGAAUACUUUGUCAAAAGAGCCUUGAAUGCUUUGUUACAAAAGUGGGCACCACCAUCACUGAUUAUCGCUCGAGGGAAUCCAAAGCGUGAAACAAUGUUGCUUUUCAAAAAUCCUAUCACCACUUUGUGAUCAUUGGUUCUGCAUGGAAUUGCUUCCACCCAUUUCGAUACGUAGUCAACAGCAACCAAUAUGUAUUGAUGACCAAAAGACGGAGGAAAGGGUCCCAUGAAGUCGAUACCCCAUACGUCAAAAAUCUCAACCACUAAAAUUGGAUUUAGUAGCAUCAUGUUCCUUCGUGUAAUGCUCCCCAUUCGUUGACACCUAUCACAUGAAGAACAGAAAGUGUAAGCAUCUCGAAAUAUAGUUGGCCAAUAAAAACCACAUUGUAAAACUUUAGUCGCGGUGUUCUUAGCACUGAAGUGGCCUCCACAAGCUUGUGCAUGGCAGAAUGAAAGAAUAUUCUGAAUUUCAUUUUCAGGGACACAUCGUCUAACAAUUUGGUCUGCACAAUACUUGAACAAAUAUGGGUCAUCCCAAAAGAAAUUCUUUAUUUCCGCAAAGAAUUUAGCCUUGUCUUGCUUGGUCCAAUGCUCUGGAAGUUUACCUGUAACAAGAUAAUUAACUAUAUCAGCAUACCAAGGUAAUACUUCCACAUUCAUUAAUUGUUCAUCUGGAAAUGACUCAUUUAAUAGUAAUGGCUCUGUAAUUGUGUCAAAAUGGAGACGAGAUAGGUGGUCCGCCACAACAUUUUCUGUGCCUUUCUUAUCCUUGAAUUCCAAGUCGAAUUCCUGUAAAAGUAACACCCAACGAAUUAUUCUAGCUUUUCCAUCUUUCUUUGUGAGAAGAUAUUUAAGAGCAGCAUGAUCUGUGAAUAUAAUUAUUUUACAACCAAUAAGAUAAGAUCGAAAUUUCUCUAAUGCAAACACUACUGCUAGCAUUUCUUUUUCAGUAGUUGAAUAAUUCAAUUGUGCAUCAUUCAAUGUCAUACUAGCAUAGUAAAUAACGUGGGGAAUUCGAUCAACUCUUUGUCCUAAUACUGCUCCUACUGCAUAAUCAGAUGCAUCACACAUGAGCUCAAAUGGUAAGCUCCAGUUUGGGGCCUGAAUGAUGGGUGAUGAUGUCAACAACUGCUUUAAUUUUUCAAACGCCAUUAGGCAUGAAUCAUUAAAGAUAAAAUAUACAUCCUUAGCAAGUAGAUUGCAUAAGGGUCUAGAAACUUUGCUAAAAUCUUUAAUGAAACGUCUAUAGAAACCAGCAUGCCCAAGGAAAGAUCUUACUUCUCUGACUGUUUUAGGUGGAGGAAGAUUAGAAAUGAGAUCCACCUUGGCUUUGUCAACCUCAAUACCUUUGCUCGAAAUGAUGUGACCGAGAACAAUACCUUGUUUUACCAUAAAAUGGCACUUCUCCCAAUUCAAGACUAAGUUCUUCUCGGUACAUCUCUGCAGAACUAGCGUUAGAUGAUGUAAACAUUGAUCAAACGAGUCACCAAAGACAGAAAAAUCAUCCAUAAAGACUUCAAGGAAUCGUUCAACCAUAUCAGAAAAAAUGCUCAACAUGCAUCGUUGGAAUGUAGCAGGUGCAUUACAUAAUCCAAAUGGCAUUCUCCUAUAUGCAAAAGUGCCAAAAGGGCAAGUGAAAGUAGUUUUCUCCUGAUCUUUUGGUGCUAUGGGAAUCUGAUUAUAUCCUGAGUAGCCAUCUAGAAAGCAAUAAAAUUCAUGGCCUGCUAAUCUAUCAAGCAUUUGAUCGAUAAAUGGUAAAGGAAAAUGGUCUUUACGUGUGACAGAAUUCAACUUUCUAUAAUCAAUGCAUACACGCCAUCCUGUAGUUACUCUAGUUGGUAUCAAUUCAUUAUCAGCAUUGGUAACUACUGUGACUCCUGACUUUUUGGGGACGACUUGUACAGGACUGACCCAUGAACUAUCAGAAAUUGGGUAAAUGAUACCUGCAUCUAAUAGCUUAAGGACUUCAGUUCUAACAACUUCUUUCAUGUUAGGAUUUAACCGACGUUGCAUUUCCCUAGUAGAUUUAGCAUUUUCAUCAAGGUGAAUAUAAUGCAUGCAGUCUACUGGAUUUAUACCUUUGAUGUCUGCUAUGGUCCAUCCUAAUGCUCCUUUGUGCUCUUUUAAAACAUCCAACAACUUACCUUUUUGUUCGUCGUUUAGGGAUGAUGAGAUGAUUACCGGUAGAGUGCUUUCUUCUCCCAAAAAUGCAUAUUCCAAUGUGUUGGGUAAUGGUUUGAGCUCGAGUUUUGGUGGUGAUUCUGAUGAUGGGAUGAGUUUCUUCUCUGAUCGUGCUAGUUGUUCAACUCUUGACUUCCAUUUAUUAGUGUCUAUGGAUGGCGCUGAGUCAAGUAGGGCGUUGACCUCAUCGACCGAUCUGUCAAUAUCAAAAUUCAAACCAAAGUGAGUUAAACAUGUUUGUAAAGGAUCAUCACUAAGGUUUGAAAGAAAAGUAUUAUCAACUAUUGUUUCAAUUAAAUCCACAUCAACAAUUCCAUCAUCUGCACUGUGAGGUUGUUUGGCAAUGUUGAAAAUGUUUAGCUCCAUAGUCAUGUUGCCGAAGGACAACUGCAUAUUUCCAGUCCUGCAUUGAAUGUGAGCAUCCGCAGUUGCCAAGAAAGGUCGGCCUAGAAUAAUGGGGAUGUGCUUCCUUGAAUCCUGUAUUGGUUGAGUGUCAAUUACAAUGAAAUCAACAGGAAAAUAAAACUUGUCUACCUGGAUAAGCACGUCCUCCACAAUACCACGAGGUAUUUUCGUGGACCGAUCUGCAAGCUGUAACACCACUGUAGUUGGGUGUAAUUCUCCCAGUCCAAGUUUCACGAAUACUGAAUAAGGCAACAGAUUUACACUAGCUCCUAAAUCCAACAAAGCAUUCUCAAUUGUGUGGUUCCCUAUACUACAUGAGAUAGUGGGGGAGCCUGGGUCUUUGCAUUUUAAAGGAAUUUUAUGUUGGAGUAUAGAACUAACGUUUUCUGUUAAAAAUGCCUUCUUUUGAACAUGCAUGUUUCUCUUUUUAGUACAAAGGUCUUUAAGAAACUUGGCAUAAGAUGGAACUUGUUUAAUAGCAUCAAGUAAAGGGAUGUUAACACUUACCUGUUUGAAGAUUUCGAGAAUCUCACCUGUGGAUUUUCCCUUCUUUCCUUUCGCUAACCUCUGAGGAAAUGGAGCUUUAGGAACAUAUUCUCGUGGGUUGGUUUCUUCUUUUUCCUCCGGUGGUGAGUCUUCAACAUUCACAGGUACAAUUUGAUUUUCUUUUGUCACAGGCAUCUCCACUUUGUUGUCGACUUCCUUUCCUUUUCGCAAGGUCAUAACUACUUUGACCUCUCCAUGCUGCUGUGGUGAACUGGUACUUGCUUCAUGUACUCCUUUAGGAUUAGGCACUGGUUGACUUGGAAAUUUUCCUUUCUCAACAGUCAUUGCCAAGGUCUGAACUGAAGAAGCAAGUUGUCCCACCAUCUUUUCGAGGCUUGAAACUGAUUGGGCUUGUGAGUUAAAGCCUGCUCUCAAUUCAUUUCGUAGUCCAUCAAUGGUGCGGUUCUGUUGCUCAAUCGUGGAGUGAGUAACAUUCUUGAAAUUCUGGAAUGCAUCCUCCCAUGGUCUGGGUUGAGAAUAGUUUUGGUUCUGAUUGUAUGGUCUGAAUGGUGGCUGCGAGGCUUGAGGAUUUUGAGGAAUUGGUUGCAGUGGUGGAGCUGGAGCUGUUGGUCCAUUCUGUUGGAAUCCUUGAGACCAUGAAAAAUUGGGGUGAUCUCUCCAUCCAGGGUUAUAUGUGUUGGAGUAUGGGUUGUAAUUAGAUGGCUUUCUCAUUACACCUAUGGCAUUGGCUUGAUCCGAGUAUGAGUCAUGGUCAUGUGGUUCUGUUGAUUUAGCAGUCGAUAACGAUGCUAUUUGUCGAGAGAGACCUUCUAUUAUUGCUUUGACUUCUUUGAUUUCUGAAUUUGACUCGCCAAUUUGAACCUCAUUCACUCCUUUAAUUCUUCUAGUAUUCCUGAGUGAUCGACUCCGUUGUUGGGAAUUAUCCGCUUGUCGCUGGAAGAAUUCUUAAAUCUCUGUUGCACUUUUUGACAUUAGCUCUCCUCCACUUGUUGCCAUUAGCCAUUCUUGCACAUUCGGCAAUAAUCCCUCCAAAAAGUAUUGGCAUUGGUGCCAUUUCUCGUAUCCAUGAUGUGGACACUUCAAGAGUAGCCCAUUGAAUCGCUCCCAAGUUUCGAAAAACUGCUCGUCCUCUCUUUGUGUAAACUCUGAAAUUUCCCUGCGAAUAGAAUUGGUUUUAUGCACUGGGAAAUAUUUAUUUAGAAAUUUUGUAACCAUUUGUUCCCAUGAUGCAAUGCUAUUAGCAGGCAAAGUAUUUAACCAUGAACGAGCUCUAUCCUUUAAAGAAAAUGGGAAUAAUCUGAGUUUAACAUCAUCGUCUGAAAAAUUUUCAUAUUUAAAAGUUUGACAAAUGGUAUGAAAAUCAUUCAGAUGAUUAUAUGGGUCCUCAUUUUCUAAGCCAUAGAAUGUGGGGAGACAAUUUAGCACACUAGGUUUUAAUUCAAAACUCCUAGCAGCUACAUUUGGGUAUCUUAUGCAUGAUGUGCUCAAAUUAGCUAAGGGACUAAAAUAGUCCUUAAAUGGCCUCUCCUGUGGUGCUUGUAAAUCCAUUCCAAAUUUAUUUUUAAUGUGCUUUUGUGUGCGAAGUGUUUUUUCUAAUUCAAGGUCUAUAGGUUCAAGAUUAGGUAAUAACGACCUACGACCAUGCAUGCAAAACAAAUAAAAUAAAAAUAAAGAUGGGAACAAAACAAAUAAAAAUAAAGAAGAGGGAGAAAUUACGAUACUAACCUUAUUGCGCUAUUACAACCUUUCUAUAAAAAUACACAAAAACAAAUACGUGAAAUAAAUUAACUAAAAAUUAAAUUAAUAAAAUAAACAAAAAUUACAAAGAAAAAAUAAAUUGAAAAUUAAAUUACACAAUUUUAAAGAAGAGAAAAAGAAAAGAAAUACUAACCUUUAAAUGUAGAUUUACUUUUUUUUUUAAUAAUAAUAAUAAAAAAAAUACAAGAAAACAAAUAAAAGAAAUUAUUCACAAAAAUUAAUUCUAUGAAUUAAAACUACUUACCUCCCCGGCAACGGCGCCAAAAACUUGUUGUGCAAAUUUUAAUGAACUCGCAAGCGCACGAAUCUAUUGUAGUGUAGAUCAAUGGUGACAAGUGUCGAUCCCACGAGGAGGUGGAUUUUAAUUGUGUAUAGAAUUAAUUUUGCAAAAAUGGGUGGUUGGAAUUGUGGUGGAAGUGAUUUAAAUUAUCCUAAAAUUGGAAUUGAAAUUGCGAUAAUAAAUUCCAAAAUUGGAAUUGCAAUGGCGAGAAUAAGUUGAAGCGAAAUCUAUUGAAAUGACGUACUUGGGUAUCUGGAUCCGUAUCAACAUGCAUCAUGGGCUAAAUAUUCCUUAUUAAUACCAAUUAAAUCAUGAGGGGGGAAUCCACACCUCAUGAACCACGCUCUAAUCAAUAUGGUGCUAAGGGCUUAUCGUGCCAAAUAAUAAUAACCUUAUACUAGAGAGCCGGUGUAACCAAGGCGGUAUCUAGACAAGAUCAGUAUUAUUUGUCGACGAUAAGUCAAAUCAUCCACAAAAACUAGAGGGGAAAAGAAAAUAAAUUUACCAAAUAAAGCCCAUGACACAUGUUGAGACUUCACCUUCAACCCAAGCUUGAAAGAAAAUUAGCCACUCAUAAUUGAACUAAGGGCAAAAUGGGAAUUUAUUAAAAUACAAAGAAAAUACAAGAUGGAGAAGGAAUUACAGAAAAUGGAUCCCAAAAAUGGAUUCAGAGAUAUCAAAUUAGGGGGGGGAGGCCCCCUUUUUAUAGAUACAUGGAGUAAAUCAUGGCCAUCGGAUUAAAAACAGUUUGGACGUUCAGGAUUGCGCCACGUCAUUAGUCAACAGUCCACGGUUUGACCACGCGGAUGAACAGUAACACGGUUUGACCCGGAUGAACAGUAACACAGUUUGGUUGACAAUAAUCCUGUGUGAUGCAUGCACCGUACGCGAGAUUUUUCGUCCACUGAUAUGCUGCCACGUCACCAUCAACAGUACAUAAGAAUUUUAGUCCAACAGGAUCGUGACACCUCAUCAGUCAAUGCCACAUCAUCGGUCAAUGCCACGUCAUCGAUCCGUCUAUGUGAACAGUGUCGUGAACAGUAACGUAGACAGUACCGUAUACGUGAAUAGUACCGUACAUGUGAAUAGUGCCAUUUUUCCUUUUAUGCUCCUCCUAAGGUUUUCGACCGUCCUGAGUUCAAAAGUGAUGUCCGUUUUGCCGUCUGAUCUCUCCUUUAUUGUGAAAUGACUAUAAUGCCCCUAAAAUACAUAAAAUACUUAAUUAAAAUAACACACACGUAAUUACAUCACAAGAAGGUUAAAUACAUAAAAGUAAGAGUUGUUAGUAAGACUUGAAAUGUAAAAUGACGGUUUUCUCCUUUAUAAAUAUGCAUUUUCUAACACUCAACACAAGUCACGUGCGUUACUUCAGCCUUUCGUAUGAUAGUUGCUGGUUGUCAUACGGCAGUGUUAUUUGUAUGUUUGCUUUGUCGUUUCUCAUCCAAUUCUGGAAACGACAAAGUCGUCUCCUUCAGAAGGUUCUGAUUCAGGUUCACAUUUAACAAUCUCCACCUUGAAUCUGAAUCACAGCACUCCUAUGGCUUCUUCUUCUCGAGCUUCUGUAUCUUCAUAUUCUACAGAUGCCAGCUAAGUCUAAGCAGUGCUCAAACUUAGCCAUUGGAACUGGCUUUGUCAACAUAUCAGCAACAUUGUUAGUGGUAUGAACCUUUACAAGCUUCACAGUUCCUUUAGAGACUUCCAGCCUGAUGAAAUGGAGCUUGAUGUCGAUGUGCUUGGUCUUUUCAUGAUGGACUUGAUUUUUGCUCAGACUGAUAGCACUUUGACUGUCACAUAGAAUUGGUAUGGAUGUUUGUUGAUACCCCAAUUCAUUUAUCAUGCCCCUUAACCAUAUUGCUUCUUUGAAGGCCUCUACAGCAGCUGUGUACUCUGCCUCUGUUGUAGAUAGGGCCACUACACUUUGAAGUGAUGCUUUCCAGCUGAUUGUGCAGUUAUUAAGUGUGAAGAGAAACCCAGUGAGUGAUCUUCUGUUGUCUAGAUCUCCUGCAUAAUCAGAGUCAACAGAACCCUCAACCAGAUUGUAGUUAGCUCUCUCCCCUCCAUACAGCAGACCAUACCUUGUAAUCCCUUUUAGAUACCUCAGUAUCCAUUUCACAGCCCUCCAGUGUUCUUUCCCUGGAUUUGACAUAAACCUGCUGACCAGGCUUACUGCAUAUGACAAAUCAGGUCUUGUUAAGACCAUUGCAUACAUUAGGCAGCCCACUGAGUUAGCAUAUGGAGUUUUCAACAUUUCAGUUUGUUCUGAUUCAGUGCUUGGGCACUGCUGACUUGAUAACCUGAAAUGAGCUGCCAUUGGAGUGGACACUGGUUUACAGUUCAGCAUCCCAAACUUCUCUAAAAUUUUGUUGACAUAUUUUUCUUGUGAUAGAAACAAGGUCCUGGCUGUUCUGUUCCUUAUCAUUUCAACACCUAAGAUCUUUUUUGCUGGGCCAAGAUCUUUCAUGUCAAACUUAUCUCUGAGUUGUUGCUUCAGCAGAUUGAUCAACUUCAUACUUUUACUUGCCAGAAGCAUGUCAUCAACAUACAGGACAAGAUAGAUCACUUCCUCCCCGUAGGUCUUUCUGAGAUAUACACAGCAGUCAUAACUGGAUUUCUGGAAAUUCAGUUCUUGCAUGUAGCUGUCAAAUUUCAAGUACCACUGUCUGGGGGACUGCUUGAGCCCAUACAAAGAUUUUUGAAGUAAGCAAACCCAAUCAGGAUGUUGAGUAUUCACAAAGCCCUCAGGUUGUGACAUUACAAUCUCCUCUUGUAGAUCACCAUGUAGGAAGGCUGUUUUAACAUCUAAUUGUUCAAGAUGCAUAUCAUAAACAGCUACCAGUGACAGAAUAAUCCUUAUUGAUGUGUGUCUGACUACAAGUGAGAAGACUUCAGUGUAAUCAACCCCUUCCCUUUGGGUAAAGCCCUUUGCUACCAAUCUUGCUUUGAAUCUCUUUGGUUCAACAUCAUGGAUUCCAUCUUUUAUUUUGUAGAUCCAUUUGCAACCCACAACCUUCCUUCCUUCUGGUUUUUUGAAUCAAUUUCCAGGUGCCAUUCUUAUUUAGAGAGUCCAUCUCAUCUUCCAUGGCCUUGAUCCAUUGAGUUGAUUCUUUACAUGCUAUAGCUUCUUCAUAAGUUUUUGGUUCCUCUUGAUCAACCUCCUGUGCUGCUGUCAAGGCAUAUGCUAUUAAGUCAGCAUAUCCCAAUCUCUCUGGUGCUUUAAUUUGUCUCUUCUGUCUGUCUCUGGUAAGCUGAUAAUCUUGUAUUGAGAUGUGCUCUAGUGUUUGAGCACUGGUCUCAUCUGAGCCUUGAGUUUCUCCAGUAUGACUUGUGUUCUGAUCAUCCUCAGUUUUUGAUAGCUCCACCUCAAAGUGAGGUGUCUCUGCACUUGGGAUUUUCUGAAUUGAGCUUUGAGUAGAAGUCUGAUUUUUCAGCAUCUCAGACUCAUUGAAAAUAACAUCCCUGCUUAUUAUGCACUUAGGUGGUUUAAGGUCUACACACCACAGCCUGUAACCCUUAGUUCCACUAGGAUACCCUAGGAAAGCACAUUUCAAUGCCCUUGGUUCAAGCUUGCCCUGCUUGAUGUGUGCAUAAGCAGUGCAGCCAAAAAUUCUCAACUUGGUGUAGUCAGCUAAUCUCCCUGACCAAACUUCAUAAGGUGUUUUAAGUUCUAUUGCAGUUGAGGGGCAUCUAUUUAUCAGGUAACAAGCUGUACACAAAGUUUCAGCCCAUAAUGUCUUUAGCAGCUUUGAAUGAAAUAGCAUGCAUCUAACUCUUUCCAUUAAUGUUCUAUUCAUUCUUUCUGCCAAACCAUUUUGUUGUGGUGUGUGCCUAACAGUUUUGUGUCUCUGGAUUCCACUCUUUUCACACAAAUCAUCAAACUGUUUAUUGUAAAACUCAAGUCCAUUAUCAGUUCUAACCCUUCUAACUUUUCUAUUAGUUUGAGUUUCAAUCAAGGUUUUUCAGGCUUUGAAUCUAUCAAAAGCCUGAUCUUUGCUCCUUAUUGGAUACACCCAUACCAUCCUAGAGAAGUCAUCUAUCAUAGACAAAAAAUAACAAGCUCCACCUAGAGAUUCAAUCUGUGCUGGUCCCCACAUAUCCGAGUGAAUAUAAUCCAAAGUACCCUUAGUAUUGUGCACUGCAGUUUUAAACCUGGUUCUUGAGGACUUUCCUAGGACACACUCCUCACAGAAUCCAACAGUACUUAUCUUAUCACUCCCUAGAGCUCCCUGUUUUUCUAGUUCUUUCAGCCCACUUUCACUUACAUGACCCAACCUGAAAUGCCACAGUAAAGUUUUAUCUAGUUCCUGUUUUAUCACUACCCCAACAUCCCCAGUUAUUGCUGAUCCUUGCAGUAUGUAUAAUCCAUGCUGCAUUACACCUUUCAUUAGUAUCAGAGACCCUUUAAUAACUUUUAAGGAGCUUGAUUCAAGUCUGAUGCAACACCCUGCUUUAUCUAACAUGCUUAGGGAAAUUAGAUUUCUUUUAAGCUCUGGAAUAUGCCUUACAUUAUCAAGUUCUCUAAUUAUACCAUCAGACAUUUUCAAUCUAACAGAGCCUAUACCAAUGACUUUACAGGAAGCAUUGUUUCCCAUCAAGACUUUACCUCCUUCAAAGGGUUGAUAGCUACUGAAUAAGUUUUUAUGGGGGCACAUGUGAUAGGUGCAGCCAGAGUCAAGAACCCAUUUACCUUCAGUUUGCAUGUUUGAGGCUACCAGAACACCAGCAGAGUCAUAUCCCUCAUCUGAAUCUUCAGAAGCAACAGCAGCAUUUCCACUUCUGUUAUUAGCAUCCUUAGGCUUAAUCUUUCUCUCAGGGCAAUCCCUUUUGAAGUGACCUUCCUUGUGGCAGUGGAAGCACUUCAAGGCACUGUUCUUAGAUUUUGAUCUUCCUUUCUUUUUUCCUUUCCAGCCAUCUCUCUUCUCUGAUCUCCCUCUUACUGACAACCCUUCACCAUCUUUUGUUUCUGAUUUCUUAAAGCUUUCUUUGGAACUCAAGGCUUCCUUGAAAUCUUGCAUGGCCAGUGAUUGUCUACCAUACAAGAGAGUGUCAACAAAAUGUUCAUAGGAAGAUGGUAAUGAAGAUAGCAGAAUAAUGGCUUUAUCCUCGUCUUCAAUCUUUACAUUAAUGUCUUCUAGAUCUAAAAUGAUCCUAUUGAAGGCAUCAAUGUGAGUAGUUAAAGAGCUGCCUUCUUCCAUCUGGAGUGUGUAGAGCCUUUUCUUUGUACUCAAUCUUUUUGUCAAAGAUUUCUUUGUGUACAAAUCCUCUAGCUUCUUCCAAAGGCCUGCAGUUGUUGUUUGGUCUCCCACUUCUCUAAGUACUCCAUCUCCUAGACUUAGGAUUAUAGUGCUGUGAGCUUUGUCCAUGGCUUCUUGCAUGUCUUCAUCUUUGACUUUGCUGAUCUUUUUCGAGGUUCUUGGAUCCUCCAGCACUUCUUCAAUUCCCUGGUGAACCAGCAAUGCUCUCAUCUUCAGCCUCCAAAGAUGGAAGUCAUUUUCUCCCGUGAACUUCUCCACAUCAAGUCUCUGUGUUGCCAUUCUUGCUCUCAAGAUUCAGAGAUGUGAGCUCUGAUACCAAUUUGUUGUAAUUAAGAAUGAGAAACCUUAAUUCUUUUACCCAAUAAAUCACCACACACUGAUCUUGUUAAGGAAAGAAUGAAGGAUCGAUAUAGAAAUCAGAUUAAGAAUAAGGGUAUUUUAAUCAGAGACAGGAAUUAAGAAAGAAUCAAGCAAAACGAAAUGCAAAGGGGAUUAUAGAGGUUCGGCUUUGCAGCCUACAUCCUCUUGAGAAACAGAAGCCAUAGCUUUUCUUUAUGCUUUAACAGAUUACAAGUAUUAGAGUAAUUGCUACAAGGAACGAUUCCUCCCAAGUAUAGCCCUCAAGGCUAUAUAUACAACUCGGAAGAGAUCCAGAUAUGUGAGCUGUACAACAGCUCUCAUUCUGGGUUUGUUUCAACAGACCCAGCAAACUCCCGCCAAUCCUAACUGUAUGUAACAGCUCUUCAAAUUGAAACGGCAUCAGCAGCUGCCGUUUAACUUAAGCUUGAUCGUGCAAGUCACGUGCGUUACUUAAGCCUUUCGUAUGAUAGUUGCUGGUUGUCAUACGGCAGUGUUAUCUGUAUGUUUGCUUUGUCGUUUCUCAUUCAAUUCUGGAAACGACAAAGUCGUCUCCUUCAGAAGGUUCUGAUUCAGGUUCACAUUUAACAACAUGCAUUGAAAGCUUAGAUCGUUUAAGAAAUUAUUAAUAGACACAUGUUUUAUUAGUGUCAUCUUUGGAUGAUAGUGAGGAUCAUAUGCCUAUUAAUAAUUCUUGAAUUGUCUAGGCUUGAACUGUUUGGGAAUGCAUAGUUUUCUAUGGUAGCUAGUAGCUGAAGUUUUUUUCCCACGUAAAAAUGAGUUUUUCGCAAGCUGCUUCUCAUCUUCUUUGGGUGCAUACUAGAUAACACAUAAACACUCAUAUAUCUAUGUCGUUGCUUGGAGAACUAAAGGGAGAUGCUGCCGAAAUUUCUAUAAACGUAGAAGAAAACUUUAAAGUACUUGAGAUUGAAGAAACUUAUGCAUUCUUGAGAGGGAUAUACGCGACCACUUACCUUUUGUAAAUAUGAAGGGAGUGUUGGACAUAUUGAUGGGAGUGGAGGAGCUGAGUUGGAUGGACGUAAUCGGUUAUAGUUUUGCUGAGUUAACUUGGUUUUGAGCUUGUAAUUUUGUUUAUAAAUGGAGUACUAUCUCCAAUGUUGGUUUAUAAAUAUGUUUCAGCUGGCUGACCUUUUUUUUUGUUUCUAGGUAACAUGCUUUGUAUCUGUAAUUGAUAACCAACUGAAGUUCUCAGCUGUGGGUGAGGAUAUUUCUUUACAGAAGGUAUUGGAAACUGUUUUUUACAUUAAUUAUUGUUGUAUAUAUACUUUAAUUUUCACGUCUUUUUCUCUGAUUCUUGUCGCUUUACUUGCUUUCAUAUAUAUAAAUUCUAAUGAAAUUAACCAUAAAAUUGUAUAAUGAUUUUUUAAUUAUAUUGCAAAACUGUGCACACACGAAAAUAUCUUGGUCAGUAGUAGAAAUGAAAAACUAAAAUGAUUUAUCUAACUAAUUUUUGUAGUGCAUUAAAAGGAGAUGGUAAUGGAGAAGAGUUGGGUUGGUUUGGCCAAUAGAUAUCUAAGUUAUAGAUUUUGCAUUUGAGAAUGUUGUUGGUGAUGCAAGAAUUUAUUAUCCUUGUAAGAAGUGUCGAAUAUUUCGUUUUAAGGGAAGUAGCAAGAGACCAUAUCAUUAUAAAUGGUUUUUGGUUAAAGUAUUAAAACUGGAUAUUGCAUGAUGAGCCAUCUUCAUCUUUGGAAUCUAACCAAGAAACAGGUUAGUCAUGACUCGGGUGCUGAUGAUGAUAUGGUUGGAAUGAUACAUGAUACAUCACGUAAUCAAAUAUUCAAUUCACACACAGCAUUGUUAUGGACUAUCAGUGACUUUCUAGCACAUGCCAACUUGUCUGAGUGGAGUAUUAAAGGUAAAUAAGCAUUUCUUGUUUGCCAACAAAACACUAGAUCUAAUUGGUUGAUACAUAGUAGAAAAUUUUGUCACGUCGGUAACGUCGAUUUUUACUGACGAAUCAUAGGUUUCGAAAAUAUAGUGCCUUUUGAUAAAUCUAGAGAGUGGGGACAAGCACCUUCUCGGAUGUCUGGAGCUGAAGUGAAAAAGCAGUUGAAUAAUAUACUUACUGAGUUUAAGAUUGAAGACUUGAAAAGUGGAGAAUGAAUAAAAUGAGAGAAAUGAUAAGAUUACUUGGACGAAGAAAAGCAUAUUUUAUGAACUACCGUGUUGGGAGUUCAAUUUGAUUCAUCAUAAAAUGUGAGACAUGAGGGAGAGACAAAAGCUCAGGCUUGUCUGCAACCAUGUGGGCCCUCAUAAGCAAUUCGUGUACACAACUUGGUUCACCAAGCCCAACAACUUGAAGCAGGCAAAAUCCGGGAACGAUCCUUCUCCUUCGCAACCCUAGCUGCCUUAACCUUGUAUUUCUGAUAUUUAGUUAAAGAGUAAGAAGAUUGCUCCUCUGUCAAUUACCUUCGAGAGAGACUUUCUUUUUCAUUCACCGAUGCUUGCUUGUGAAAGCAAGGGUUUUAGUUACACUUUCAACGCUGUCAAUGUAGUGAAGUAAAGCAUUAGUAGAAUAAUGAAGUUGGAAGCCCCACAACAUGAAAACUUUUAAACAUUAACACAGCUCUUAUUCCAGAGGCUGCACGCGAGUGACCUGAAUCUUCUUCAGAACUUUUCAAAUUUUAUCAACAGCUUUAAAAAUUUCUCAACAAAUUGAUUAUUUGGUGUGGUUGCCACAUUUUGAGUAACUGCUAUUUGUUCUCAAGUACAAAAUCCUUGCCUUCCUAAGUUAGGAAAGAUAGAUGUGAAGCAAACCAAAUGAAAUAAAUGGGUAAACAGAACAAACAGUGCAAAAAUUAAAAAUGAUGGCAAUUAACAAAUUAAUAGCAAUGUUACAUUUGACUCUUUAGCCCUUUGCUCCUUCUCUUAGCAUUCUUCAAAGUUUUUGAAAAUUGGAAGUGAAGCAAACAAAAUAAAAUAAAUUUAGAAUUUCAAACAGUACUAGUAGUAAAAAAAUGACGACAACAACAAAAAUAGAAAAUUACAAGACUGCUGAUAAAAUUUCACUUGCAGGCAUUUCUCACAAAAUUUCUGUGAUUUAAUGUGCUUUCAUGCACGCAAGUCCUAACGUUUCUGUGAUCACAAAUGAAACUGAAGAUAAAACAGAACAACUACCAAACCUUUCAAGCGUGACGAAGCCAUGAGAAUUGAUAGCUCAAUGUCAUGGGAUGAGUGUUUUGUCACUAAAACAGAACAAUAAUUUUGAACACACCAUGUGGCAUUUAGACCAUUUGAUAGUUUGUUUCAAACAUAUUUGUUUAUAAAAUACUUUUCUUCAUGGUUUUGGUCCCAUAAUUUUCUAUGUAUGUACAGGUUUUAUCGAUACCGCUUUUGACAAGUUACACUUACAUAGCAAUGCUAUCUGGGUUCAGCCUUGCCUUUUUGAUAAACUGUGCUUCUGUGAUGAAGAAUGUUUUAGCUGUAAGUGGAUAUCCUAAUCAUUGAUCCAUAUACUUAGGUUAUAUUAUCCAUCAGCAAGUAUGUAUAAAAUUAUUUUGUGUCUUUUUUUAUUAGAAAUGUUGUAAUUCUAUUUUACUCUUCCUGAAUUAUAACAUCAGGUGUCUAUAAUAACUAGGUUAUUCCUUCUGCAAAACAGAGCAGUGGUAAAUAUUUUUUUUCUUUUGUUUGUUUAGUACAUUUACAUGCUUUCAGCUUUUUCAAAUUUUGUAUGUGUCAAAGUUUAAAUUUAAUUUGUUGGUUUAUGCCACAACAAAAGGAACAGCAUCAAAGAGGAGCUGCUAAUGGACUUGCUAUGACUGUAGUGUCGCUUACCAAAACUGCCGGUCCAGCUGUAGGAGGUGCUCUGUGAGUGUCCUGUUGAUUUUGUAAAACUAUAUGUAAAUGAAGUUAUAAUUUUUUUUUCAUUAAUUGGGGUUCUGGCAGAUUUUCUUGAUCACAAAAGCGUCAAGAUGCUGGUUUCCUCCCAGGAUGAUGAUCUACUAAUGAAAUUUCUCGCGAGUUUGUGUACUAUUUCGUGCUAAUUCUUCAUUAGCUGCUUAAACAAAAGUGCAGGUAACCAGAUGGUUUUUUUUCAUUCUGAGGCACUUGGAGUAAUAUUGACAUCCAAACCGUUUCUAACUCAGCGUGCCCCGUGAGUAGCGAAAAGAGCAUCUGUUGAAAUAUUUAAAUAUAUAUCAAGCAAAUUAAAGCUUUCAAAAUCUAUCAACAAUUUGAUUAUUUGAUGUGGUUGCCACUUGCCAUAUUUUGUGUUACUGUUCAAAAGGCUUAAAUAUGAAAAUGGUGGUUGGCGCUCACAGCAACCGAUUGCUGGUAACAUUAAUUGUUCAACUUAUCUCUGUCGACAUUUAUACUUGUUCAUUGUCAGAACUACGACAAUUUAUCUUCACAAUGAUGCAAGCUAGAAAGAAUUUUUCAUGUUAAGUAAAAUAUUGAAGUCAUAAAGAGUGUUAAUUAAGUACUAAGUUUUCUGCCAUGCUUUCAACGGUAGCACAUUUGGAGCUCUUAUUCCAGGGGCUUCACAGUAGAGAGAUCUGAUUUCGAUCUUCUUCAGAACUUGGGGAUUCCGUAAUAACAGAGGACAACAGUUAUAUAAGAAUAUUAUUUUGUACAAUUUUCGUAUAACCUGACCAAUGCAAGUAUAAUUUUAUGAUCUUAACUCAGAUCAAAAGACCUUCAAUGAUGUAAAAUUUGCACAUAAAGCUGAGAUCCAAACAUUAGAACUUAUGAUGAAACGGAAACAAAAACGUUGAGAUUGAAAAGAUUGAGAAACACAAUCUUUUUAAAAGGGAUAAAUGCUCAUUUAAUUUCUAUAUUUUGAUUUAAGAGCGCAUUUAGUUCUUAUAUUUUAUAAAAAGUGCCUCAACCUCAAGACACCCCCCUACUAUGAAAUAUAUUUCAUUCCUACCCUUAUUUUUUUUCUUUUUACAAUAAUACUCUUGGAAUAAUAUUUUUGGGAAUAUUAAUGAAAAUAAAAAAUGGUAAUUCAUCCAGCCAGCCUUAAACAAAGUAAAUAUUAAUAAAAAAUUUUAUGUUAUUAUUUUAGUUUUAGGACUAAUAUCGUAAAUUAAUUUUUUUAUGCAUUUAUUAGUAAGAUUGUUGUAAAAGUACAAAAAUACUGGUUAUAUCAUAUUGAUAUUUAUUGAUUAAUUUGUCAAUUAACUUUUUUAUAAAUAAAUUAAUUAAUUUAAGAAUAUUAUUGCCAGGAUAUCAUUGUAAAAGUAAAUAAAAUUUAAAGAAAAAAUAUAACGUAUUUAAUAUCAAGGUAUAUUGAGGUAUUUUUUAAAAUAUAAAGACUAAACGUGCAUUGAAGUUAAAAUACAGGUACCGGACGAGCAUUUUCUCUUUUAGAAAGUUUUAUAUUUUAUUAAUGAAAGUCUGAAUAACCAAAUUAGGGUUUUGGACUCCUUUUAAACUAAACCUAAAUAUCACGAAUUUACCAAAAUAAGUAAACCUAAAAUAUUACUAUAUAAUAAUAUUCUCCUAACUGAAAUAAGAUAAAUGCUACUUAAAUUCUCUGUCUAAAAAAAAAGAAGAUAAAAAUUCAAAAAGCAAUAGGAAAAUGGAUCUUAAACUUGUAAAAUAAUAUGAAAUAAAUAUAAUUUUCAAUCGAACCAUUAGGCUAAUGUGGCGCUACAAUAUUAGAUUAGAUUCCCCUCGUCGCGAACUUCGAAAGGUAUAUUAUACACCCUAAAUAGGUACUUAUAGCUUAAGUUGUGACCCUAGAGAGAUACUCUACUCAUCCUACGUAACCAUCCGUUGCAUGAAAUUCGUUCCAAAAUUAAGAAUAAAUCAGCUGAUGCAUUCCAAAUAAUUUAGAUGAAACGAUAAAAUAAACCUAGAGAUCAAAUAAAACGAAAUGAAAAUGAUAAUUACCUCGGACUGAAGCUCAUACAAAUUCAUUAUUUGACACCUCCAGCAAUUGUUGAAAUAAUAGUUAAUGAAAUAUAAAAUAAGACAAAAGUACAUAUUAAUGACACACCAUUGUGAAUCGAUAGCUAAGGACCGAGUAAAAUUUAAUUGUAAAUUAGGACAGUAGAGCAAGCAUCCAUAAACAUAACAUGAACGUAAUACAUCAAUUAAAAUAUCAUAGGAUAAAUUAGGACAUCAGAGAAAGAAAUAAGUAAAUAAAUCAGCCAAUAAAAAAACAAAAACAAAAGAAUGAAGAGUUGUCUGUGAGAUUUGUCUUCUAUGGUCAUUGAAGUCCCAAAACUAAUAAGGAUCGAGCAAUUGAACAGUUGCAAACUCAAUGGAAAUACAAUGGAACCUUAAAAACGAACAGUGAAGGAAAAUGAAGAAAUCUGCAGGAAAUAAGGCGAGUGAGAGUGAAGAAUUGAUUACCACUGAGUAAAUGCGAAUGAAGAAUGGAGACAGAUCCUCCUUCGCCCCAUCGAGAAGUGAGAUUCAGAGAUUGUAUUGGAAUUGAGAGUUGAGAUCAAGAAGCGAUUAUUCUUCUCCGUAAUUUCCUUUUUCUUUUAAUGUUGUUAUUAUUAUUAUUUUUUUUUUUUUCUAUUUCCUGAUAUCUUUUUUGUUUUAAACGGUAGUGGCAUAUUACAUUUAUUUAUGUUAAUUUUACAAUACCUCCCUUCAGAUUGCACAAAUUACAUAAAAAAGUACUUUAUGUAUAAAACUUUCAAAGAAAUUGGGCCAAAAUCUAACUUUACCACGUUUAGAGUAAUUUUGGGCUCGACAUUCCAUUUCCGACAAACGAAUUUUCUUUAUCACCAAGUUAUGAUACUUUUCAUAUUUAUCCAACGGCUCGUCAAUGACAAUACCUAAAAAUGCUGGUCGGUAAUACAACUAUUUCUUAUAGUGUAAAAAUGAUACACUAAGCGUUCACAUUUUGAUGAGUAAAUUAAGGAUUUCAAGAUGAAGUGCAUAAUUAGAUUGUAUUGCCGAUAUCUCCAAAGCCUCCAAGUUAGGCAACACUACCUAAAAAAAAGAAGAAUUUCUGGUUAGAUCCAAUAUCCAUAUGGGAAGCACUUGUUGAAAAUUUCUUCUUUGAUUACAAAUUAAUGCAAGUCAGAAUCAAUUUCCAACUGGCAACUGAGUUUGAUGCAUUCUAAUUCAUACUACUUGUUAAGAGCUCAAUUAGUGAGCGCGUGAGAUUCUUUUUAUCCUUUUUUCCAUUUUCUUUCAAUUCUUUAAAUGAUUUAAUUAUUUUCCACGUAUGACGUCAAAAGAGAACACAUCAUAGAAUAAAAUCUGUUAUAUAUAUAUAUAUAUGAAGAAAAUGUUAGCCUACUGUUGCGGACCGCCCAAUUCGCUAGUCCAAUUGCCCACAAUUUCGGGCUAGAGAGCCAACACAAGGCCAAGAGUGCUAGCUUGGCCCAAUUCGGUAAAGUUUUAGGCAAAUCUAGCACAUGUGAGCUUGUAAAUACUCUAGAAUUCUCCAUAGAAUUCCAGCACAUGUAAAUAGCUAGGAAGUGGUAGAAUUCUCUAGAAUCUCUAGAGCUUAGCAAGCCUCCCCUAUAAAUAUGGGAUGGCAUUAGGCAUUUGUAUCCAACAAACACAACAACAAGCUUUGUAAGCAACUCAAGCAUUGUAAUCUCUUUUUGUGCAAUAUAAGUUUUCUCAUUCGGCUCCAUUGCUCUCUUCUCUAGUUCGAGAAGCUCUAGGCUUACUUAGCAACAUUCGGCAAAGUUGUCUACGUGCCGCACGGGUUAGCUGCGCAAAAUACUUAUCCCGUGACAAGUGGUAUCAGAGCUAAGGUUUGCACAUACGCAAGUUAGUUCACUAGCAAUGGCCAACCCUUCAAACGUAGCACAAGAGGGUGUUGUUGGUGUGGAUGUUCCACCGGAACCAAGCCGCGGCUGAGAGGGAGAACACGCCCAAGGCAAGACUCGCGGCAAGUCCAAGACCCCAUCCGUGGAUGCGCUGAAGCCUCGUGUGACUACUCUCGAAAUCACAUUGUCCGCCGCUCAAGAUAGCCUCGAGGGAUUGGAGGAACGAGUGGAUGGUCUCGAGGGGGAAUACGCCGAGUUCACGGUGGCAACAAAAGCUCUCAUCCAAGAGCAAGCGAACACUCUCCGAGGUGAGUUUCGUGUUUUUCAUGAUGAGUUGCUCAAACUUUGUAAUUCUGUUCAGGACGAACUACGAGCUGUCUCUGCGGAAGUGGAUGAAGUCCGCUCGGAUUGGGCAUGGCAUAAGCGUACACUCUCCACAAGUCUAGCUUCAGCAAACUCGAGUGAUGCGCACCGCAUUGACGUGCCAAAGCUCGACACCUACGAUGGCACAUGUAACGCCACAAUCGUGGACAACUUCCUAUUCAGACUGGAUCAAUACUUCGAUGCCAUGGGUGUCCGAGAUGAGGCAUCAAAAGUGGGCACUGCACCCACCUACCUUAGAGGCGCUGCACAACUAUGGUGGCGUCGCAAGCAUGGCAAGAUGGGUAAGGGCAUUUUCACCAUCGACACUUGGGCCGACUUCAAGCAAGAACUCCGAAAGAAGUUCGCCCCAAGCAAUGCAGAGAAGGAAGCACGAGCGCACCUACGUCGCCUAAAACAAUUGGGUAGCAUUCAGGACUACAUCAACGAGUUCACUACCCUUAUGUUGGAGAUAAGUGACAUGUCUGAUAAGGAUUCACUCUUCUACUUCCAAGAUGGCCUCAAGGAUUGGGCCAAGACCGAGCUUGAUAGGCGUGGUGUUCAAACACUUGACGACGCCAUCACCGUUGCCAAAUCGCUCACCGAAUACUCUACCCAAUCUAAGGACAAAAAGGCCAACCAAGGCAAAGGUGGGGGAGAGAGUCGCAAGGACAAGGGCAACAACCGCAAAGAUUGGGGACAGAAAAAGCCGCCUAGCAACAAGAGCGGGCAAGGAAAAUCGGAGGGCAAGAAAGAGGCGCCAAAGUCGCAAAGCCCAUGCUUCAUAUGCAACGGUCCUCAUUGGGUACGCAACCGUCCGGAGAAGAGGUCGAUUAAUGCUCUUGCUGCCCAACUCAAGAGCAACCCCGCAAUAUCCACGGAGGAACCCCAACUCAGCAUGGGUUCUCUCCAACGCCUCGGCGCACUCAAUCGCCAACAGCCCGCACUCGUCAAGAAAGGGCUCAUACAUGUAAGCGCAAAGGCAAACGGUCAGUCCGUUCGCGCGCUGCUAGACACGAGAGCGACGCAAAACUUUGUGUCCGUAGACGAGGCCAAACACUUAGGCCUCAAGGCCACCAAGGAAGGAGGCACAAUGAAGGCCGUAAACUUACCCGCCAAGCCAAUUGCGGGAAUUGCACAAGGCGUGCACAUAACACUCGGUACGUGAAGCGGAAAGCUUGAUUUCUCCAUCGUGCCCAUAGACGACUUCAAGAUGGUUCUCGGCAUGAAAUUCUUUGACCAAGUCCAUGCCUUCCCGCUGCCCGCUACAAACUCCCUAAGCAUCCUCGACGGGAGCAAAGCAUGCAUGGUACCCACGGAGCGAGCCAAGUCCGAGGAGAAGACACUCUCCGCCAUGCAAUUCAAAAGGGCUUUAAAAAAGGACCCAAGCUUCUUGGUCUCCAUCCGGGAAUUAAACGCAGAAGGAAAUAGCGGAACGUCGCCAAGCCAAGUCCCUCCGCGAAUUCAAGCCAUCCUCAAUGAGUAUAAGGACAUGAUGCCUCCAGAACUUCCUAAGAAGCUCCCACCUUGACGAGAGGUAGAUCAUGCGAUCAAGCUGGAACAAGGCGCGAAGCCACCAGCCUUGGCCCCCUACCGCAUGGCGCCACCCGAAUUAGAGGAGUUGCGGAGACAACUCAAAGACUUGCUGGACGCAGGCUACAUUCGCCCCUCAAAGGCCCCAUUCGGUGCACCCGUGCUCUUCCAAAAGAAAAAGGAUGGCUCGUUACGGAUGUGCAUCGACUAUAGAGCGCUCAACAAGAUCACCAUAAGAACAAGUAUCCGAUUCCCUUGAUUGCGGACUUGUUCGACCAACUUGGCAAAGCGCGGUACUUCACCAAACUCGACUUGCGCUCCGGGUACUACCAAGUGCGCAUCACCAAUGGAGACGAACCGAAGACAGCGUGCACAACAAGCUACGGGUCUUUCGAAUUCCUUGUGAUACCUUUUGGCCUUACUAAUGCACCCGCCACAUUUUACACGCUCAUGAACAAAGUGCUCCAACCAUUCCUCGACCACUUCGUGGUCGUGUUCUUGGACGACGUAGUGGUGUAUAGCACCACGCUCGAGGAUCAUGCCCAACACUUGCGACAAGUCCUCUAAGUACUUCGAGACAAUGAGCUCUUCCUCAAGUUAGAGAAGUGCUCAUUUGCACAACAAGAAGUGGAGUUCCUUGGCCACAAGAUUGCGGGCGGGAAGAUUAUGAUGGAGAACGCCAAAGUAAAGGCCAUCCUCAAUUGGGAGCCUCCCUCAAAAGUGCCCGAGCUUCGCUCAUUCCUUGGACUGGUGAAUUACUAUCGCCGCUUCAUCAAGGGCUAUUCGGCCAAGGUGGCACCCUUGACGGAUAUGCUCAAGAAAAAUAGAACGUGGUAUUGGUCCGAAGAGUGCCAACGCGCAUUCGAGGAGUUGAAGAAGACAAUUUUGGAGGAACCUGUCCUCGCUCUUCCGGACCACACAAAGCCCUUCGAAAUUCAAACGGACGCCUCGGAUUUCGCCAUAGGUGGAGUCCUUAUGCAAGAAGGCCACCCUAUAGCGUUCGAGAGUUGAAAACUAAACGAUACGGAACGCCACUACACGGUGCAAGAAAAGGAGAUGACAGCCAUUAUCCAUUGUCUAAGAGUGUGGUGACAUUACUUACUUGGCUCACACUUCACGAUCAUGACGGACAACGUGGCGACAAGCUACUUCCAAACUCAAAAGAAGUUGAGUUCGAAGCAAGCACGGUGGCAAGACUUCCUUGCGGAAUUCGACUAUCGGCUCGAGUACAAACCGGGUAAAGCCAAUGUCGUUGCGGACGCUCUAAGCCACAAGGCCGAAUUGGCGACACUUAGCAUGAGCCAACCGAAGUUCGACCUUGUCUCACGCAUCAAGGAAGGCCUCCAACAAGAUCUGCUAGCAAAGGACUUGCUGGAGAAAGUGCUCGAGGGAAAGACAAGGCGCUUUUGGCAAGAGGAAGGCAUCCUCUUCACCAAGGGAGAUCGGUUGCUCGUGCCAAGGUGGGGAAACUUACGGAAGGAAGUAAUCAAAGAGUGCCACGACUCCAAGUGGGCUGGUCACCCAGGAAUCGAGCGCACCACCGCACUAGUCCAAGCCUCGUAUUUUUUGCCACACAUGAGGGACGACAUUGAGGCAUAUGUGCGAACUUGUCUCGUGUGCCAACAAGAUAAGGUGGAUCAUCAACUCCCAGCGGGAUUGUUGGAGCCGCUACCACUAGCAACAAGGCCAUGGGAAAGUGUCUCUAUGGACUUUAUCACAUCGCUGCCCAAGUCCGAAGGUUGCGGGAGUAUCAUGGUCGUUGUCGACCGAUACAGCAAGUACGCCACAUUCAUUGCCGCACCAGUCAAUUGCAAAGCGGACGAGGCAGCCCGCCUAUUCGUUAAGCACAUCGUGAAACUUUGGGGAGUUCCGAAGAGCAUUGUGAGCGACCGAGACCCUCGGUUCAUUGGGCGUUUUUGGACGGAGCUGUUCAAGAUGUUGGGGACAGAUCUCAAGCUUCCACCCACAAACGGAUGGGCAGACCGAGUGCAUUAAUGGCCUUCUCGAGAUGUACUUGAGGCAUUAUGUGAGCGUUCAUCAGCGGGAUUGGGCGAAACUACUUGACAUCGCCCAAUUUUCUUAUAACUUGCAGCGAAGUGAGGCUACGGGCAAGGGUCCAUUCGAGAUCAUCAUGGGAUUCCAGCCCAUGACUCCCAACGCCAUAGCCUCGACUUAUGGAGGGAAAAGCCUCGCGGCACACAAGGUCGCCCGCGAAUGGGAUGAGGAAGCGGACAUCACGCGAGCCUACCUCGACAAAGCUGCGAGGAAAAUGAAGAAAUGGGCGGAUACAAGGAGACGGCAUGUUGAGUACAAGGAAGGUGAUCAAGUAAUGAUCAAGCUCCUACCCCAACAAUUCAAGAUGUUGCGGAAAGUCCACAAGGGGUUAGUGAGGCGCUACAAGGGGUCCUUCCGAGUUGUUCGAUGUGUGAGAAGACUCAAGAUCCAUCCGGUCUUCCAUGUGAGUCUUCUCAAGCCAUAUCACGAAGACAUGGGAGACCCAAGUCGUGGAGAAUCGAGGCGCGCCAACCGCCAUUGUCACUGCGUUCGACAAAGAUGUGGACUACAUCAUUGCGGACCGCGUGGUUUCAAGGAGGGGCGUGCCAGCACACAGUGAGUACUUGGUGAAGUGGAAAAACCUCCCCAAGAGCGACGUCACUUGGGAAUGUGAAAAUGAUUUGUGGCAAUUCACUGAGCACAUCCAGAGGUUCAAGCACGAGAGCGCGACGAGGACGCCGCGAGCUUAGGUGGGGGAAGAUGUUGCGGACCGCCCAAUUCGCUAGCCCAAUUGCCCACAAUUUCAGGCUAGAGAGCCAACACAAGGCCAAGAGUGCUAGCUUGGCCCAAUUCCGGAAAGUUCUAGGCAAAUCUAGCACAUGUGAGCUUGUAAAUACUAUAGAAUUCUCCAUAGAAUUCCAGCACAUGUAAAUAGCUAGGAAGUGGUAGAAUUCUCUAGAAUCUCUAGAGCUUGGCAAACCGACCCUAUAAAUAUGGGAUGACAUUAGGCAUUUGUAUCCAACAAACACAACAACAAGUUUUGCAAGCAACUCAAACAUUGUAAUAUCUCUUUGUGCAAUAUAAGUUUUCUCAUUUGGCUCCAUUGCUCUCUUCUCUAGUUCGAGAAGCUCUAGGCUUACUUAGCAAUAUUCGGCAAAGUUGUCUAAGUGACGGACGGGUUAGCUGCGCAAACUACUUAUCCCGUGACACUACGCACCUUCUCAUUGAAAAGCAAAGUUGAAGUAUCCUCUUGCGACGAUAGUCUGUUUGGUGAUGCUGAAGGAGUCUUUACUUCACGGCAGAAAUUUGUAACCUCUGGAAGAUUCCCCAGACUCAAAGAUCUUAAUUGAGCAAACUCUAUCUUCUCAAUUGCAUUAUCAACUUCUUCCCCAAUUGUAAAAAUCUCUUUCAUCUUGCUGCAAUUAACAACUGCAAUUCUCUCAAGUCUUGGAAGGCAUUUUGUAGUAGAGAGCCAAAAGAUAUUACUCAAUUUAUCACAAUUAUAUGCUUGUAUGAUUUUGGGUUCGUUCAAAGACUCUACUUUGAGCUGAUCAAUACAUAUCCUCUCCAUGUUGAUCAAAUUGUGAAGGAUAAGUGACUCCAAAAGAGGAAAGGCUUCACAAGCUACCAUCUCCAUUGAGUCCACGAUACACAGGAAGUUAGGAUUAUUUUGAACAUGGAGAUGCUUCAAUUGUGAAAAGCCUUCUGUGUCCAAAUCAAAAAGAACAUUCUUGACACCUUGCAGCUUGUCCAACCAUAGGUAUUCAACGUUAUUGAUGCCCUGCAAUUUCAUGGAGCAAAUGUCCAUAAAAUCAAGCUUGAGCUUCAAUUCUCUUAAACUCUCACGAUUACUGUUGAUCAAAAAGUGCGGCCGGCUUUGAAACCAUUCUCUUGUAACACUCUUGGGAGGCAUGAAUGACUCAUUUCCAAUGGAUAUUUUGAACCUUUCGAGCUUUCUGGCCAAAAAGCCUUCCGGUAAAAUACUGUCAUUUUUAACAUCAAUUUCCAGAGUGGUUAGCCAAGGUAAAAGCAUCAAUUCAUCAAGGCUAGCAUUACUUCUUUCACUGUUGGCUCUUUCAACCUCUCAUUCAACGGAGCAAUUACCCAUAUACAAUUCUUCUAAUCGGAUUAAGCUCGAUAAGACAUUUGGGGCAAUAACUUUUAGAUGGAAACAGUCUCUUAAAUCUAACAGCCUUAGCUUAGUCAGUUGCCCUAGUGCUUUAGGUAACUGUACAAUAUCAGGCAGCACAAAGCUAAGGAUUUCCAGAUUUUCCAACUUUCCAAUAAUUACUGUGUCCAUGUCUCCCAAAAUGCUUUGAUUAAGACAAAGUGUCCGAAGAUUUACUAGAAGAUCAAUUGAAGAUGGCGAUGACAAUAACCGCAUUCUAGUCAAAUCCAAAACCCGAAGCUUUUUCGUCCUUUUGAAGAAGUUUUCAGGAACAUUGGGCCCAACAAAAGAGUUCUUGGGUGACAUGAAUAAAAAUUCAAGUUGUGUAGAUUCCAACACUUCAGGAAUGUCAUUAAUAAUACUAUCUUUUAAACAAAUUGCAAAAUAUUUUUUUAAUGCAUCUGCAUCUAGCCAGUUCCACACAUCCUCAUUUCUCACCGCAAAUGCAAUUUUGUCACGACGUGCUAUUGAAAUGGCAACAUCGCGAACAACAUCAUGCAUGGAAAAGAAUUUACUGCUACCAUCCUCAAGCAACAAACAAGAGUCUCUUAGUUGAUGGACCCAAGCAUGUAAUUUGUUAUGUGCAUCUUCUAGCUUAUGGACACUUUCAAAUGCACCCAAGCCCAUGCUAUAUUUGAACAAGUCCAUAAUUGAAGUUGGUGCAAUUAGACUACACAGUUAAAAAGUUUUCUUGAGUUGCUCACCUCUUAAGUACUUGUAACUUAGCUCAAUUGUUGAGUAUGCCUCUACUGGUACUCCUUCAUCGAAGCUUGCCUCUGAAGGCGUUUGGAGUUCUUGCAAGGCGUUCCUCCACAUAGGCAGCUCUUUGUUUCUCAGUGCCUUUGCUACUGUGGUUAGGGCAAUAGGCAAACCUCCACAUGCCUUGUUCUUGUCAAAAGCAGCCAUCCAUCUAGAUGGUCAACAUUCAAAGAAGAGGAAUUUUGCAGCAAAUCAAAGAAAAUUCAUAAAGCUAGAUUGACAAAUGGAAGCCAUGCGGAUUGACGAAAUUGAAGCCAUAAUUGGUGGGCUAAAAUCGUUGAUUUUCUUGGCCACUAGUUUGCUAUAAAUAGAAGUGCAGAUGAAGAGCUUAUGCAUUCCAUUAAGAGAGAGCAAUUUAGCAUUUUGAGAGAGUUUAGAGAGCUUGAAAUUAUAAGCUCUUGUUAUUAGUGUUCUGAGAGUUUGGGUGUAUUGGGGUUUUGGGAAGUGAGCUAAAAUACUACAAUACUUGUAACUCCUUUUCACUAGUAAAAUAUUUCCUUCUGUCUUUGCCCGUGGACGUAGGCUAAAAGCCGAACCACGUAAUUUUCUAGUGUCCUCUAUUGUGCUUGUUCUUUAUUUUAUUUCCAAUUUUAUUUUAGCUACGGUCCUGCUGCACCCACCAAUUUCCUAACAGUGGUAUCAGAGCUAUUGGUUGUAUUUUUGGAGUCAGGAAUUGUUCACGUAUUCACGUAUACGGCGUACGGCACUAUUCACAUAUACGGCAUACGACACUAUUCACGUAUACGGCGUACGGCACUAUUCACGUAUACGGCGUACGACACUAUUCACGUAUACUGCAUACGGCACUAUUCACGUAUACGGUAUACGGUACUAUUCACGUAUACGGUACUAUUCACGUGAAACGGUGGAAGCAAUCCAAGAAUUUUGCGGUGCAAAGCAGGGAAUAGUGGUGUGAGUAAAGCAACUGUGUGGUUCUGUACGUGUCUAGGAAAGUUCUGUCACAAAGGCGAUAAGAGCUUAAGGAGUCUGGGUUUUAAGUGGGACCAUUGUGACCCCUCCAGUCUUUCCUGGGAACUUUCCUGGUGUGCAUUCUCACACAUACUCACAACUAUUCAAGGUGGUAUACUAGCUUGUGUGCAGUAUUUAUCAACAAAAUGACGGCAAAGUAUGAAAUUGAGAAAUUUAACGGAAAUAAUUUUUCGUUGUGGAAAAUGAAGAUGAAAGCUGUAUUGAGGAAAAAUAAUUGUUUGGCAGCAAUUGGAGAAAGGCCCAUGGAGAUAACUGAUGACAAGUGGAACGAGGUAGAUGGCAACGCUAUUUCUGAUCUACACUUGGCACUUGCGGAUGGAGUAUUAUCCAGUGUGGCAGAGAAAAAUACGGCGAAGGAAAUUUGGGAUACUCUCACAAAAUUGUACGAGGCCAGAUCACUACACAACAAAAUCUUCUUGAAGAGAAAACUCUAUACUCUUCGAAUGGCGGAAUCUACAAUGGUGACCGACCACAUCAACACAUUGAAGACUCUAUUUUCACAACUCACAACGUUGGGUCAUAAUAUAGAGGAAAAUGAACGUGCAGAGCUUCUACUUCAAAGUCUACCAGAUUCGUAUGAUCAACUCAUCAUCAACCUGACGAACAACAAUCCAGUGGAGGGUCUAGUUUUCGACGAUGUUGCAGCCUCCGUAUUAAAUGAGGAGAGCAGGCGGAAAAACAAGGAAAACAGACAAGCAAGUUCGCAGCAAGCAGAAGCGCUAUCGGUGACGAGAGGGAGAUCAACGGAACGUGGCCCCAGUGGGAGUCAAAAUCAGGGUAGAUCAAAAUCCAGAAGUAAGAAGAAUGUUAAAUGCUACAACUGUGGCAAGAAAGGGCACGUCAAGACUUGAUUCAUUCUGAUGUUUGGGAAUCACCGGAUAUAUCCAUGGGAGGUGCAAAGUACAUGGUGACUUUCAUUGAUGAUUAUUCCAGAAGAUGUUGGGUGUAUCCAAUUAAGAAAAAGUCAGAUGUAUUUCUAGUGUUUAAAGAAUAUAAAGCGCGGGUGGAACUUGAAUCUGGUAAAAGGAUCAAGUGCUUGAGGACAGACAAUGGUGGAGAAUAUACAGACGGAGAGUUUCUUGCUUUCUGUAAGCAAGAAGGUAUUCAGAGGCAGUUCACAGUGGCAUACACUCCUCAACAAAACGGAGUAGAGGAGCGGAUGAACAGAACUCUUACAGAAAGAAUAAGAGCUAUGUUGAGGACUGCUGGUUUACCCAAUUCAUUCUGGGCAGAAGCAGCCAAAACCGCCUGUUAUAUAGUAAAUCGGUCGCCAUCUACAGCUAUUGGGUUGAAGACAGCGAUGGAGAUGUGGACUGGAAAGCCAGCUGAUUAUUCCUACCUACAUGCAUUUGGAUGUCCUGUGUACGUGAUGUACAAUGCCCAAGAAAGAACAAAGCUGGAUCCAAAAUCUAGAAGAUGUAUCUUCUUAGGGUAUGCUGAUGGAGUAAAGGGGUAUCGUCUGUGGGACCCCACUGCCCACAAGAUCGUCAUCAGCAGAGAUGUUAUCUUUAUAGAAGAUCAACUGCAAAGGAAAGAUGAGGAUGAAAGCACUGUAAAAGAAAAGUCAGAGAUUGUACCAGUAUAUGUGGAAAAUAAUCCAGAAGAUUCAGAUUCUUCUGAAGCAGCACCAGAGAACGAGGAACAAGAACCAGUCGAGUCCGAGGCUCCAGAAGUUCGUCGGUCAACUCGUGAGAGACGACCGCCAACGUGGCACUCGGAGUAUGUCACAGAGAUCAACGUUGCAUACUGUCUUUUAACGGAGGAUGGAGAGCCAUCAACUUUCCAUGAAGCUUUAGAAAGCUCAGAUAUUGCUUUGUGGAUGACAGCAAUGCAGGAAGAAAUUGAAGCUCUACACAAGAACAAGACAUGGGAACUUGUACCACUACCACAUGGAAGAAAAGCCAUUGGAAACAAAUGGGUCUACAAGAUCAAGCGUGAUGGUAAUGACCAAGUGGAGCGGUAUCGUGCAAGAUUGGUAGUGAAAGGAUAUGCUUAGAAAGAAGGCAUUGACUUCAACGAGAUAUUUUCGCCCGUGGUUCGACUCACAACAAUCAGAGUAGUCUUGGCAAUGUGUGCUACAUUUGACUUACAUCUAGAGCAGUUAGAUGUGAAAACUGCAUUUCUUCAUGGAGAACUUGAAGAAGAAAUAUAUAUGCUCCAACCAGAAGGUUUUGCAGAAACAGGAAAGGAGAACUUGGUUUGCAGGUUGAACAAAUCUCUAUACGGUCUCAAACAGGCGCCGAGGUGUUGGUAUAAGAGAUUUGAUUCCUUCAUCAUGAGCCUUGGAUACAACAGACUCAGUUCAGACCAUUGUGUAUAUUACAAGAGGUUUGAAGAUAAUGAUUUCAUCAUUUUGCUGUUGUAUGUGGAUGACAUGUUGGUAGCAGGUCCCAACAAAGAUCGAAUCCAAGAAUUGAAGGCACAGUUGGCUAGGGAGUUUGAAAUGAAGGACUUGGGACCAGCAAACAAGAUUCUAGGGAUACAAAUUCACCGAGACAGAAAUAACAAGAAGAUUUGGCUUUCGCAGAAGAAUUACUUGAAGAAAAUCUUGCGACGCUUCAACAUGCAAGAUUGUAAGUCAAUUUCUACCCCACUUCCUGUUAAUUUCAAAUUAUCCUCAAGUAUGUGUCCUAGCAAUGAAGCAGAGAGGAAGGAGAUGUCUCGAGUUCCGUAUGCAUCAGCAGUGGGAAGUUUGAUGUUCGCUAUGAUAUGUACUAGACCGGACAUUGCACAAGCAGUGGGAGCAGUCAGUCGAUACAUGGCGAAUCCUGGUGGAAAGCAUUGGAUAGCUGUGAAGAGGAUUCUGAGAUACAUCAGAGGAACCUCAGAUGUUGCAUUAUGUUAUGGAGGAUCAGAGUUUACUGUCAGGGGCUAUGUGGAUUCAGAUUUUGCAGGAGAUCUUGAUAAAAGAAAAUCCACUACUGGUUAUGUGUUUACACUUGCGGGAGCAGCUGUAAGCUGGGUUUCAAAACUGCAGACCGUUGUGGCUUUAUCUACAACAGAAGCAGAAUACAUGGCAGCUACACAAGCUUGCAAGGAAGCUAUUUGGAUACAAAGAUUAUUGGAGGAGCUCGGGUACAAACAACAGAAAAUUCCUGUGUUUUGUGACAGUCAAAGUGCCUUGCACAUUGCAAGGAAUCCAGCCUUUCAUUCCAGGACAAAGCACAUAGGAGUCCAGUAUCACUUCGUUCGUGAAGUAGUGGAAGAUGGAAGUGUGGAUUUGCAGAAAAUCCAUACCAAAGAGAACCUAGCAGAUGUUUUAACCAAGCCGAUAAAUACUGAUAAGUUUAUCUGGAGUAGAUCCUCUUGUGGCCUAGCAGAAACGUAGGCAACAUGAUUAUGGCGAAGCAGAAAGGAUGAUGUGGAGAUUGAUUGAUUUUCAAUCUAAUCUCCAAGUGGGAGAAAUGUCAAAAGCAGCCAUCCAUCUAGAUGGUCAACAUUCAAAGAAGAGGAAUUUUGCAGCAAAUCAAAGAAAAUUCAUAAAGCUAGAUUGACAAAUGGAAGCCAUGCGGAUUGACGAAAUUGAAGCCAUAAUUGGUGGGCUAAAAUCGUUGAUUUUCUUGGCCACUAGUUUGCUAUAAAUAGAAGUGCAGAUGAAGAGCUUAUGCAUUCCAUUAAGAGAGAGCAAUUUAGCAUUUUGAGAGAGUUUAGAGAGCUUGAAAUUAUAAGCUCUUGUUAUUAGUGUUCUGAGAGUUUGGGUGUAUUGGGGUUUUGGGAAGUGAGCUAAAAUACUACAAUACUUGUAACUCCUUUUCACUAGUAAAAUAUUUCCUUCUGUCUUUGCCCGUGGACGUAGGCUAAAAGCCGAACCACGUAAUUUUCUAGUGUCCUCUAUUGUGCUUGUUCUUUAUUUUAUUUCCAAUUUUAUUUUAGCUGCGGUCCUGCUGCACCCACCAAUUUCCUAACAGUUCUACAUUUGUUGCUGUAGAUUUUAACUCACGAUUGUCAACAUAAUUACCAGCCAUCAUCUUGAACAACCUCCAAGCUUCUUGCUCAUUUAGAAUGCCAAUCAAGAAGUUAUUUUCAGAUCCCAUACUUAACAAGACAUUACGAUCCCUUGCUGUUAAUAAUAAUCUGCAACCUCUAUGAUCAUCGCCAAAAGGAAUUCCAACAGUCUCUAAAUCAAGAUAUUUCCAGAUGUUAUCCAGAAUCACAAGGACCAUCCCAUACUUAACAAGACAUUACGAUCCCUUGCUGUUAAUAAUAAUUUGCAACCUCUAUGAUCAUCGCCAAAAGGAAUUCCAACAGUCUCUAAAUCAAGAUAUUUCCAGAUGUUAUCCAGAAUCACAAGGACCAUCUUCUCUUUCUUCAAUCGUUCAUAAAGUCUACUAGCUCUUCCAGAUUCAGCCUCCUCGGACAACUCCAGACCUAGUUUCUCUGCAAUUUCCCCUUGAAUCUUUUUUAUGUCUGGAGUUUGGGAAACCUCUGAAAAAACCACCUGAUCAAAGAGUUUCUCUUCACUGGCUUGCCUUGCAAACUCCUUCACCAGUGUUGUCUUUCCAAUGCCGCCCAUGCCGUAUACCCCAACGAUGCUGACAUUGACAUCAGUCAAUGCAUCUUGUAUAGACUUCAGAGUAGAAAGUCUUGAUUUAAUGGCCUCGUAACCUUUGUUAGACUUUAGCCAUACCUCCUCCGCAAUGGUACGGUAGAAAAUUCUAUCAUCAAAUCUCCUAGCUUCUUCUUUGAGUUCAACAAGGGCCUUCACCUCUGUUUCUGCUUUCUUGCUAAGCUGAUAGCGGGUCUUCAAAUUAGGACACAAGCCCUUGAAACAUCACUUACUUGUUGUCUCCCCAUCUUCAAUGAAUUUGGCUGCCUGCUCAAUGGUGUUGUUCGCACUAACCAGCCAGUUCUCAACCUUCUCUUCAAUCUUUUCUCCUUUUCUUUCAGCCUCAGAAACUCUGUGCUGAAUGCUCUUACUUUCAUCCUUGAGCUUGUCUAUUUCUGCCUUGAGAUUCUCAAAGUUGGCUUUAUAGUUACGCAAAUAACCAAGUUGGCGUUCUGUUGGAGGAGCGAAGCAUUUCACAACUUCUAACAGAACAGUAACAAUGCUUUCCACCAUCUUCGAUCCUCUUUUUUUCAAAGUUCCAAAAUGAAAAUAAACGAUGAGCGAAACACAGAGAGAAAGAGAGGCAAAAAAAAAAAAUGAAAAAUGAAAAAAAGAAAAUGAAACAACAAAGAUGACAAGUGUAUCUGGUUGUGGAAGCGGAGCAAUCAAAGAAAGCUUAAAAACUGUUGUGAAUCUGGUGAGAAGAUGGAAACAAGAAAAAGGUUUCUAGUUCAAAAGUGAUUGAAUUGAUAUAAGGAAUGAUUUAGAUAAUAGAGGAAAAGUGAAUCAGUCAAAAUAACUUAUGUAUUGACCAGAAGAAAGAUGCAAACAAUAUUAGAGACAACAACCGCGCUAUUGACUGGUAAUACAGAUGGAGAAAAAGAAAUUAUCUUCACACGGUGGAUGUACAAAGGGUAGAUAUGGAACCAAACAGAGACAACAACAUGCCACAACUAGAUUGGGAAUGGAGAGAAACAAAUUAACAAACACUGGAGCUGACGAAUAACGAUUUGCUAAAAUUUUGAGAAAGUUAUAUAUUCCGUAACUUCAACAAGUGAAGAAUAAAAGAAUAAUAGUUCGUCAUCUUCACAAUGAAGAUCAUGGACGAGAUUAAAAAGCUAAAACUAGUCCAUUUGAAAAGCCAAAGUUCAAGUUCCUUGGCUAAGUUCAGAAGUGAAGCAAAGAAUAAAUAAAUAAAGAUCAAGGGAUGGGAAUAAAGUCACCCCCAGACAGUUGCAGAAAGAUUAUUAUUUGGUAAGCGUAGUUGAUUAUUAGUACAAAACAGAGUAGGUGAAACACAUCCUUUCUAUUUAGACUGAUCAGCAUCUAAAAUUUUAUGAAUUAUGAGUUGCAUUUUAUUUUGUACAUUCUGUUAACACAUUUUAAUUUAGCCAAUUUUGCAAUAAAUGUUAUUGAUGUAUUAAAUUGCAACAACAAAACACAAUUAUUGGUAUUAAAGAAUGAAAAAAAAUAAAAAUAGAAAAUGAAUUGAAUUCCACUCAUCGUCAUCUUGGGAAAUCAAGUCAAAAAAUAAAAAUCCAUAUGCUUUUGUUAAAGUUAAAAGCUACAUAAAUAAUAUCACAGAAGCUUCUGCUAAGGUUCAUGUGAAGUCACAGCUUUGAUACUUGUAAUACAAGGAGCACGGAGAAACCAUAAACUUCAGUUUAGGUAUAUACAUUGCUUGUCUUUCAAACUUGAAUUGAUAAGGGGGAAAAAAAUAAUACUAAAGCAAACAGAAGGAUCAUUUAGUUGACAAAAUUAUUAUUAUUUUGAAAUUCGGGUCAUUCAGUUACUUUCAUUUCAGUUUCACUUCUGAUUCAAUUUAACCAGUUAACGUUGACAAAAAUAAAAUGCAAAUAUAAGGCUAAGGCUGCUAAUUUGAUGAACUAAUUAUCUCAGGAACCAAAGCAUCUAUAAGCAUGCAUGGGUGGCAACACCAUAAUUACUCAAGACUGGAGGAGUAAAAAGAUUGAAGAUGAUAAACAUUAAAUUUUAGGAAAAUCAUUCACAAAUAUGCUUUUAUAAAAGUUUUGUUGGUAAAGUUCGAGAAAUGCAUACAUGUCAAAUUUCCAUUUCUUGUGAGCAUUUCACCAAAUAGCUGAUAUGCAUUAAUAACUCCUAUCCUAUACUAUUGGCCAGUAGGUUGUUGCUGCUUCCCCAUUUUUAAUGAUGCGAACGUCUCAUACUUAGAAAUAAGGGCGGAGCCUGGAGAUUGAUUUAUAAGAUAAUCUUUUGAAUAAAAAUAAAAACAAUUACAGAUUUCAAAUGUGAGAAAAAUAAAAUUGCGUUAUAAAAUUAAUCCCACUAAGAAAGUCGUCUACGAAAUUUCCACAUUAAAAGAAAAUUUUUCCAUAAAUUAAAAUAAAAUUAAAUGAAAACUAUUUUUCAGUAAAGUCAAUUGCCCACGCUAGGCUAAGGCGUUUGUUUAUUUGUUUGUUUGUUUUUAUAAUCUGAAUAGGUAUAAAUUUUUCGUAAGCAUGAAUGAGCUGAGUACAAAUAUAUGAAUGAUAUAUUUAUUUUUCUUUUUCUUAAUACCCAAAUAUAAGUGACAUCUUAUUUAUCUUAAAUAUGGUUAUUUGAUAUUUAUAUUUUUACAAAUAAAAACAAAGAAAAGUAGUUAGAUUUUAUAGUUUAAGAAAUAAAUAUAUUUUAUAAAAAUAUUUUUAGAAUAUAUAUUUAAUUCUUAUUUAGACUUUUUCCUAUUCAAUAAAAGUCACAAAAGUUACUUUUUCUAUUCAAAUGUAAAUGCUUAAAAAUCAUAUAUAAGUCACAAAAAAAAUAAAUUUUAGAAAAAGUCAUAAAUUAAUAAAAUUUCAUAUAUUUAACUCCCAAUGCAGAUCCGCCCCUAUCAGUGUUAGGAAAUUGACUGGUGAAGUAGGUUCACAGCUAAAAUGAAAUUGGAAGAAAAUGAAGAACAAGCACAUAGAGGACACCAAAAAUUACAUGGUUCGACUUUUAGCCUACGUCUACGGGUAAAGACAAAAGGAUGAAACUUUACUGGUGAAAUGAGGAUUACUAGUAUUAUAAUAUUUUGUUUCACUUCCCAGAACCCCAAUCCACUCAAUCUCUUAAAACACUAAUCACUCAAGAGCAUUAAAACUCUUAGUCUCUCACUCUAGAAUUGAAGAAGAAAAGAAUGAAAUGCAGGGGUGAACCCCUCAUUUAUAGUUAAAAAUUUGGGCACUAUUUAUAUUUUUAUAUAUUUUUUUUAAAUUAAAAGUUUGAACUUGACAUUCAAACUUUGAAUAUCAAAAGGUAUUGGUCACUCUUCUAGAAAAGUGACAUUGACUUUGACAUUCUCCCACUUAGAAAUUUGAUUGAGAAUCAAUCAAUCUCCACACCAUCCUUUCUGCUUCGUCGCUAUCAUGUUGCUUAUGUCUCUACUAGGCCAUAAAAUGAUAUACUCCAAACAAAUUUAUCAGCAUUGAUAGGCUUGGGCAAAACAUUUGUUAAGUUCUCCUUGGUAUCCACUCUUGUAUCUUUCACUACUUCACGAAGAAGUGAUAUUGUACUCAUAUAUUCUUUGUCCUGAAAUAAAAGGUUGGAUUCCUUGCAUUCUAACUAUCACAAACCAUAAAAAUUUUUAUGCCCAAGCUCCUUCAGUAACCUUUGUAUCCAAAUAGCCCUUCCAAGCUUGUGUAGCUGCUAUGUAAUCUGCUUCUAUUGUUGAUAAAGCCACAAUGGUCAGCAAUUUUGAAAUCCAACUAACAAUUUCGCCUUCUGGUGUAAAUACUUAGCCAGUAGUGGGUUUUCUUUUAUUAAGAUUUUCUGCAAAAUCUGAAUGCACAAAGCCCUUGACAGUAAAUUCUAAUCCUUCGCAGCAUAAUGCAACAUCUGAUGUUCCUCUGAUAUUUCUCAGAAUCCUCUUAAUAGUCUUCCAAUGUUCUUUGCAAGGAUUCGCUAUGUAUCGACUAACUGCUCCCACUACUUGUACAAAUCAUAGCAAACCUUAAAUUUUCCACUGCUGAUGCAUACAGUACUCAAGACAUCUCUUCUUCUCUACUUCAUUACUAGAUGAAUACUUAAGAAUAACUUGAAAUUAAUAGGAAGCGGGGUAGAAAGCCAAAUCUUCUUGCUAUUACUAUCUCGGUGAAUUUGCAUCCCUAAAAUCUUGUUUGCUGGUUCUAAGUCUUUUAUUUCAAACUCCCUAGUUAACUGUGCCUUCAGUUCUUGGACUCGAUCUUUGUUGGGGCUUGCUACCAAUAUGUCAUCCACAUACCACAGUAGAAUGAUGAAAUCAUUAUUAUCAAACUUAUUGUAAUAUGUACAACAGUAUGAAAUGAUUCUAUUGUAUCCAAGGUUUAUGAUGAAAUGAUCAAUUCUCUUAUAUCAACAUCUCGGUGCAUGUUUGAGAUCGUAUAGAGAUUUGUUCAACUUGCAAACCAAGUGUCCCUUUUUAGUAAAACCUUCUAGUUAGAGCAUAUAAAUCUUUCCUUCAAGUUCUCCAUGAAGAAAUGAAAAUUUCACAUCUAACUGCUCCAAAUAUAGGUCAAAUGUAGCACACAUCGACAAGACCACUCUGACUGUCCUGGGUCAAAUCACUGGAGAAAAUAUCUCAUUGACAUUAAUACAUUCUUUCACCACCAAUCUUUCACGAUAUCGCUCCACUAGGUUAUUACCAUCACGUUUGAUCUUGUGAACCCAUUUGCAACCAAUGGUUUUUUUUUAUAUGGUAGUAGUACGAGUUCCUAUGUCAUAAUCUUGUGUAGACCCUUAAUUUCUUCCUGCAUUGCUAUCAUUCACAAAGUAACAUCUGAGCUGUUUAAAAUUUCAUAGAAAGUUGAUGGCUUUCCAUUCUCUAUUAAAAGACAGUAUGCAAAAUUGAUAUAUGUGACAUAAUCCAAAUGCCACACAUACAUUUAUCUAUCACGAGUUGACCAACAAACUUUUGGGGCCUCAGACUUGAUUGGUUCUUGUUCUCAUACUUUGGUGCUGCUUCAAAAAAAUCUGAAUCUUCAUUUUCCAGAUUAUUUUCAACAUAUAUUAGCACAAUCUCUAAAUUUUAAUAGUGCUAUCAUCCAUAUCUCUCUUUUGCAUUUGAUCUUCUACAAAGACAAUAUCUCUGCUAAUAACGAUCUUGUGGUCAUUGAGGUCCCACAGAUAAUACCCUUUCACUCCAUCAAUAGAUUCUAAGAAGAUACAUCUCUUGGAUUUUGGAUCCAUCUUUAAUCUCACUUGGGUAUCGUAUAUCACGUAAAAGGACAUCAAAAUGUCUGAGAUGAGAGUAAUCAGUUGGCUUUCCUGUCCAUUUUUCCAUUGGAAUCUUCAACCCGAUUGCCUUGAAUGAUGACCCACUUACCACAUAAUAAGUAGUUUUUGCUACUUCCGCCUAGAAUGAGUUGGUAGACCAGCAGUUCUCAACAUAACUCUUAUUUUUUCUAUAAGAGUCAUGUUCUUUCACUCUACUACUCUAUUUUAUUGAGGAGUGUAUGCCACUGUGAACUAUCUCUAGAUACUUUCUUACUUACAUAUGCAAGAAACAUGCUAUAUGUAUACUCUCCACCAUUGUCUGUCCUCAGGCAUUUGAUCCCUUGCCCUGAUUUAAGUUCAAUAUAUUCUUUGAAUUCUUUGAACAAUGGAAAUACAUUUGACCUUUUCUUGAUUGGAUACACUAAAUAUCUCCUAGAAUAAUCAUCAAUAAAAGUCACCAAAUACUUUGCACCUCCCAUAGAUAUAUCAAUUGAUUCCCAAACAUUAGAAUGAAUCAAGUCUAAAAUACAUUUACUUUUGAAAGUGGAUCUGCUAAACUUUCAUCUAUGUUGCUUCCUUGUUUCGACAUGUGGCCAAGUUUAAGAUGCCACAUCAUCGCUGAAUUUUCUCUAUUUGAUGUGACACACACAAAAGCUUUCUGUAGUGUUUCCAUUUAAGCAUGAAUAGAUUAGCACCGAUCUUUUCCACCUUCAUUAAUGCAAGUGUGCCUUUGACUAUCUUUAUGAUCCCAUUUUCUACAUGAGUUUUGUGCACAAGGCUAUCUAUUUGUCCUAAAGACAAGAGAUAUUUUUCAAGUCUUUGACAUGUCUUACCUUCUCAAUUGUGCGAACCAUACCAUUAAACAUAUUUAUUUUGACAGUACCAAUAUCAAUGAUCUCAAAGGCAUGAUUAUCACCUAUGUAUACAGAUUCUCUUGAAAUAUGUUCAUAUUUGUGAAAUCAUUCUCUUGGAGAGAUCAUGUGCCAAACAACUAUUAAGUCUAUAAGCCAGACGUCAUAUAGUGGUUUUCUGCCUUCUGAAGCAGUUGUUGCCUUACUGUAGAGAAUUUUGCCAUCAUACGAGGUACUUACUACAUACCCUUGAGCAUUUGAUGACUCGGGAUCUUUACCCUCUCUUCUCUUCUAGUUGUUCCAAUACUCUUCCUUGACAUGCUCUUUCUUGCCACAGUUUUUGCAUUUAACAUUCUUCUUACUUCUUGAUUUCGAUCUACUGUGAUUGUGGCUCUCACUAGGGCCACGUUCCAUGGAUCUUCCUUUCAUCAUCAAUAGCGCUUCUACUUGCUGCGAACUUGUCUGUCUAUCUUUUUUAUUUUUUGCUACUCUCCUCAUUUAAUACGGAGGCUGCCAUAUUGUCAAAGACUAACUUGUCUGCUCAAUUGUUAUUAGUUCGAUUAAUGACGAAUUGAUCAUACGAAUUUGGUAAACCUUGAAGUAAAAGCUCUACAUGAUCAUUUUCCUCUAUUUUAUGACCCAACGUUGUAAGUUAUGAAAAUAAAGUCUUUAAAGUAUUGAUAUGGUCGAUCACUGAUGUAGAUUCCGUCAUUCGAAGAGUAUAAAGCCUCCUCUUUAAAAAGAUUUUAUUUUGUAGUGAUUUGACCUCGUAUAGUCUUGUGAGAGUAAACCAUAUUUCCUUUGCUCUCUUUUACUCUACCACAUUGAAUAAUACCUUAUUUGAAAGUGGUAUGUGUAGAUUUGCAAUGGCAUUAUUGUCUAUCUCAUUCCACUUGUCAUCAUCAGUUAUCUUUGUGAGCCUCUCUUCAAUUGUUGCCAAGCAAUUACUCUUCCUCAAUACAACCUUCAUCUUCAUUUUUCAUGACGAAAAAUUAUUUUUGUUGAACUUCUCAAUUUUGUAUUUUUCCGCCAUCACUGUUCACCACGAGCUACCUUUGCUAAGAUCGAUUCCUACCAUUUCACAUGAGCAGUAACUGUAUAUAUGAAUAAAGUAUUGUAUACAGAAACAAUAUCAUAUACAUGAACAGUACAAUAUAUGUAAAUAGUAUCUUGACCCCAAAAAAUACAACCCGAAAAUUAAUUUGUGAAGUAGGGCCGCGACUAAAAUGAAAUUGGAAGAAAAUGAAGAGCAAGCACACUGAGGACACCAUAAAUUAUUUGGUUCGACUUUUAACUUAUGCCCAUAGGUAAGGACAAAAGGAUAAAACUUUAUUAGUGAAAUGAGGAUUAUAAGUAUUUUAGUAUUUUGUUUCACUUCUCAAAACCUUAAUACACCCAAUCUCUCCAAACACUAGUCACUCAAGAGUAUAAAACUCUUAAUCUCUCAUUAUAGAACUAAAGAAGAAAAGAAUAGAAUGAAUGAAAUGAGGGGGUGAACCCCUCUAUUUAUAGCUAAAAAUUUGGGCACUUUUUAUAUUUAUUAUUAUUAUUAUUUCAAAAUUUAAAGUUUGAACUUGAUAUUCAAACUUUGAAUAUCAAAAGAUACGGGUUGUUCUUCUAGAAGAACGGCACCAACCUUGACUCUUAGGCAGACCUUUAGAGCUUUAAAUAAAGAAAAAGCUUUUAAAAAUGCCAUGUGUACUUGAUUAUACAAUAAUCUCCACCACAUAGAAUGAUUUGAUAAAAGAAAUUUUUUAUUUUUAAUUUUACUUUUAUCAGGCACGGUGCAUUUCCCCUUGGGCUCAUAUGUAAGGAUGUCAAUAAGAUGGGAAGGAGAGAGGAUUGAUUUCCCCAUACUCAUCUUUAAUACUCUGUCUAUCUCUUUGUACUCUAGACAUUUCCUUCAAAAUUACUUGAAACGAGGGGAUGGAUGUUUCUAAAUAAUACAAAGGGAUCUCUUAUGGCAUCCGAUCUCUGAUUAUUUAAUUUCUUUUUUUUUCUUAAUUUAAUCAUCUUAAAGUAAAAAUAUAAAAUCAUAUUAACACAAAAAAUAUCAAAUUAACUAAAGUGAUUAAAAUCAUUUCCAUCAAAUUAAGUCAAUGUCAUCAAAUUAGAAGAUAAUCUUUGAACUAAUUAAGCAAAAGUAAAUCUUCAAAGUUGAACUCAUCCAUAAAUGUCAUAUAGUAUAAACCAUCAAUUAAAUUAUCUUUGUCAAUUUUAAAGUGUUUAUAUUUCCUUUAUAUUGGCUGUUAUUUAUAUUAUUUUUAUAAAUGUAUUAUGAUAUUUUUUAUUUACAUCACACUAUUACAAUUGAAAUUUUAAAUGUAUUUACUAUAAAUUUGAAAAAAAAAUGAAUUAAAAAUAAAAACUAAAGAUAAAAAUAGAAAAAUGUGGAGCCAAAUAAAAUAUUAGGGCAAACACUAAGUUAUAUUUCAUGUAACUUACACCCACACAUAUUAAUUUAUCACAGUCUUGUCUCCACAUAGAAAAAUUAGAUCUAAGAUUAUCAAACUCCCGAAUGAGGAAGAUCCCUCGGGGCCAUCGUCCCUGUGGAAAUUUCUGCAUCCCUGCAGUCUACAACGCCUAAUAAUGAAUUGAACGGUUGAAAUCCCUCUAAAUUUUUGAUAAUUUCUAAUCGCCCCUCCAUAUUUGAUUGAACAUCAAAACUAUUGAGUCCAAAUUUAUAACUUUGAUUUAUCUUCCAUUCCAUAGUUUUCAAGUUCUCUCUCUCUCUCUUUUUUAAUCCUUUUUACUGCAACCACCAUCAAAGCCUAGUAGUUAAUAUGUAUGCUGCUUUGCUUUCAAAAUCGGACACUACUGGUAUUUAUGGUUUUUAUUCUUUAUUUGACACAAAAUUUGGCGAUAUCUCCGCGGAAAAACACUACUGGUGUAUUCAAUUUUAUCCGGUAAUGAUUAAAUUGAUUAUUACAUGAACCGUAACUUCGCCAAGCCCAAAAUACAUAUUAAGUUAUAAAGCGUGGCACUCAUUAUUUUUCGCAAAAAGUUUCGCCCAAAAUACAUAUAUUUUUUUAAUUUUUUCUGUGAAAAAAACUACUGUUAUAUUCAAUUUUAUCAUUAAAGUUGUUAGUUACAUGAACCUUAAAUUAACACAAACCGUAACUUAGCCAAGCCCAUAAUACAUAUUUCAUAUUUGUAUGAAAUUUAAAGUUUUUCCACUUAUUAUUUUUCGCUAAAAGUUUCUAAAUUGUAUUGUAGUUUGAACUUGCCCAUCAUUCAAUUUUUUAACUCCACAAUUAUUUGACCUUACCAAGCUUGAAAAUAUCCUUCCAUACAUAUUUAAUUUUCUCCAAGUAUGAUGAAGAUUUAAUCAAGAGCCUCCGGGAUCUUAAAGUGCAAGAAAGGUCCGGAAAAUUUUUAAAACCCCACUGUUUAAAGUUUUUUUGGACUUUCUUGCACUUUAAAAUCUUGAAUUGAUAUAUAUAUAUAUAUAUAAUCAUUAUUAGGUGCUAGUGUUCUCUUUUUUUUUUUAAAUGCAAACACCCUUUUAAGCCGUAGGGUUUAAUAACAUUAAAAACUAACUUUCAACUAGCUCUCUUAAAUUGUACGGCUUAAAAGCAUGUUAGUAUGAAAAAAUGAACACGUCUGUACCAAAAAAGGACUAUAUAUAUUAUUUAUUUUAUAUAUACAUACGUGCGCGCGCUCGCAUAUAUAUAUAUAUAUAUAUAUAUAUAUAUAUAUAUAUAUAUAUAUAUAUAUAUAUAUAUAUAUAUCAUUUUAAUAUAUUCCAUUACUUUAAUAAUCAAUUUAAAAUAGUUUGUGAUAUUUUCAGCUAUUUAUUUAUCUACUUUUAGUUAGUUAUUUACACCGAAUGAAGUGAUAGGGUCCAAAUUUUAGUAUCCUUCUCAAUUGUUUGGGGUUAGUAAAUACUAAUUAGCUUAUUCGUCCCGCACAGCCGCGUAAAUGCUGUUAGAUUUCGGAGAGAUGCUGAGGAUGGUACAAGAUUUAUCAAAUUGUGGCGACAUUUUUAUACCUUUAGAAUUUCAAGAUUUUGAAGAAAUAAAUGGAAUCUGUUUUCCAUAAGUGCUCCACUAUCCACCAGGAGGAAUUCUAAAAUACAUUACAGAUUAGUAAUUUUUCAGAAUAAAUAAACACAUGUUAUAACAUUAUCUACUUAUCGUAUGAUUGAUAUGAUACUUAUGAUAUAUUUUAAAAAUUUUAAUGCACCAAAGUCCAUUUUUAGCUUUUAAGGUUUUUAUGUGUGAGCCUCUCAGCACGUUCCCCAACCUCCGCACGUGAAAAUAUUUCUAUGUACGGUUACAAGCUUUUCCAGAUUGUGAGUAUUCCGAAGCAAUCCAACUUGAAAAACAGCUGGUUCGUAGAAAAUGACAGUUUACGAAGCUGGCCCUGCUGCCAUACAUAUGAUGAUGAAGACCAUUUUGCUUUAUGUCAAUUCCUCCAAGUUGAAAUCUUUCUCGGUCUGGGACACUUCCAACACAUAAUGUACUACUAGGCUAGAUGAUUUUAAAAAAUGUCAAGGUCCUUUAUCAAAUUUCAUUUGCAUUCAAGACCAAUCCCCUUUGAUGAAAAUCAAUAAUUAAAGGCUUUCCAAUGAGAAAUUAUUACGUCUUCAAAUCUCAAAAAACGCCAGAAUAUUAAUUCGCUACGUAUAAUCAAGAUAUCUCAUUGAGACGCAUUAAUAAAAAAUGUCAAAAUGCAUAGAAAGAGCAGACACACGGAUGAUGAAUUUACUCAUCUUUAUUAGUAUUUGAACUUGAGAGACAGGAUGAAGUGCAUGUCAAGAAUAUCAUAAAGAUGGAAACCGGAAGUCCUCCGCACAUAAACUUUGAAGAAACUGGAAAACGACUUUAUUCCAGAUAAUGCACACCAGAGUGACCAAAAUUCUCUUCAGUAACUAUAGAGAAAAUAUUAUUUUGCAUGCAUUUCACGUAACUGGAUCAAACUACUCCCCUGUUGGUUUAUCAGACCACAUUUUUAUGGUGCAAUAUAAACCAUCUUUUCAAAACACUUCUACAAUGUGAGAAAUAUAGGCAUUAAAUUUCAUAAACUAAAAACUCCAAUUGUCAAAAAAAAGGUGAGAAACUCAGUAGAAUUUACAACUUCUCAGACUCACGAAAAGGUGAGAAACAAAUGAUUUUUAUAUAGUUGUUCAUAGCUAACUUUUGGUGGUUUAAUGAUUUGUACAUUUUGUUUUAUGUUAUUCAAGGAAAGAUAUUCGAUUGUUCCUAAGAGUUCAUAGGCAGGGGCAUAUAUGCAUGAUUUGAUAUAAUUCUUGCAAUUUCUAAGUACUUGCUCUUUCCAUACCUUCUAAGUUUUGAAAGAAAGGUUGAAAUAAACAGAGAAACAGGACAAACAGAAGAAGACUGAAUUAACAGAUCAACAAAGAUGGCAACUAACAAAUGGAAAAGUUCUCUUGUAAUCAAACUAUAGCAAACAGACAAUACCAUUGCCAUAUAUCUUAAUCAGCAGAUUGAUUCUCAACAUAUAUGUUAGGAUACAUUUGGUUGUUUAAUAGUUCGAAAUAAAGAGGAUGAGAUGGUUUCACAUAAAAGUGCUGGGCCUUUCAAUGACAUUUUCAAAGAAUUAUAAAAUUCAAAAUUAAAAAAAAUUAGCAAAUUAUAAAGCCACACCGUCAAAAAAAUAAAUAAAUAAAUAAGUGAAGACCUUUAAUGAUAUAAAAAUAAAUAAAUAGAUAAGUCACUAAGACCUUUAAUGAUAUAAAAUAAGCAUAUAAAUCUCAUAACAAAACAUUAAAACUCAUUCUAAAAGUAAAAAUAAACUAGUGGUGUAUUCCAAACAAUUUAGAUGAAGCCAGAGCAGAAACUUCUGAGACUAUCAGCAGAAACUUCUGAGACUAUCCAAAUCAUACAGAUACAAAAUCUUCAAUUUGGUGAAAACAACUCUUCUUUUAAAUUUGCUGCUCCAUCUUCGUCAUUUAUCACCACCUCUCUCAUUUCUCUGCAUCCACAUACCACCAUUGAUAAGAGUCGCUCUAGACUUUUUGCUGUGGGGGAUGUUGCUAAGCUCAUCAAUUCCUUGCAAAAAGAACUAGAAGUUCUUUUACAUUCCCAAAAGAUACCGAUGAUAUGAUGGCCAUAGACCUAACAGAUUUUGACAAAAAUGUACAUUUAGAAUUUCAAGACAUUGAAAAAAGAAGUGCAAUUUGGAGUCUUGUUUCCACAAUUGCUUCAGAUGAUUAAAUUUGUGCAGAUCUAAAUGUUUUAUCAUUGCAAACUUCCUCACAUGUUUUCUCAAGUAUCCUCCGUUUGAAAAUACCUCUUCGCAUGAACAACGACCCGGUAUGAGAGUUUCCAGAUUAUGAAAUCUCUCAAGUAAACCAUGUGGAAAACAAGUUGAGGCAUCAUCCAUUGUUUGUGGCAGUUUAAGACUGCCAAAAAGGUGUCGUGGGAAAUCGCUUUGCAAAGUCAUCCUCGAGUCUUUUCCACUUAAUGCCCGUUCCUCCAAGUUGGGUAAGCUCUGAUCAUUAUCAAUCACGCAAUAACUUAUUAAGUCAAUUCAUAUUCUCUCAAAUAACUUUUAAUAAUCCAAUCAUAUACAGUAACUUUAAUAUAAAUGCAUAAUAUUUUACAAAAAAAAAGGGGAAAAAAUCGAAUUAGAGGUAAAAGUUAUUCUACCAUUUUAUUUUUUAUAUAUAUCUUGCAUGCUAUUACCAAAAGCAAUCAUAAACGGCCCUUAAAACAAUUUUACAAAAAGCGGCCGUUACUUGUAUCACCAACUUUGUUAGGGAUAAUAAUGGGGAGGAGACCAAUCUCACCGUACCUAUCCUCGAUAUUUUGCAUAUAUCCUUACUCUCUUCCCAUCUUCGACAAAAUUGCUUUAGAGAAUCCCCUCCUCUCCCUGAAUAAUAAUAGGGGAUCUCUGUGGGUCCUCGAUCCCUGAAUAAAUGAUAUGUUUUUAGUUUUUAAUUUUAAUUUAAUCGUAUUAAAAUAAAAUUUUAAAUAAAAUAAAGUUUGACGAUAUAUCUCACAUUAAUAUUAAUCCAUUACAAAAAUCUCACUACAAAGUACAAAUCACCACAAUAAUUAUCUUCGUCAAUUUUCAAAAUCCUACAAUAAAAAAAAAGAAAUUACUUUUAUAUCAACAAUGAGAUAAAUGAAAUGAAUAUAGAUACUUAAUCAAUAUUUCUAAUAAAAGUAUUUACCUCUUGCGUCUCUUGCUCCUCUUGUUCUUCCUCGAUGAAUGUGGCAAAUUGAAAGAUAGCCUCAGAUUUUAAAUUUAAAACAAUAAAAAUAAUAUAAGUAAUGUAACUUAUAAGUGAAAAUAUUAAUUAUUAUAUAAUAUAAUUACAAUGUAAAAUAAAUUCAUACUGCCAUUUUAAGCUUGUAACUAAUUUUGACAACACAUUAAAGCCUCCAAUGUGCUUGAAUGAAGCGUGUUACAAUACUCUACCACUGUGUUAAAAGCUUAUUCAGGAGCAACAAUUGUAAUUAGAAUUGUUAAAAUAUCUCCAGCAAUUCGUGCCAAUAUAGGAUACCUAUGAGCAUUUGUUUUUCACCAACUUAAAAUAUUAAAAUCUUUCAUCCGUAGGAUAACUUUCUCAUCCAAAUAUUAAUGCAGUAAGUUAGGCCUUAAAGUUUAAUAAUAUAAUUAUUUUGAUAUUUUUUAUUUAUACUAAUAUUUAAUAUUUUAUAAUUUACAUUUUAUUAUUUAUUUAUAAAUAAUUUAAAAAAUAAAAAUAAAAAUAAAAUUAAAAUCAAGAAAUUAGGAGGGGAUGAGGAUUCCGCUGUAUCCUCAUCCUUUUUUCGAAUAAAAAAUUAGAUAAAAAAAUUAUUUUCAUCCCUUCUCUGCAUAAGAAAUUAAAUAAAAAAUUAUCUCUUUAUCCUAUCCAAAUGGUGAAAAUUUCCGAGAAUCCCUAUCACUGCAGGAAUUUCUGCCACCCCUUACUUUGCAACAGCCAGUUGCUUUUGUGACUGUUUAUGUGACGGCUAGACUGCUCUCACUUAUGUUACUAACCACGUGACGGUAGAGAGCCAAUUGGCAUGCCAUUAUUUUAAAGUUAUAAAUUUGUUUCUAAAUAGAAAACUCUUUUGUGGGGUCAAUAUUGUUGUUCAUAGCUAACUUUUGAUGGUUUAAUGAUCUGUAGAUUUUGUUUUAUGUUAUUCAAGGAAAGAUAUUCGAUUGUUCCUAAGAGUUCAUAGGCAGGGGCAUAUAUGCAUGAUUUGAUAUAAUUCUUGCAAUUUCUAAGUACUUGCUCUUUCCAUACCUUCUAAGUUUUGAAAGAAAGGUUGAAAUAAACAGAGAAACAGGACAAACAGAAGAAGACUGAAUUAACAGAUCAACAAAGAUGGCAACUAACAAAUGGAAAAGUUCUCUUGUAAUCAAACUAUAGCAAACAGACAAUACCAUUGCCAUAUAUCUUAAUCAGUAGAUUGAUUCUCAACAUAUAUGUUAGGAUACAUUUGGUUGUUUAAUAGUUCGAAAUAAAGAGGAUGAGAUGGUUUCCACAUAAAAGUGCUGGGCCUUUCAAUGACAUUUUCAAGGAAUUAUAAAAUUCAAAAUUAAAAAAAAAAUAGCACAUUAUAAAGCCACACCGUCAAAAAAAUAAAUAAAUAAAUAAGUGAAGACCUUUAAUGAUAUAAAAAUAAAUAAAUAGAUAAGUCACUAAGACCUUUAAUGAUAUAAAAUAAGCAUAUAAAUCUCAUAACAAAACAUUAAAACUCAUUCUAAAAGUAAAAAUAAACUAGUGGUGUAUUCCAAACAAUUUAGAUGAAGCAAUAAAACAAGCCAAGAAAUCAAAUAAAAUGAAAUGAAAUUGAAUUAACCGGGACUUUGUUUUUCAAAUUCACAACUCGCUUGUAAUUAAAGUAAAAUGCCAAUGCCAUUAGGACACAUACAUCGUUGAAUAAGAUGAGGACCCCUCCAACAGCUGAAAGUAAAAUUUUCAUUCAUUAGUUUCAAUUAAAAUUAAAGCACACAGAGAUUUGCAGGGAAGCAAGAGAUUUAAUAAAUUUAACAGCAGCAAUUUAAUUUGACAGGACUUCCAUACAGUAAUGAAGUUAAAAACUAAUGAUUAACGAAUUUAGUUUGGUCCCAAAGCUGUUGAUCAUCUCUCUCUCCAUAGUAGAAGUUUACUCUCAGAGGCGCGUUUAAUUCUCCUUUAGUGAAAAUCUUCAUCUUGGGACAACCAAUUAUAGAUAAAUCUUCCAAAGAUUCCUUGAAGGUGUAAUUGGCAGAGCAGAAACUUCUGAGACUAUCAGCAGAAACUUGUGAGACUACCCAAAUCAUACAGAUACAAAAUCUUCAAUUUGGUGAAAACAAUCUCAUAUUCACUGUUUGUAGUAGUUUAAGACUGCCAAAAAGGUGUUGUGGGAAAUCGCUCUGCAAAGUCAUCCUCGAGUCUUUUCCACUUAAUGCCCGUUCCUCCUAAGUUGGGUAAGCUCUGAUCAUCAUCAAUCACGUAAUAACUUAUUAAGUCAAUUCAUAUUCUCUCAAAUAACUUUUAAUCAUCCAAUCAUACACAGUGACUUUAAUAUAAAUGCAUAAUAAUUUACAAAAAAGAAGAAAAAAUCGAAUUAGAGGUAAAAGUUAUUCUACGAUUUUAUUUUUUAUAUAUAUCUUGCAUGCUAUUCCCAAAAGCAAUCCCAAACGACCCUUAAAGCAAUUUUACAAAAGCGGCCCGUACAUGUAUUGCCAACUUUGUUAGGAAUGGCAAUGGAAAGGGGAGGGGAAGAGACUGAUCUCCCCGUACCCAUUCCUGAUAUUCUGCAUAUAUCCAUGUCCUCUUCCCAUUCCCGACAAAAUUACUUUAGGGAAUCCCCCUCCCCUCCCCAAAUAAUAAUAGGGGAUCCUUAAAGGUCCUCGAUUGUCGAAUAACUGAUACGUUUUUAGUUUUAAAUUUUAAUUUAAUCAUAUUAAAAUAAAAAAUAAAAAUAAAGUUUGACGAUAUAUCUUACAUUAACAUUAAUCUAUUACAAAAGUCACAUUACAAAGUAUAAAUCACCAUAAUAAUUAUCUUCGGCAAUCUUCAAAAUCAUAUAAUAAAAAAAAAAGAAAUUACUUUUAUAUCAACAAUGAGAUAAAUGAAAUGAAUAUAGAUACUUAAUCAAUAUUUCUAAUAAAAGUAUUUACCUCUUGUGUCUCCUACUCUUCUUGUUCUUCCUCGAGAAAUGUGACAAAUUGAGAGAUAGCCUCAGAUUUCAAAUUUAAAACAACAAAAAUAAUAUAAGUAAUGUAAAUUCUAAGUGAAAAUAUUAAUAAUUAUAUAAUAUAAUUACAAUGUAAAAUAAACUCAUACUGCCAUUGUAAGCUUGUAGUCAACUUUGACAACAUAUUAAAGCCUCCAAUGUGCUUGAAUAAAGCGUGUUACAGUACUCUAACACUGGUGCUAAAAACUAAUUCAAAAGCAACAUUUGUAAUUAGAAUUGCCAAAAUAUCUCUAGCAAUUCAUAUACCCUCCUGAAUUGGGAAAAUCUCGAGGGUCAUGUCCCCGCGGGAAUAUCUGCUAGACUGCUCUCACUUAUGUUACUAACCACGUGACGGUAGAGAGCCAAUUGGCAUACUAUUAUUUUGACGGUAGAGUUAUAAAUUUGUUUCUAAAUAGAAAACUAUUUGCUGAAGUCAAUAUUUUCAAAACCAAAGUCCCAAAUUCUCUCUCGUGCGUGCCUGGCCAUCCUAAACCUUACUGGUAGCCGGAGAAUGGCGUAAAACGGCGGCGAUCUUCUUCUUCAUCUUAUUAUCUCUCUCAUCGUUUCAGGUAAGCUUGUGAUUAUGAGUUUCUUCUCUUUCUUAGCUUGUAAUUAUAGGUUUUGAUUUCUUUAAUUCGUAUUGUAACCAUUAAUGUCAAUUUUUGUCCCGCCGGCAAUAUUUCUUGUUCCUAGAAGUUGAAGCCCUUCUGUUCUUGUUCCAUUGGUGACUUUGCUCACUCAAAUUAAUUUUGUUCUGCGGAAUUUACAAAGUUCAAAUGGAUUCAUUUGGAUUACUAUUGAAUUUAGCUUUAAUUCCAACAUCCAUUCUAAUGUUUUACAAUCAUGUAUUUAGAUUUACUUUUAUUUUAUGUUUAAAGCUUCUACAAUGAAUAGCGGAGCUUGGGUUUUAGUUUCAUUUUCUAAUUAACUUGUUUUAGUUUAUCUUAUAUGCUCGCCAAGUGCUUGUUAUAUUGUCUGAUAAGUUAUAUAACAUUGCUGAUUCUAUAUUAGUAAUGUCAUGUUCCAUUUACGGAAAUUAUAACACAAAAGUUUUUACAAUGGCUUGCAUCUACAAACUGAAUUGACUUGUAGAGUAAGAGCUUGGAUUAGUGUUAUGUUCUUGAAUAAAUGAAAGUUCAUAUUGUGUAAGAGCAUGUAGAUGUAAAGCAUCACUACCAUUUCUACAAAAUGCUUUCAUUCUGUUCAGAUGCUCCUCUUGAACUUUGAAAGGUGCCUCAUUCAAGUCCUAGCUAUAACUAAUAGCUCUGAUUGCUUAAGUUCCUGUGCUAGCUGAAACAGAUUUAUUUAAUUAAUUAAUUGUGUAUGUACUAAUUAUAUUGAAAGUAUAUGAAGAAAUUGUUUAACAUGAAUGACUUCUAAAUGACUUAAAAGCCUAAAGGAUAUGUGAAAUAAUGCUCAUUUCACUUGAACGAGCCUAUUAAUACUUGUAUGUCUAUGAUUGUCAAUCUUGCUUAAGUGUUUCAGUUAAGUGGUUUACCAAACAGGGAAAAAAAUUUAAUGGAAAACUUUAGAGUUCUAACAGAAAUAUAGUUGACUGCAGAUAUAGUUAUUUUACGGUACAUAAAUCAUAUUGUCCUAUUCUCAAUGUCCUACGACCUAUUUUAUUUUAUAUGGUCAUUCAUUUUUGCGAUGGUUUUUUGUGCUUAUGAGUAUGGAAAUAGUGGGAUUUGGUGUGGCAAACAAAAAUAUACAUAUAAUCAAGUUUGUUAAUCAUGUAUAUUGGUUUUGGGUAUGAACGUUUUCCUAUUCUAGUUCUAGGCAAAGUUUCUUCAUUUUGGUCUUCAGAUUUCCAGUAGGUUAAGUUAAGCAACUAUCAUAACUAGCUAGCUAGUUAUUGCCUGCCUUGUCGCCAUUACUGACGCCAUUACAUUGCAUGGCAUAAGGAAUAGUAACUAGGUGAUUAUUGGUGAUUCCUUGAGUUUAUUAUUGGCCAAACAAACAUAUUCGCCUUUACCCACAACUUAGUUUGAUUAGUUAUUAGAUAAUAAAGAGCCUUAAUCUAUGCAUUGCUUUAUUAUUUUUAUUUGGUUUUUCUUUCAACAAUAUUGUUGAUUUCUUAUAAAAAAUAUUCAUUGGUUUUUAAACACCUAAUCAUUGGCUAUAAUGAAGCUAAUUAAAACGGAGGCUUUGGAUCAAUUUCUGUUAACAACAUACAAAUGAGCAUAACCACCCCCCCCCCCCCCCCCCCCCCAACCACCACCAAAAAAAAAAAAACCAAAUAGGAAGACUUUGCAAGAUUCACAACCAGGUUACAUUUAAUUUAUUAAUUGUGUGUACAUACUAGUUAUUUGUUGAUAGAAUAGGAAGAAGUAUUUUAAUAUGAAUGACUUAAAACUUAUUGCUCAGUAAACAUAAUGUGCAUCAGUGCUAGAAAAUGUAUUUGUUGUUUGUAAUUUUUUAUGGUUUUGCUUAAGAAAUGAAAUGUGAAAAAAUGCUACAUUUUAUUAGGAAUAAAUUGAAGAGAUUUAUGAUUUUUAUGUGUUAUUCAAGUUUCAGAUUCAAUUUUAAACUUUUGAUACAUGCAUUGAAAGCUUAAACUCCUUUAAGAAAUUAUUAAUAGACACAUGUUUUAUUAGUGUCAUCUUUUGGAUGAUAGUGAGGAUCUUAUGUCUAUUAAUAAUUCUUGAAUUAUCUAGGCUUGGACAGUUUGGUAAUGCAUAGAUUUCUAUGGUAGCUAGUGCCUGAAAUUUUUUUCCCACGUAAAAAUGGGUUUUUCAGCAGCUGCUCCUCAUGUUCUCUGGGUGCAUACUAGACAAAUGGGUGUCAUGUAUUGUUUUGGCAUAACACAUAAACACUCAUAUAUCUAUGUCGUGUACUUGAAGAACUAUAGGGAGAUGCUUCCGAAGUUUCUAUAAACGUAGAGGAAAACUUUAGAUACUUAAGAUUGAAGAAACUUAUGCAUUCUUGAGUGGGAUAUAUAGGACCACUUACCUUUUGUAAAUAUGAAGGGAAUGUUGGAUAUAUUGGAGGAGCUGAGUGGGAUGAAUGUAAUCGGUUAUGAUUUUGCUGAGUCGACUUGGUUUUGAGUCUUGUAAUUUUUUUUAUAAAUGGAGUACUAUCUCCAAUGUUGGUUUAUAAAUAUGUUUCAGCUGGCUGACCUAAUUUUUUGUUUCUAGGUAACAGGCUUUAUAUAUCUGUAAUUGAUAGCCAAGUGAAGUUCUCAGCUGUGGGUGAGGAUAUUUCUUUACAGAAGGUAUUGCAAACUGUUUUUUAGAUUAAUUAUUAUUGUAUAUAUACUUUAAUUUUCACAUCUUUUUCUCUGAUUCUUGUGGCUUUGCUUGCUUCCAUAUAUAUAAAACCAUAAAAUUGUAUAAUAAUUUUUUUUAUUAUAUUGCGAAACUGCGCACACAUGAAAAUAUCUUGUUUAGUAGUAGAAAUGAAGAAUUAAAGUGAUUUAUUUAACUAAUUUUUCUAGUGCAAUAAAAGGAGAUAGUCAUGGACCAGAGUUGGGUUGGUUUGCCAAAUAGAUAUCCAAUUCAUAUACUGAUGGGGGUCAAAAAAUUUAUAGAUUUUGCAUUUGAGAAUGUUGUUGGUGAUAAAAGAAUUUAUUGUCCUUCUAAGAGGUGUUGUAAUAUCGAUAUUUCAUUAUAAGGAAAGUGGCAAGAGACCAUAUCAUUAUAAAUGGCUAUUGGUUAAAGUAUUAAAACUGGAUAUUGGAGGGUGAGCCAUCUUCAUCUUUGAAAUCUAACUAAGAAACAGGUUAGUCAUGACUCGGGUAGUGAUGCUAGUAUGGUUGGAAUGGUGCAUAAUGCAUCACGUAAUCAAAUGUUCAAGUCACACGCAGCAUUGUUAUGGACUAUCUCCGACUUUCUAGCAUAUGCCAACUUGUUUGGGUGGAGUAUUAAAGGUAAAUAAGCAUUUCUUGUUUGCCAACAAAACACUAGAUCUAAUUGGUUGAUACAUAGUAGAAAAUUGUCACGUGGGUCACCGUCGAUUUUUACCAACAAAUCAUAGGUUCCGAAAAUAUAGUGCCAUCUGAUAAAACUAGAGAGUGGGGACAAGCACCUUCUCGGUUGUCUGGAGCCGAGGUGAAAAACCAGUUCAGUAAUGUACUUAAGAUUGAAGACUUGAAAAGAGGAGAAAAGAGGAGAAUGAAUAAAAUGAAAGAAAUGAUAAGAUUACUUGGAAGAAGAAAAGCAUUUUUUAUGAACUAACAUAUUGGGAGUUCAAUUUGAUUCAUCAUAAUCUUGAUGUCAUGCACCGUUUUGAUUUUUGUUAUGAACUCAGAUCAAAAGUUUAAUGUGAUCAAAAUUUCUUAAAAAUAGUGAAAACGACUCCUCCUAAUAAUAUGGAAGAUGGCUAUAAAAGAUAAUUUCUUAAAAGUUUAAUGUGAUCAAAAUUGCUUGUGAACGCAAGGGUUUUAGUUACACUGUCAACGCUGUCAAUGUAGUGAUACAAUGAAGAUGAAGUAAAGCAUUAGUAGAAUAAUGAAGUUGACCAGUAACACAGUAAAGCAAAUUUUAUUCCAGAGCAUGAAAACUUUUAAACAGUAACACAGCUCUUAUUCCAGAGGCUGCACGCGAGUGACCUGAAUCUUCUUCAGAACUUUCAAAUUUUAUCAAGCAAAGCUUUCAAAAUCCUUGCCUUCCUAAGUUAGGAAAGAUAGAUGUGGAGCAAACUAUUUUUUUUAGAUAUUUUCACUUUGGGCUGUCAGCCCGAGGAAGUAGGGGGGUCUGAGUUAUUCAACUGAAAAUGUCGGCCAAGUUCUUGUGUUAGUUUUAGUAUAUUGUGUACAAAUGAUACACUGACUUGAAUUUAUAUGCUUUUAUGACUAUUUGAUAAUCAAAUGGGUAAAUGACACGAAUAACUUUGAGUUUAAAAAUCUGGCCCUGAUGCCUGGUAGCCCUCCAACCUAUGAAGCACUAGAUGUUUUAAUGAUAAAACGACAAGACCAUUUAUCAAAUUUCUUGUGGAUAUAAAUACAUACACAUAGACGAGACCAACCUCCUCAAAUGAGAAUCAGAGUGAUUACAAGACCUUUCAAUGAGACAAUAAUACACCAUCAAAUCUCAAAAUACAAUAGAAAUUCAUGACAUAUAUAUAAUAAAAGACCACUCAUUGAGUCAUAUAUAUUGAGAAUAAAUUUUUUUUAAUACAUACAAAGAGCUUAGCUAGAAUGAAAUGUCUUUGGACUUGCGAUGAUCAAACAAAGGAAACAGACAUGUUGCAACUCACACUAUCACAGAUGUAGCGACACAAUGCAGUGAAUCACAAGAAGAUCACGAAGAUGGAAACGGGAACCCCUCAGAAUGUAAACUUUGAAUAGAGGAAAAAAGGAAAACGACCUUAUUCACAGAGGACGAGUGACUUAAAUCUUCAUCAGUAUCCAAACAUUCUGCAAUCAUAGAGUAGAGAAAUUUUAACAGGAACAGCAGAGAAAAUAUUAUGAAUAUGCACUGAUUACUUUUUUUUUUUUUAAUUUUUUUAAUCCGAUUAAUGAUAUUCAGCUGUUCUUUAAUUAUGUGUUCAUAGGGAAGAACAUUUUCUAAGUACUUUCCUUGCCUUCUAACUUUCCAAGGAAAUAUAGGUGUGAAGAAAAGCAAACCCAAUGAACAAACAGAGCACAAAGUAAAAUAAAAGAACAGCAAUGAUGACGAUAAAUAAUUGGCAAAGAAAGAAAGGAAAAAGUAUGCACGUUUUCAAGGAUUUAAAAAAUACGAAGGCUUUUAAUGAAAUUUUAUCAUCAAAACGUAUGCAAGGAGUUACAAAAUUUUAGAAGACGAGGGGAGCUCGCCAAAAAAAAAAAAAAGACUCAAAUUAAACUAGACUAAAAAGACAUUCAAUUAUGCAAAAUCUGUCCAUAAAAGUCUGAAAGGAUCAUUAAAAUUGCAUUGCAAAUUUAACAGUAAACCGAGGGAUCCAUUCUAAAUAAUUCAGAUGAAAUUGCGAAACAAGCCAUGGGAUUAAAUAAAUGAAAUAAAAAUUAAUUACCAGUUGAGACUUUCUUCUAAAAAUUCGCAACUCCAAGUCAUAAGAAGCCUAUGAAAUUAGUCGUACUGCGUAGAGUAUGACGACGACACCGCCAACAGCUGAAAGUAAAAUUCUUAUUCAUCAAUUUAAACUUUUACUUUAUAAAAAAUAUCUUAUCUAUAUUGUAUUUAAGAAAGCAAAUUUUGUAAAAAUUUAUCAUGGGAGAUAGAGAGUAAUAUGUAUAUACGUACCUUCUCAGCAUGUAAUUGUUGUAUGGUUGUGUUUAGAUCAUUAUUAGCCCAGCGCCGUUGAUCCGCUGUCUCUCCAUAGCAGACGUUUACUCUUAGAGGCAUGAUUGAUUCUCCUGUAGUGAAAAUCUUCAUCUUGGGACAACCAAUCACCCACAAAUCUUGCAAAGAUGGGAAUUUGAAGGUGUAAUUGGCAGAGCAGAAACUUGUGAGGCUAUCUAAAUCACGCAGUUCCAACGUCUUCAAUUUGCGGAAAACAAUCUCUUCUUUUUCAACUCCUUCUUUGUCAUUUAUUACCACCUCUGUCAUCGCUCUGCAUUCACGCAUACGCACUGUGACGAGUUGCACUAGAGUUUUUGCUGUGGAGGAUGUUACCAAGUGUAUCAAUUCCUUGCAACCGAAAGCUACAAUUUCCGUUAGGUUCCGAAAAGAUACCGAUGAUGAUGGCAAUAGAAUUAACAGACUUUGACAAUCAUAUACUUUUAGAAUUUCAAGAUACUGAAAAAUGGGGCCAAGUUUGGAGUCUUGUUUGCACAGCUGCUCAAGAUGAUAGUGCUGGUGCAGCUGUAAUUCUUUUAUCAUUGCCAACUUCCCCACAUGUUUCUCUAAGCAUCCUUCCAUCGAAAAUACCUCUUCGUGGAAUGAAAAAUAACACAGUAUGAGUAUUUCGAGACUGUGAAAUCUCUCAAGUACAUUCCAGAUUGGAAAACAAGCUGAGUCAUCGCCAACAAUAUUUAGUUGUUUAAGACUGCCAAAAAGGGGUUGGGGGAAAUCGGCCUGCAAAAUCAUCUUCACGUCUUUUCCAUUUAAUGUUAGGUCCUUCAAGUUGGGUAAGAUCUGAUCAUCAUCAAUCAUAAUAAUUAUUAAGGUCAAUUGAUGUUCUCUCAAAUGAUUUUAAGUAAUCCAAUCACACGCAGUGACUUUAUAGUAUUUGUUUUAUAUUAUAUUUUAGAUUUUUUAUAUGUUAAUUUUAGAGGUAAAAAAGAAAUUAAGGAAAAAAUUUUGAUUUAUACUGGCUGGAAAUUAUUUUAUUGCACAAUAAUAAAUUACUAAUUUAUUUUGUAAGUUCUUAUAUAUGGAAAGACUAAGUAUCUCCAAAAGGCUCUAUAAAUUUUACUCUUUCAAAUUUCUAUUUGCUUACCUAUGUGGCAAAUAGAAAAGUGAAAAAAUAUGUUAUUCUCCAAAAGACUCUUCAAAUAGAAAUGAAUUAAUAUUAUUUUAAUUAAAUAACUAUUUUUAAAAAAUAAAAAGUCAAUAGUAAUUAAAACACCUCUCUCUCUUUCUCCAACAAAAAGUAAUAAAAUAUAAAUUGAAGAGGGGGAAUGCAACUCUCCAAAUUUGAAGAGAGAUGAUCAUUUCUUAUUUGAAGAAUCUUAAUUGGAGUAUCUUUUGGAACUUUAAAUGCUGAUGUGGCUCUUCAAAUAAGUAAUAAAAUCUUAUUUAAAGAGUCUUUUGGUGAUGCUCUAAGGAUUCUUUUAUAAAUGCUAUACCUAAAAAAGUUCAUAUAAUUAUUAAUCUAUCAAUAAAUCCCUUAGUCUAGACUAGCAAAGAUUAUUGUAUAAUAAAAGUUUUCAAUUUAUUGAGUAUUAAUUUAUUGAUGCUUUGUCAUAUUUUUUAAAGUUCAAACUAAGCUAUUGAUAGAAAUCUAGAAAAUGGCUUCAUACAUUUUCCAACGGCAAUAGGGCCUGUUGUGCAGGAGUAUCAAGUUCAUCAUUCUCAAAAAAAAAAAAAAGAUUGAAUUAUUGAUAAAAUUUAUUAAAUGAUUUUUUAUAUGUUAAUUUUAGAGGUAAAAAAGAAAUUAGGGAAAAAAUGUUGAUUUAUACAGGCUCGAAAUUAUUUUAUUGCACAAUAAUAAAUUACUAAUUUAUUUUGUAAGUUCUUCUAUAUGGAAAGACUGAGGAUUCUUUUACAAAUGCUAUACCUAAAACAAUUCAUAUAAUUAUUAAUCUACCACAUUGAUCCCUUAGUCUAGACUAACAAAGAUUAUUGUAUAAUAAAAGUUUUUAAUUUAUUGAGUAUUAAUUUAUCGAUACUUUGUCAUAUUUUUCAAAGUUAAAAAUAAGCUAUUGAUAAAAAAUCUAGAAAAUGGCUUCAUACCUUUUCCAACGGCAAGGGGGGCAGUUGUGCAGGAAUACCAAGUUGAUCAUUCUCAUUAUUCUGCGAUAAAUCUGCAGCGAAUAUCUUUAAUUUGUCACAACCAUACACAUAAAGAAUUUCUAGCGCGGGCCAUUCCGAAGUAUGCAUUCCAGGGUACAAACAUCUAAGUUUUGGUAGACCAUCGAGUCUCAGAGUGGUGAGCGGUGGAAAGACAAAAUGAGGGGUCACUUGAUCUGCUCUGUUUUCAGAAAUGAUCUCCUGUAAUUCCUUACAGAGUCGUAUAUCUAGGUGUUGGAGCUGCUUAAGGCUUCCGAUCAUGGACGCUGAAAAUAUGUAUUUUAAUUUAUGACAACGAUGCACAGUCAAUCGUGUUAAAUUUUGAAAGCGAGGAAACAUGACCGGAAGAUUAUUGUAGUGCCAAAUCUUGUCGACAUUAAUUUCAUAUAUCUCCAAAGCCUCCAAGUUAGGC
rnacentral:lncRNA from 1 species